rnacentral:lncRNA from 1 species
UGUCUGGGCAUGAGAGACUUGAACAAGAUCCGGAAGGUGAAGGUGAAGCAGCAGCCAUAUUUUUCCCUCUAAAGGUAGGCAUGAAGCUCUAGGGCAAUGGCGAGUCACAUAUGUUAAUGUUAAUCUGCUAUCUCACCUGGUGGAUUAUAGUUUCUCCAGCAACCACAAGAUCCUCCUUUGACUUCUCAGAGUCCUGAGACAGAUAUAGAUACAACACCAUGGUAAAGUAUGUUGACUUUACCAUAAAGGUAUCUGAUCAUUGAGGCUGAAGGUGAUGACCACAUCACCAAUUUGUCUUUUCCUUGUUCUCUUCUACUUCAUGUCCUGCUUUCCUUCCUUACUGCUGGCUCAGGCCCAGAGCAAGUUCAUGCCUAGUACUAGUCAUGGAAACCAUAAGUUCUAGCCCCACAAUGAAUCCUUAUUUUAUAUUACUCAAGGGGGUUUUGCUUCUCUAAUUAAUCCUUGCUCGAUAUACCUAUACUUAUCCUAAAUGAAUUCUAGCAUCCCUUUCAAAACAGUGGCUUGGACUUCAGAUGUUACUUAUAAUGUCUUGGGAACCACCAACCCUAGUUGGGGAAGGUGUGAAGUACCAUUCCUGUAAUUUAUCUGGUACAUAAAUUGAACAUGCAAACUUGAGCUUGUUUUAUGUAACUCAAGUAUAUUAUCCACAGAAGGGGAGUAGCUAAGGCUUACAGGGCAAAAACAGUCCUUAGUCAUCAAAGAGUUUGAUUAGAGAGGGCAAGCAUGUGCACACAGGUGCAGAUAUAAAUGGACUGAUUAAACACCCGAGGACAUAAAAGAGGUGAAAAAAAAUGAGGGUAGGGUGGAGUAAAUAAAGGUAAACACAAAUUAUGUGUAUAAUAAAUGUUUGUUGAAUGAAGAAAACAUGAGAGGUAUUUUGACAUUUUAAAUAAAAACAAAUAUAAUAAUAUCAAACAAGAACAUAAAAUUAUUUUUAAUUUCCAUUUUUUAUAAUAGCACAAUGUAACUAUUUUCAUUUUCAGAUAGUAUUCCUUUCUUGUUUUUUUUUUUUUUUGAGGGGAGGAUGUAUUGGGGAUUGAACCCAGGGAUGCGUUACCACUGAGUUACAUCCCCAUCCUUUUAAUUUUUUUAUUUUGAGACAAGGUCUCACUAAGUUGUAAGUCUGGCCUUGAGCUUGAGAUCCUCCUGCCUCGGCCUCCCAAGUUGAUGAGAUUACAGGCAUGUGACACUGUGCCCACUCAAAUGGUAUUCUUCAUAUUCAUAUCCACUUGUUAUAUAGUUGGAAUCACAGUGCAGCACCAUUUUGUAUUUUCUUAUUUUCCCUAUAUUUUUUCAUUGACCUGGAUCUCCAGAGGGGCUAAUAACUACACUUAAGCAGAUUUUAAAACUCUAUUAAAAAUGUGUUAUGUUUUUAACUUUAGCUCCUGCUUGGAAUGUUGAGUUCUGAGAGGCACCUGAGCUGUUUUGGGAACGGGUGUGACAAAUGAUAUCUCUGGGAGAGUGUAACCAAGGUGAGUCGUCAGAAAUGAGCACUGUUGCCAAGGGAACUGCUGGACAAACAUUUAGGGUAUAAACUUUGCUAUUGCAUUUAAAGAUCUUGCCACACUUGUUGCCGACUGGACUUGAAAUCUGAACAGCUCCAGUGAAGACAGAAAUGUCCUAAAGGUGACAGACAUGGUCUGGCAGAGGGCAUUGUCAGGGACAACAGCACAGCUUCCAGAUGCCAGAGGGAAGAGAAGGAAGCUAUUCACACCCAAUGACCAAGAAGAGCAUGGAAUUCUGGGGUCUGUGACUUUGAAUGAGAAUUAACUUACCACUAGGAAAGAGCAUUCCUGUGGCGAUGCCAAGCUGUCUCUCUACCUGGUACAAGUGUUUUGUAAAGGCUGGUUGGGUCCAGCUUACUACAUACAUGUUUUAAGCACAAGAACACAAUUAAAAUGAAAUAUUACAUCAAAUUCCAGGGCUCUCUGUUGAUAAAAAUGGAGCUGGUUUGGUUGGUUCUGGAUGAGGUGACAGAAUUUUAUGUGGUUGGCCUUCACCUCACUCAUACCCUCAUUUCUACUUUACUUGUACCGCAGUCUCUGAGGCUCAUGCAGUUAUCAGAAAAAUAGCUUGAAAAAUGUUAGUUUAGAACCACUUGAGUUUACACAUAGGUCUUAGGAGGAAAUCUGAACAUUUAAUUUUGAAUCAGAUACUCUGCUUUUUUUUUCUUCCUUAAUCUCUUGGUAAUAAUAACAAUAUUAUAAUAGCAAAAUCUUCCAUCACUUCUCCAGUGUGCCAGCUCUGUUCCAAGCACUUUACAUUUGUACUUUUGAACAACCAUAUGUGGGAUAAGUACCAUAAUUCAGUGACACUAAAAUAUAUUUUCUUUCACCCUUUAGUUUUUGUGAAAAUGGAAUGAGUUUUACUUUUGAUGGUGUGUCAUAGUUUAAUUGGCAGCAUUCUAAAAUUUCUUCAUGGAACGUAAAAUAAUGGUAUGUUUGACAAUAGAGAACAGCUUAGAUUUCAUGAAAUACCAUAUAAAUAUCCCCAUUUUACAAAUGAAGACCUAAAGUUCAGAGAGGUUAAGUAACCUGUCUAAUAUCACAAACCUGGCACCCUCACUCAAGACUCCAUGCUCUCAGUGACUUUGUGUGCUACUGGCAUUUGGCCUGUCCUUUCUCCUGUCUCUCUUGGCACUGUCACUGAGGAGUAUGCCCUUAGUCUUAGAGGCCACCUGCAGUUUUGAUACUGAAUUUCUUCCACUGAGUGGAGGACCUUUACCAGGCAGAUACCCCUGGCAGGCUCAACAUGUCCGGCAUUUUUCAUUCAGUCAUUAACAUAACUGGAAUUUGCUUACUAUGUUGAUUUUCCAAUAUAAUUGGCUUUCCAAGUGAAACCAAAUCCUAAAGCAGUACCUUGGAGAACAAGGACUUGGUAACAUGGUAAGGGGAAAGACUGGGAAGAUGAGUGGUUUGCUAGAACUGACUCAACUGGCUUGCAAAAGCUCUUGCCAGUGGGUUGUUAAUCAUUCCACUAAGGAAAUUGACCAUGGUGGAGCCAUCUACAUCACAGAAAUCAGCAAAAGCUAUGGAUCAGGGCUUUUCUGUUUGUGUGUUUAUUUUUUUCUUGUCAGAGAGUGGCUUUAGGAGCACAUCACUAGAUACAUGCUAAAUUAUCAGAUUCCAGCAGGAAACCCUCAGCAGGUAGAGUGAGCAUGGGAAACUGAGCAGACACUGAAGUUUCAAGAUAACCUCAAUGUCAAAUAAUUCUAUUAUGUUAGAUUGUGUGUGUGUAUCGUAAUUCAAUUUAUGAUAUCUUGAUGUCUAUAUAGGUAGAAGAACUUUAAUACAUAUGCUACCCAUAUAUAUUGUAGAGAAAUACAAAUUAGCCAAGGAGAGAGCACUGUCUGCUCUUUAUUUUGUCCUCCUUAUUGACAGAAGAGAUUAGUGAGCUGUUUGCCAAGGACAGAGUGGCCAAUGGCGUUUCCAAAAUCAUCCAAGAAGUGUAGCUCGGGAACAAUAACUGAGAUCGGAGGGUGGUGAUGGAAGUGUAGGAAGUGAUCAAUAAAAGUUCGUUGUUGAAUCUAGCAAUCACAUAAGGGUUCUGGUACAGUCACAUCUCUUCCACAUGAAUUAUUUAGUUAUUUUUCUCCUUGGCAAUUCUCAGAAAAACCCACAAAACAAAACAGCUCUCCAUGCGCUUAUCAUGCAGAGGAGGAAGGAAGUGAGCUGUGGCAUAGAGUGUGCCUCACCCUCUUCUGCCUGGAGAGAGAAGACUCCAGGGAAUGAAGUAGAUUGCAGCAAAGUUAAAACGAAAGCCAAAGCUGGCCGACCUUGCUGGCAUUUGGCAGAAAGGAAAAGACCACGGAAGCAGCUGGACUUUGAGAGAAAGUUCUUGGGGCCAGGAAAGGGAAGGGAAUGAAGAUCCCCAAACAGGAGCUCUCUGGCCAUUUGGGGGCCACAGGAGGACAAUGGUGAGGAGUGGAGUUGGAGGAACAAAAGAAGGGACAGUGACCCUGGGACUGACUGGGUUGGGGAUGGCGUAUCCUGCCUAGACCCUUUUUAACCUGGGGAGUUCAUCCUAUUCCUGAGAUCAAGCUGCUUUGCCUGUUGCAGAGAUCUGGCACGUUUCCCACUUUCAAAUUGGGCCGUUUUAGGAAGGAGUAGCUUGGUGGUUCCCCUCUCUUUAGAGCUGCCAAGAAUCCAGCUUAAAGAAAAGGUAUCUUUUUGGAUUUUAGGAUAGAGAUUUUAGCAGCCAGUUUCUUGGCUCACUCAGAGGGAGGCUAUGGGCUUCAUUAGGUAUGAUGUAAAGGCCAGAUAGCAUCUUCUGGAAUGGCUUUCCUUGAUAUCUGCCCUCACAGAAAAGGGCUGCUCACAAUUUAUUAGCAAAUUUGGCUCUCAUUAAUAAUUCUUUGAACUAGCAGAGCAAUCCUAGCUGAUUGAAAAUAAUUAUCAACCUCUCCAGAUGAUUAAACAGCACAUUUAGAUUUUCAUUUAUAUCAUCAUUUUGAUUGAAUGAUGUGUGUGUGUGUGUGUGUGCAGGGAUUAUGUAUUAAGAAGGUAUCUCAAAAGUAAUAUAAAUACUGAAGAAAAAGAGAUACACCUUGUUCAGUAUCACAGGAAAACCAAGAAAUCUAAGACAGGUUAGCACAAGAUCAAAAUUGGGACCCAAAAUAAAUUAAGAAAGACAGACUGUGACAGAGAUAAAGUUGCAUGGGACAUAAGUGAUAAACAUGCAGAAAAAUACUUAUGGCGUUCUAAGCAUAGCAUCAGAGGAUUGAAAAUUCUGGUCAGUAUCAACAAACAAGCAGUGUAAUUAAUCUGGAACAGAAGAAUACCACAGAUGUUGAAAAUUAUUUUUUUUCUACUGACUCAGUCUCCUGCGUAUUUACAAAUUGAAGGUUGUAGAUUAAUAACCCCUGAGAUUUACGCCCAGCCGGCCCGGUUCCAGGAUUGCGUUUGCACUCAGUGACAUCCUUUUGGAUUCAAACUAUUUCCUCUAAUCAGAUUAUAAGAAAAAGUAAAGACUAAACCUGCUUUGUCUCACAUUUAUUCUCCCAAGUGUAUUCGGGUAAGGAUUCACUCAACAAGAAUAACAAACAAAGAUUCCCACCAAAAACUGCGGCAUUUCAGAAAAGUGGUGCAAGCUGCUAUUCUUUGCUAAUAUCACUUAGUUUGGUGCAGCCUCCUUCAUAACACAAUAAUGGUGAGUUGCUUCCACCUGGUUCAUUUGAAUUCUGGUUUUGCUGCAUGUCCCCAUCUGGAUUAGCUCAACAAACUAAAUGCUAGAGAAAAGAUUAUGCAAACAUGGAAGUUUAUAAAACCCUGCGGACUUUUCAUUUCACAACCUCAAGGAGUAGGCAAAUGUUUUCAUGGAGAGGUAAACUAAGUCACCAAGCUGUUCUGCUGGUGGCUAAAGGUCUCCUAGCUGGUCAGAGGCAAAACAAACAGUAGGAUCUUGGCCAGAAUUAAAAAUUCUGUGGGUUUGUUAGAGCGAUGCCCUCUUUCAGACUGGCUUUGUUCUUCCUUUCUCUCUUGUUUUUUAACUUGUAGUACUUGUUAAACAUGAAAUUUUUUUGAAAGGGUGGAACUUGGAACUCCAAGUGAACUUUGAUCGCGAAUAGUGAUUCCUGAGUUUUCCAGGUGGUUAAAAGAGCGGCAGAAUCGUGGCGUAUCCUGCCUAGACCCUUUUUAACCUGGGGAGUUCAUCCUAUUCCUUGAGUUUGAAACACCAAAUCUCAUGGUGUUUCAAACCAGAAACAAAUAUAUCUGCCAUCCAACUCUGAAAUCAGAUAUACUUUGCCAUUUUAUGAGUUCCUAGCUAGAUAAGGUCUUAUAUUCCUUUGCGAAUCAGUUUGAUCUAGAGCAAAAUCCUUAGUUCUCAUUCUGUAAAAAAAGGCUAGCAAAUUAAAAUGUGGUGAGAAUGUACUAAAAGGGAAAAUACCCUCACAUCUGAAAAUUAUAUAUUUAAAAUUUAAAUGAGAUUAUAACUUAGAAAUGUGUUUUUCUCCACAAUUACUUUUAAGGUGCAAAAGGUGUUGUGAGCUAAGUGUGGUGGGAGGCUGAGCCAGGAGAAUUGCAAAUUUGAGGCCAGUUUCAGCCUGCCUCAAAAUAAAAAUUAAAAAGGGCUAGGAAUGUAGCUCAGUGGUAGAGAACCCUGGGUUAAAUUCCAUAUUCCCCCAUAUCCCUUCCCCCCAAAAAGAAUAUUUUGAGACCCUGAGAAAUCAUCUGUUCACUUAGUAACCAGAAUAAUAGAAUUAGAAACAGGAUCCAGUGUGUAAAGCAAUACUUAGUCUCUGUUCAAUAAAAAAUACAUUUGGUUUUUUAAUGUAAACUAUCCCUUUCCUCAUUACCUGUCUAUCUGCUCUUAAUAAUUCCCAUCCCCAUUUAUCCUUCCCAAGUCACUAGGUUAAGAGAAUAUUAGUGAUUAUCUCUAACAAAUCCACUUAGGCUGUUUACGUAACAAUAAGAAAAUGUUUUGAAAGGGAAUUGACUGUUGCACUGGGGGUGGGCAUUCAUUUCUUCGUGUAAGAACCAGUUCUUCUUUACAGAACAUUUCAUCAAAAUGUUCAUUUCAGACUGUAGGUUCAGCUUGGUUGAAGGCUGUUUUCCACAUAAAAGCCCGCCAUUGGAUAAGAACUGGCCUCGCCCAGGGUGUGCUACAACUGUCUUAUCUCUUGACACAUUUUCUAACUUCUUUAAAUGAAAGAAGGAAACCAAAACAAAAAUUGGGGUUAACAAUAUGGUAAAGAAGAUAGGACCUCAGCUUGAACAAGGGACACAUUCUCGUGAAAAUGACUGGUAAUGUGUAGAGGCAGAAGGACCCUGUACUUAUUCUGCAGGUGUGGGAAUUGAGAACCACACAGAGCGCACACUGACUUGUUUUCUAAAAACACUUGAUCUAUGGUCAAAGAGUUGACUGAAACAUUCGAAGACAGUUUUUUUUUAAAAAGAUAUUCCAGAAAAAAACAAUAAUCCAAUAUUCUUUUAUCCCAAAAUUCAGUAGUUCAUAUUGCCUGGCAGCCUUCCUGUAUUUCUCUCACAUUUUUCCUGCUGGCUUGUUCAGGACAGGUGUACUUUUUGGCACACUGCCUUAGGCAAAUGUUCCAAGAGAGGACCUGGUCAAAGGGGACUGUACUUCCAGCUGGGGAUAAACCACUGUGGCUGCCAGAAUAAGCCUGGGUACACCCAACAGUCAGAAUUCUAACCAGGACAUACUUUCUGGCUCAUGGUGUCCCACACUGUCUGAGGGACAGUGGGGCGUGCUUUUUUGUUUUGAUCAGAUUCUUUUAUAGGAGUCUAAACUUGUCUCUUGCUCUUCCAAAAAAUCCACAAGAUCAUCCUCUUUCUCUUUUCUCUUUUUCAGAAUCUUAAUUUUUAGUCAUUUUAAAGUUGUUCUUUUGCAACUCUCUGCCCCAUGCCUAUCUUUACCCUAGUCCCUAAUCCCAUUUAAGCCAAGUGCUGAGUUCCCUUUCCUUUUUAAUUUUCUCCCUUUAGCUUUUUGGGAUGUCUUGGGAAAUUUACUCUUUUUACCAAAUGCAAAUUUGGGAUAUGUGAAAAUUAACAUCUUCAGUUUCUAUGAGACUUUUUUUUCCAGUUCCAUAUUUAUUUAUGCUUUUAUGAGUGCAUUGUAGUUAUGCAUAAUAGUGGGAUUCGUUUUGACAUAAUCAUACAUGCAUGGAAUUUAACUUGCUCCAUUUCAGUCCCUGGUGUCCCUCCUUCCACCCUCCCUCUUUUCCCCUUGCUCCACUCUGCUUGUCUUUCUUUCAUUCAUUUAUUUAUUUAUAGACAAAUAAGUAAAUUGGUGUUUUAUAGAUGCAUAUGAAGAUGGGAUUCACUGUGGCAUAUUUAAACAUGCACAUAGCAUGAUUUCAAUCUGCAUUUUUUCCCUUUGUCUUUCCUCCUUCCUCUCCUUCUACUCCACUGAUCUUCCCUAUCUUUAUGAUAUCUGACCCCCACUUUUUCCCUCUUACUCUGUUUUAGCUUGUUCUUAUAAUAGAGAACAUUCGACCCUUGAUUGUUUGAGUCUGACUCAUUUCACUUGGGAUGAUAUUCUUCUGUUCUAUUCAGUUGUCAGCAAAUGCCAUUAUUUCAUUUUUUAAAAAUGACUGAAUAAAAAUCCAUUGUGUACAUAUACUAUAUUUUCUUAAUCCAUUCUUCUAUUGAUGGACACCUGGGCUGUUUCUGUAGCUUGGCUCUUGUGAGUUGCACUGCAACAAACAUUGCUGGGGCUGCUGUAUCACUAGAGUAUGCUGACUUCUUUUACUUUUACUUUUUUUUUUUUUUUGAGCUUACUAAACUUUUGAGAGUGUCUUCACAUCUCAUUAAUUCCUCAACCCAUUACAGUCUGGCUUCCACAAACACCACUCAAUUAAAAACCCUCUCUCGCCAGCAUCCUCUCAAUUGGCCCACUCAGUGGUCCUACUUUCCCUUGUCAUCCUACUUGACAUUUAUGCAACAUUGGACAUGGUUGACCAGCUUCUCCUUAUUGAAACUCUUUCCUUUCUCAGCCUCUUUUAUUUCACCGGCUCCUGCAUCUCUGAGCUUCCUUCAUGGGCUUCCUUUGCUGGUUCCUCCUGCCCUUUGAUGUUGUUUAUUAGGGGAUCUGUUUAUGGGCUGCUCAUGUUGCCUUCUCCUGCUCUAUUCGAAUUUCUUCAUUCAUUCCAUAUGCAUUGAUGAAGCUCUCUGCCUCGUGACUUCUCAGCUGAACCCUAAUUCUUAUUUCCUAGAGCUUUUAGAAUAUUUUCUCUUGUUAAAAAAAACAGGCUGCAUUAUUAUUAUUACCAUUAUUUGUGGUGAUCAUUAUUAAAUUCUCCGUGCAUUUUCACAUUUUUUUUUUUGUUUGUUUACUGUGUCCUUCCUACCACCACCCUGGCUUGGAGCAUGCUUGCCUUUUAUUCAAGAACGGCUCUUCUAGAUGUUUUCUGCCACCUUUACGAAGAGUUAGUUGUUAUUUCCUUUUUACUUUUGAAGCAUUUUGAUAAUGACUGAUAUUAAUGGAAUUCUGACGUGCCAAUGGCUGAUCUAAGUUCUUCAUAUGGAUUAUCUUAUUCAGCCUGCACAGUAGCUCAGGAGUUCUUAUCAUCUACUGAUUUUGGAGGAAGAACCUAAGACUCCACAUAAUAAUUUGCUCAAGGUCUUACAAUAAAGUUUCAAACCCAGGCAGUCUGAGUCCAGAGUCCAUGCUAUAAAUCAUAAUGAUCUUAUGCCACCUUUCCAAAUAAUAGUAGCUAACUUUUACUGACUGCUUACUUUGUGUGUAGAUUUUCUCUGUGUUUGGCCCCUAGGAAACUCUUAGGAAAUCCUAUAAUCAUAAUACCUAUUUUAUGAAUGAGAAAAUUGAGGCAUGGAUAGUUUAAGUAACUUGCUCAGAACUGCAGAGCCCACAAAGUAGCCAAGUUGGAAUGUGCUUUGUGUUAUUUACACAAAUUACAGAGAUUCCCAAAUUGCUCUGUAAUUAACCACUUAGGUGCCUUCAUCUUUUGCUCUUCUUGUGGGCCCAGGUGAUGUCAUUUUCAACUUUUUAAGCCCUUUUAUCUUGUCAUAGAAUGCAAGUUUCAUAAAUGUGGAGGGAAGAGAGACUAUAGCAUUUUGGCUACUAUUAUCUUUGGGUCUUUUUUCUAGGACAACUGAUAGGCACCCAAUUAUAUAUGUUUUCUAUAGCAAAUCAUUUUUUUGUUUGUAGCAUUAUGAAGCAAAACAUGAAAAUGCUACUUCUACAAACUUUCUUUUAAGUAAAAAUAGUUUCACCUCCCAAAGGUAAAAUAAUUGCUGUCCAGACUGUCUGUAUUUGCUACUCUCUCUCUUUAGCAGUUUUUGGCUGUUUUGUCCAGAUGGAAAGUUUAGUUGAAGAACCUUAAUUUGUUUGGAGACCAUAUUUCACAAAAUAUAUGCCUAUAACAAAUUGCAGUCACAUCAUAGCUUGAAAGAGGACAUUUUAGGUUGAGUGCAACUACAUCUGCCCAUUUUUCCUUCCCUCCUGCCCUUCUUCCUUUCCUUCUUACUUUCCCUAAUAUCUAGGUUUCACCGUGUGUUGAUGUUGUCACAGAAGAUCUAAUAUGUACUCUGUUUCCAAAAUUAUAAUCUCUAUCUCUUCACUUCAUUUCAAACAGGUUGGUUUUGUAGUUUUUAAGCCAUAAAAUGCAGUGCUUUGCCUCAAUAAAGUACAAUGUAUCUAGUCAUUUUUCUUAUCGUUUUGUUUAUAGAAUCACAAAAAUAAUGCAAUAUUUUGCAGAAAAGAUCCAAAAUACGUGAUUAUAUUCAGUAAAAUUUGAAGUCUCUCUUUGCCAAUGUGUCCAAUUCUAUUUCUCAACUUGCUUUCCUUGCAACAUUUUUUCCUAUACAUUAUAAACACAAAUGUGCCCACACACAUAUUGAGUUUUAAAAUAUCAUAAAUUAAAAUUACAUUACACAAUCUUUCUUCAGUAUAUUUCUCCUACCACAGUAUAUCUUUCUGUGUCUGUAUUAAUAAAUCUACUUAAUUAUUUUUAAUGGUUACAUGACAUUCCUUGUGAAUUUACACUGUAUAACCAACACUUUAUAAACCAAUUCCAUUCAGAGAACGUGUGUAUUGGUUUCCACGAUGGUAAACGCGCACCUAUCUUUGUGCUCAUGCAAGCUUUCUGUAGCUGAAUUCCUAGAAUUCACAUUGCUCCUUUAGGGAGUGCAGAUUCUGAUAGACUUUCCCUGUUGACAGUCCCCACCAACCCCACCUUUCACAUGCCCAUCCUCACAUGAGGCCUUUCUAUAGGGAAUCUGAGCUAUCCAUCUUUACAAUUUUAAUAAACAUAGCUAAAUUUAUAUAUUUCAAUCAACAUUGAGGAUGAAUCUGAAUCUAUAACUGCCCCCUGCCCUCCAAACACUGCUAGAUUGGUAGCAUGCCCGUACUUUUCUCUCUCCUCUUCUACUUUCUUUAAUUAAUUCUAUCAUUUGAAAUUGUCUUGGUUAUUACGCAUCUUUAAAACCCAUUUCCCUGUUUCUUGUAUCUCAUUUCUUAAUAAUUACAUUGAGCUUUAUGCCUACAUUAUACCAAACAAUUUAGAUUAAACUGUUUCACCUAUCCUUUUGUGUUAUGACAUUCCUUUUUAAAAUAUUUUUAAAUAAAAUUUUUAAAUUUUUUCUAUCUACAAAGAGAUGCCUAGGUGGUCAGGUUUAUAAAUCAUUGCAUAUAAAACAAUGUUCUUAUUUUUUAUUGGUUCUAGAUUAUUAUUUUAUUUUAUUACAGAAUUCCAGGUUUGAGAUAACUUUUUCUUAGUUUUUUUUUUGAGAGCAUUUCUCUAUUAUUCUUGGGUACUGAGUCUUGUUGAUAUAAAAUAUGAUGGCAAACUGGCUUUUGUUCUUUUAGGUCGAGAAUUUUUUUUUUUCUCCUUAGAAGAUUUGAUUUUUCUCUCUGCCCUUGGACUUUUAAUAAUAUCACCAAGAUUUAUAUGUGUCUUUUGUUUGUUUGCUUUUAAAAUUCUCUGACUUAGCAAUUUGUCAGCUACUUUCAGAAAAAAAAAUUCAGAUUCUCAUAGCAAUGAAAUUCUGAAUUUUCUUUUACUAUUUUUUCUUGCUUGGUUCAAUGAGAAAAACCAAGACAAAAAACAGCAAAGGAGAAAUAAAAUGUGUAUGUCCAUGAUUUUUUAAAAAAAUCUUCUCAAUAGCUGUAUUAUUUGAUUAUAGCUUAUCAUGACUAAUCAUUGUAUUUUUUGCUACUGAAUAGACUUGCAUAUCUAGAAAUAAUAUAUGCUUCCAUUCUUUCUGGUCAUAUAGGCUAUUUAGUUACUUACAGUCAGGCAUAAGAAAUUUUUUAGAUUAUAGAAUUUAGAUCAUAGAAUUUCUGUAUUCCUGAGGGAGCAAAAUCUGCUUUCUGUGCCCCAAAGCCUAUAUUCUCACUCAUUUUCUUGAAAAUUGGAGAUGAACUUGUCUGGAAUAACAAUUUGACCCCAUUCAUUAUAAAAUCAUUUUCAACAGUUUAUUGAGUGCAUUUAGAUUACAUAUUUAGAUUGCAUGAGUUUCUGAGAAAUAUAUUAAUAGUAUACAAAAUUAUAACAUGCAAAAUAUCAACAAAAAAUCCCAAGCCUCAAAAAAUAGCUUAAAUGUGUUAUAGGAAAAAAUUGUGGAUCUGACUAUCUGUGGACUAAUCUUUAUUUAACACUUCUCUGUGCCAGGCUCCUCUACUGUUUUCUAUAAGCAUGGCUUCGUUUAAUCUUGACAAUAGUUGUGUAAGGCAACUGUUAUUACCCUAUUUUACAUAGGAGGAAAAUAAAGUUGAAAAAUAAGUUAGCAAACAAUGAAGUCAGGAUUUGAAUCCAAGCUUCUCGUUUCCUCAAGAGUGCUUACUUAUGGUGCAUGGUGGUGUGAAAAUUGUUCAGGAUCUUGAUCUCUGCAUCUUCAAUCAGAGAAGACAUCCUACAGGUGGUGUCUCCCAAAGGAACCUCUGGCUAGGAAGAGCAAAGCAUUCCAGAAGAGGAUAAUUUUUAUAAUGGCAGAACAGUUGAAGAAUGUAGCCCCACUGGGGAGAACUGUAGGUUGUUGUGUAUGGGUAUAAGAUCUCUCCAUGAGCUAUCUAUUCUUCUGAGGCAUGGUUGUUUUAGUACUUUGGGUUUUAUGAAAUUUUUUUUUGUACACAAUUGCUCAGUGAUACACAUCAGAGCAGAUGAAGAUUUGAUAAUUUCACCUAUACAGAGAUAGCCUUAAGAUGUGAUUUCAUCUAUUUAGAAUGGACUGAAAUGACUAUGGAUUUCAGGUGAAAUUGUCACAAAAAUACUAUGUGGUCCAAUAAUAUUUACUCAUCAAAAUAAUGGUAAAGUUGAGGUUAGAGUUUGAGGUUACAAUUGACAGUACAGUUCAGGACAGCAGUUUAUCAGAUCUGCAUGGUUCUGGCCCAUGAGGAUUCCAAACAGGCCAACUACUCAGGAGUAGCCCGCAACAAGAGGAUGAGAAAGAAUGAAUGCCAGAGAAAAAUUUUGAAAAGUACUGAAGAGUACUUUUGAUUUUAAGCUUUCAGAGCAUUUCUAUGCACAUAAAUCAAUCAAGAGCCCAUUGAAUAGUUAAGAAAAUGCUUUUCACGGAGCUGUUUAAAAUUUAACAGGUGUCAAAGAAAUUCCACCAAAGAAACUAAAGUGCAUUUCCAGUGUGUUUUAUGUUCAGAGUUAUUGCCUGACACAAGGACAGAAUGUGAGACCAAGUAUCUGCAUCCAGGGAAUGAUGAUUGAAUUCGAACUCUGAGUUAGAUUGCAUCAUGGUCCAGAAAUAUCCUGGAUCAUUAAAUUAAUUAAUUCACAGAUACACUAAUUUCUAAAGAUUUUACUCCCAUAUAGCAUAAUGAAAGCUUGGGGUAAUAGGUUGUAUUGUGAUCUUAGGUCAACCUACCACCCGUGGCUCUAUGUGUUUAUCUGUGGGAGCCAAUGCUGAGUGUGUCUGGUGAAAUUCCUUCGUAAUUUGAACCCUUCUCUAUUGAAGUGAUCUCUGACCACUUUAAGGCUCUGGUAUCCCUUCAAAAACAAAGGCUUUAUCUCUUCAGAUCUCACCCUGAAUUCCAUUUGCCUCUGAAUUCCAAUCAAAGGCAACAGAAUAAUUCAAUUCCCUUUGAAAUUUUUGAUGCAAUCUGAUGUUGACGUGGAUCUCAAGAGUAGUCUAGUGAAAAGCAUGUUCUCCUGCUGGAUCAUUGCCCACAUUGUUUUUUUGUAUGUGAUUCAAAGCUGUUUAGAACAAGGUUUUUCUCAAGUCCCUUAUACUGUCACAGCUUGGAUAAAUUCACUUUGGUGGAAAAACAUCUUGAUCUAUCAAGCUUGGGUCAUCAACUUCAUGAAUUUAGAAAACAUGAGGGUGUGCAGAGAAAAGUGCUGUGAUUAAUCCUUGAUGUGAUAAAAAGAAAAAUGUAAUUAGAAACAAAGCUAUUGUUCAAGAGAUGGGCUGAACUUCUAGGGACUGACUUCUAAUCCUGAGACAGGCUUGCCCAUGGGACUUGUGAUUUUUGUGCAACAUCAAAGAAGGAAUGGAGGAUGUAGAGAUGAACUUACAAGUCACAACAUGUUUCCUGGGGCAUGAAUAGUCUUUCUACUCUGGCCCCAGAUUUUAUCCUUCAAUGGCCUUCUAUCACACCAAUUCUCUGAACCUCUCAUAUGGGCAAUUAAUCUAUUUAUUCUUUUGUUUUGUCCUCGGAUUGCUCAUGUAUUAUCUGCCUCCACAACCAGAUUGAAAGGUCCCAGAGAUCAAGGGCCAUGUUUUUCACUGCUGGUGUGGUGACAGCAGUAUCUAAUGGUGUGUGGAGUUCACGGGAGACUUCCCUCAAACCUUAAAAAGUGGCAUCAAAUUGAGUAAGUAGCCUCAGGAAUCUUGACCCAGGGCCAGCACAGAAUCCACAAAAUGUACUUGUCCUCACCACUUCCCAUCUACUUCCCAUCUUGUUCCUCCACUCUCCUGCCCCAACAACCCCGCAUGCUCUCCUCACAAGGCAUCUUCACUUUGGAAAACAUUGCUACUUUUUUCAUCUAUGGUCGUUUUCUUCUGCUCAAAUGCCAAAUUUAGGCAUAUGGCAUUAAGUCUUUUUUUUUUUUUUCAAGCCAAUAGUUAACAGGCUAAUAGUUAACAAGUAUAUAUGAACAAGUUAAUAAUUAACAAGUAAAAUACAUUAUAACUAUGUGGUUGCCUAGACUCAACACAGGAUUUCCUAACAUGUGUAUGCUUACAGGCUUCAUAAGUGGAUUUUCAAUAUAUCAUUACGGUUUUUAUUGAGCAUGGCGAUCUCAUCAUUUUUGUUGGAGUUCAUUCUUGCUUCCAAAGUCCAAGCCAUUUCUUUCUUUCCCCCUUAUUUUCUCAUAAAAAUGUGUAUCACUUAUGAUUCUAAAAUUAAUAAGUAGUUAUUAUAAAGACUUGAGAAAGGCCUGGGGUUGUGACUUGGUGGUAGAACACUUGCCUGGCAUGCGUGAGGCACUGGGUUCGAUUCUCAGCACCACAUAAAUAAAUGAAUAAAGUUAUUGGGUCCAUUUACAGUUAAAAAAAAAAAGACUUGAGUAAAUACAGGAGGACAACCAGAAAAAUAAAAUCCAUCCAUAAUUUAAUUGCUUAGGGACAAGCAUUUCUAAAGUUAUUUUCUCCCAGGCUGAUCUUAUGCACAUAUAUGUGCAUGAUCCUCACCUCAUAAACUUAGAUAAAUAGUAAGAUAUGUUUUCUUACUUUAAAAAAUCCAAAUAAAAUCUGCCCUUUUCCUCACAGAGCCUAUCACAAUCAGUUUGCCAACUUUGAAGAAACUUCACUGAUGUUUUUAUUAUAAUUUACUGAAAAUUAUAAAUUAAUCAUGAAAAGUAAGUUUUUAAAAAUAAUAUUUAGUUUCCCAUCUAAGAAUAUAGUAAAUAAACUUUGAGUUUUCUUCUAUCUCUCUAAGUUGUAGAUUUGGGAUGGGUGAGAGGAGGGGUGUGGGGUUAAAGUCCCACCUUUUUCUGAGUUAUUUUAGAUGUUUAACAUUUUUUUAAUUGCAAAUGUGAAAAAAAUCUUUUUUAUCCUUACACUUCCCUUUAUUGUUGGAAUUAUUUUAGAAAGUUAUUGAUUUUUUUUUGUGUUUCCUUUGUUUUCAAUCAUAUUAGUAAACUUUCUUAUAAGUUUUAUUAAAUUUUCAAUUUAUAUUUUGGAAAUUUUAAGUAGACCAUAGCACUUACAAAUAAUAACAGCUAUACUUUUUUUUUUUAAAAUAUAGCUUAUUGCAUUGAUGGGAAUGUGUAGAACAAGAUUAAUAAUGUGGACAUCCUGUUUUUUAGAAAUGGGGUCUUACCAUGUUGCCCAAGCUGGCCUGGAAAUCCUGGGCUCAGGCAAUCCUUCUGCCUCAGUCCUUCGGAAGCUGGGACACCAGGCCUGUACUACUGUGCCCAGCUCUUUUUAAAGGGAAUGUCUCAUAAUAAUAAAAGGGUGAUCGGUAGAGUAGAGCAGGCAGAUCAGGGGGAGGGAGAAUGGGCUGGAAGGGGAAGGUGCUGAGGAAUAAGAAUGAUCAAAUUAUGGGUGUGUCUGAAUAUGGCAUAAUGAAUCCCACUAUGUAUAAUUAUAAUAAAAAAGAAAGGGAAUGUCACCAAUGUUUUAUGGACAGAUAUUACUCCUGAUUUGAAAUAGAUUUUUUUUAUCAUGCUAAGUAAUCAAUAGUUGUUUGUAAACAAUAUUCUUUGGAUUGAGUGUUUCUUAGAAUUUUGUAGUCACCUGUUUUUUAAAAAAUAAACUUUUGUGUUGAGAGUCAACAUAGGCAUAAUUUACUAAUCUAUUGAUCAUCGAAGGAUAGCAGUAAAUAUGAUAAUAAUUAGCAUGUGUAACCUAGACUUUUAUGCCAUUUGUAUUUUUGUUUUUAUCACAUAUUUGCAUUUUUCUUUCUUUUUAUCAUAAUAAUCUUCAUAAGAAGUCAGGUUUUUUUCCUUUGCAGCAUCUCAUAGUAUCUUCUUAGGUGUUCAUAGUGCAUGUGAUGAUUCGCAAUUCAUGUUAUGUUCUCUUCCAUAGAUGGCCCUGUUAUGGUAUAAGUUGCUCUGGCAGACUUCUUUAAAUGAAAUUUUAAUCCUGCUUUAUGCCUAUACAAUGUGGUACAACCCAUAGGCUGGGCAAAACUCAUAGCAUGCUUCUCUGGAAUAGCAUAUAGUUUUUGUUCUUGUUUGCAUUUCUCAAGAUUGAACUUUUAAUUCUUUUCUAUGAAAUGGACCUAACAGAGUUUUAUGAAGUGAUAUUUAUAGUCUUACCUAGCUAGCAUAAUUUUCAUUAUCUUUUAAAUCUUUGUUUUGCAAACUUCUUUAUAUUUGUUCAGAACAAAAUAUUUCUUGGGGCAGAGUAAAUGUUCACUAUUUGCCAUGUUCUGAUGAGGCACAUGCCCUUUGAGUAGUCCAUCCUCAAGUAGUUUUCCUGGGCUUUGCUGGCCUGGUUAAACUGUCUGUUUCUCUUGAGUGCAGGGCUGUGGACUCCCUGUGUACUGGAUAGAGAAGGGGUAUGGGGUUCUGGCCCAGUGUCUCACCAGUCACAUGUGUGCCUGCCAGAAAAGUAGGAAAGUGCUCUUAUGUGUGAAAAAAGAAUAUCAAAUUAAGUAAAAUAGGACUAAGUUUUCCUCGAGGGCUAGUUUGUUAUCUACAUGAUUAAGAUGUUAAUAUAAUUCAGGAAUUGCAAAAAUAUUUUCUUGGUAUCCAUGAAGAUUUUUAAGCUUUUUGGGCCCUCAAAAUCUCUUAACAUCUUAUUAAAUCAAUGUAAAAUCACCAUUUAAAGAUCUUAAAAAUGUUCAAUUUACUAUCUGCAUCAAACAUCUUCAAUUUUGAGUAAUAGGAGUGUCAUUCUAAUGCUCCUUUGAAAAAUAAUUUAAUCAACUCUUCUACAUGUAUAUUGACUGCAAUCACACUUAUGUUACUUCUCUCUACUCCAUGUCAAAAACAAUUCAAAUAACAACAAACUACAGUGACCUCCCAGCUCCAGCACAAAAAUACUGCUUUAGAAAGAGCAUAUUUCAGGUUAUCAAACACUCUUCAUUUCCACAGUUCUGGUCAACCAACAAAAUGCAUUUUUUUCCAUAAUUUUAUUCUCUACCAGUUUGACUAAGUUCUUACAGUUGAUUUUUUCCAAAAUCACCAUGCUUCUUCACUGAUAAAGAACUACCUUAUUUCCGUAUUCAUUUGUAUCUCCCAGUUGUGUCUACCUAAUUGCAGGUUAGUUUGGGCUAUCUGCGUAAGGAUAAAUUAGCUUGGAAGCCAAAUUCCAUUAUUCCUACUACAAAGAUAGGUCCAAUAACAGAUGCAAGAAAUUUCAACCAUCUUUUCUAUUGGGAUCACAGAUGGUAUUGAUGUGAAAGACAUCUGUGGCACAGACCAGAGGAGGGAUGGUUGGCUUCAUUUAGAAGCAGGGCAAAAGAUAUGGCAAAAGAGAGCUAAGGAUGCCAGGAGGAAUUUCAUGCGCGUUCACAGGUCCUGGUAAGUUGAUUGAUUGUAGCAGAUUCAGAGCCCAUUGAUGGGGGAUCUAGGGACAGACUGGGUGAUGCUACUGUGUUUCUGGAGGAAUCUAGAUUGAAGAAUAGAUACAAUAAAUUGUGUGAAAGAAUAGACAGAAAGACUUGUGAGGGAAAAAAAAUUAUCAAGCAGGAAUAUGGUCACAGCUUGAACCCUUUCGUACCUUUGUUAAGGAAAGUUUUACAUCAAGAGAUAGAUGAAGUAAUAAGGCAAAUGAACCUAUAUGGAAAAUAUGUAAAGUUUAAAAAGUGGAACAGAACUGUGAUAUUAGUUGAAUAUUAAUAUAUUAAUGAUAGGAUUUAGAUUAUCCAUUUAUUAAUUUAACAAUACUACAGAGCAUCUACUAGAAACUGACAGUUGCUGAGAGAUGAUGGAUGCAAAUUAAAUAUGGUCCUGAGCUUCUAGAACUUGCAGUCUUAUUGGGAACCCUUCAUGUGUGGCAAAACACUAGUACACGAGGAAAAGAUAAAUAUAUAGUUGAAAUCAUUUUUUUAUAAUUCUCAAUAUUUGUAUUUGUACAGCCCAUCCUUUUUAUUAUCAUAAGCUAUAAAUAUCAGCAUAACAAUAAGCAUUUUACAUAUACUAAUUCAUUUAAUCAUGAUGCACCCAGGGUUAAGUAACUCCUAAGCAGGAGGGCUGGGAACCAAGUCCAGGCUGUAUAGGCCUCGAGUCUGUGCUCUUAAUCAUGACUGUAGUGUAGUGAUGCAACUCUUCAUGCCAAACUUCCUGUAAAACUUUAUCCUGAACAUUAGCAUUCAUUAGCUUCCCUGUUGUUGAGUCAUAAUGUCCCCACAUCACUUAUAUUUGCUGGAGCUCUCUGCCUACAGUAGGCCUUUGGGAUAUGUUAUUGAUAACUGGCCUCACCACUCAGGCCAAGAAGGUCAACUUGUUGCAUAAAUGAUAUUGGCAAGUUUCCUUAAAUGCAGUUUUAAUUCUGCUUUAUGACUGUCAAGUGACCUCAUUGAAUACACUUUCAAGUAAGGCUAAACCCUAGGGAAAUAAGGAGGACCUAAGACUGGCUCAGUUCACACACAGGCCAGAAAGUUCCAGGCAUUUGGAGUACAGUGAUGCUCGAGGAGGAUGGCAGAACACCUGGUAACCCAACAACAUCUCUCCGAGGAGGUUUUUCUUGCUUCUCCCUUAAUAGUAAGUACCAUCUCCCCCCACUUUCUUUCUCCAUAGCAUAGAAUUCUUAUUACCUUCCACUUCUAUUGCUUCGUGACCUUCACUGCCUACUUUCUGCAGUUGCUCUGUUUGCUGCCCUAUGUACAAGUCUCAGAUUUAUAUUCCUCAUGAGAUAGUAUCUUAUGGGACCCGAUUUAAGCUAACUGGUUCUGGGCUCAGUUUUGGUGCUGGUGUCUAUACAUGAGCUGAUGACCUGUCUGGAGCCAAUUGCUCUUGACUCAGGAGCUGAUCCCGGUCACUAAUUUGUGGCCAGGUUGUGCUGUUUCUGGAGCUUUCUGCAGGAAAUUCUGGGUGAGUUAGGCACUCUGAGCAUCUGGGAAGGGUGUAGUGAAACUGGCAAAGUAUUCGCAUAGCUUUUCUGAUAUAAAUACAUUAUUGAUUUUUUCCACAUUGAAUACCUAUGUGAUGCAUGUCAAUAAUUUGUGUGGAACAGGGAAAGAACCUGUCUAUUUGAAUGGAAAGAUAAUGCAGGAGAUGAACUGUGAAAUGGUUAGAAUUUUAUAAGUUUCACACUUUGAAAAAAUUUGUAAAGAUAGAGUUUGUAAUAAUGUGGUUAAUUUUACAGUUGCUGAUAACAAAGUGAGGGCAGAAAGAAACUAGAAGAGUUUACCUAGAUGAUUUCCUACUCUAAAACACUAAAGUGGAUGUCAACCAUUCACACAUUUGUAUCUAAAAGAAGACCUCCUAAAACCUGUGAAGCAACAUGUUCAUGAGAAGUCACUGCACUAGAAAGCCUUUAUCUCUUCAUCUUGAUUACUCUGCCUUAUGUCCUUCUUAGCCUCUAUCACUUCUGCAUGCUAUACAUUUAUGUGUUUAUUGUUUGUCCUUGUCUCCCCUGUGAAUUCUCUAAGCUAUGUAGUGACUUGGUGUCCUUUACCAGCUGCUAUUUCUCCAGGGUCUAGAAAGUGCAUGGCAUAUGGUACAAAUUCAUAAAUGUUUGUUGAGUGAGUGAAUGAGCUAAUAUAUAUAUAUAUGUAUUGAAAAGUGUCUAGAAAAAUAUACACCAAAGUGUUAAUAGUACUCACUUCUGGCGAGUAUAACCAGCAAAGCUAGAAGAGAAUUAAGGGAGAAGGAUGUAAAAUGGCAAACAUCAAUAUUAUAGACCUCCAUAACAUUCACAUUUUUGUUACUUAAUAAGAAAAAAAAUUGACUUGCUUUACAUUAGGCUUUUUAGGAACAUAUCUAUUACACAAAUAAGUAAAGGCAUAUAUAUAUAUAUAUAUAUAUAUAUAUAUAUAUAUACACACGUAUAUAUAUAUAAUAUAUAUACACACAUAUAUGUAAUAAUGAAAAUAAAUAUUUAUUAAUCUUAUAGUCUUUUUCAAUAAGUAUGUCCAAUAUUUUAUAGUAAGAUAGAAAGUUCUUCUUCAGAAAGAUAUUUUUUAAAAAUCUAUUUUUAGUAUUUCACAUGUGGUAUGAAAUGAAUAUGCAAUUGUCAACUGUCUAAGCAAAAUAAAACAUACCAAUUUUUAAAGUAAAAAUCCCUUUGAAAUGUCUGGAAACAUUCAUCAGUACUCAGUGAUAUAAGAGAAUUGCUGAGAAGAAUGCUUGAAAGUAUUUAAGAAACAAUUGAUUAUAAAUAAUAAAUAGAAUCAUCUUGUAAGGGUAAAAAUUAUGCCAACAUGCAAAAUAGCUUUAAAAAAUACUAUAAAAUUGAAAAAUUGUAGAGGAGGAGACUAUUAGGGUCCAGUCAGGAAAUCAGACUGUAUUAGAUGUAUUUUAGUAAGCACAUUUAUAUGGGUAAAUAAUUGCAAAGACAAGGGCAAGCUUAAAAAUCCUAGGUGGAAGGAAGGCAAACUAGUCAUUAACAAUAGUAGGAAGCCUCUAUCUUCUGUGGGGCUGGCGGAACCCAGGGAGGAGGCACUGUUACCAGAGCCCUGAGACCAGGAUCACUGGCUAAGAACUGGAUCACAUCCAGAGACACAAGGGAGGGGGCUAGAAUUACAAAGGGAGAGACUCUCUGCCAGAAAAUGGUCUAAGAAGGAGAUACAGACACUACACAAAGUAGAAAGAGGGGAAGAAGUACUCUGGCUUCUUCCUGCUCCCCACCGUCAAAUCUCCCACUAGUACUUUCCAUUGGCCAAAUCCAAAGGGAAGUAAGUGUAAAAGGGCUGGUAAAUGUAGUUUACAGAGUUUGCCUUGACACAUGCUGUAGACCCAGAGGAACAAUGAGGAAUGGUUUUGAGAGUAAACAGGUAAAAGACAUGAAUAAAUGGUUUAAUGGAGGUAACAAUGCUUUAUUCAUGCAGCUGUUCAAUUUCAUAUAAAAUAUUUUAGGUAUACUUAGAAUUAUUAAUUUUAUGCAGCAUUUAUUCAGGUGUAUUUACACAAGACUCUCAGCAUGGAUUGAAGCAUAGCAUUUUUUUUUACAAUUUUUUUUUUAGUUGUAGAUGGAUACAAUAUCUUUAUUUUCUAUUUAUUUAUGUGGUGCUGAGGAUUGAACCAAGAACCUCAUGCAUGCAAGGCAAGUGCUCUACUACGGAGCUACAAGCCCAGCCCCAACCUCAGCAUAUCAUUCUUUCUCAACCUUUUCAGGUGGAAGAAUCCUUUUCAUAUCAAUGUAUCACCAAUCAAGUGAUUAAUUCUUUAUUCCUGUAUUAUUUCAGCAACAUAUGGCACAAAAAGAUAAACAUUUAUUUAAUUGAGGUUAGGAAUUUUUAUAUUUGUGCUAAAAAAUUAAACAUUUUUUAAGAUUAUUUUUUUCUGACUUAUUUCUAAAUGGCAAACCAAGAGAGAGAACUUGAAGCUGUUACUUACAAGCUUUUCUUGUGAACAAUCCCCUUGCCCCAAUAACUUGGAGGCCGAAUUAGAUAUAACAAUCAUUUUACUUUCUCUUUUUGACUUUGGCUUUUGAAAUAUUGGAGGCAUUUCAAUGUGAUGUGUAGGAAUUUAAAUGAAAUGAAUGAACCUUAUGGAUCUGUUGAAGAUCAUCUUGAGGUGAAUUUGCAGAAUUAUUAUCAUUUAUUGCUUUUCAUCAACUAUAUAAUUGAGAAGGUUUUCCCAGUGAUUUAUACCACCAUAAAAUACUUGGUCUUAUUUCUAUUAAUUAUGAUUUGGAAGAUGUCGUAAGUAUAGUGUUAAUGAGUAUGUUGAAUGAUGUUAGAUUAAUUGGAAUGACAAAAAUGCCUUAAGCAAAGAGUUAGAGACUAUUGGUAAAUCCAAAGAUACAACUGUUAUUUACUUUGUGUCCUGCCCUAUCCUUAGAAAUAUGACUUUUCCAGAGCAAGAAUUUAGAUCAAUGUUCAAUCUGAUAUUUUUAAAAGUUUUGUUAUGGAAAUUUCAAGCAUAUACAUAAAUAAUUCUUAGUACUGCUAAUUUAGCUUCAACAGUGAUCAACUCAGGACUAGUCUCAUUUCUUUAUAAAUUCCUUCAAUUUCCCUUUCCUGUCUUCAUGAGCUCCACUGGAUUAUUUUAUAGACAACCCCCAGAGAUCAUAUAUCACUUCAUUCUUGGUUUUAACAUCCUUUAAAAAAAAACAUUUAAAAAUUUGUUCUAAUUAGUUAUACAUGAUAGUAGAAAGCAUUUUGAUACAUCAUACAUUAAUGGAGUAUAACUUCUCAUUUAUUUGAUUGUACAUGAUGUAGAGUUACACAGGUCAUGUAAUCAUACAUGCACAUAUGGUAAUAAUGUCUAAUCCAUUUUACUAUCAAUCAUAUUCCUUUGCCCCCUCCCCUCCCUUUACUCCCCUCUGUUUAGUCCAAAAUACCAUGAUUCCCCCCACCCCACCCCAUUGUGAGUUAGCAUCCACAUAUCAGAGAAAACAUUCAGACUUUGGUUCUUUGGGAUUGGCUUAUUUCAUUUAGCAUAAUAUUCUCUACUUUGAUUCAUUUACCAGCAAAUGCCAUAAUUUCUCUAUAUCAGUUUCUUUAUCCUUGCAUCUGUUGAAGGGCAUGUAGUUUGGUUCCAUAGUUUAACUAUUGUGAAUUGAGCUGCUAUAAACAUUGCUGUGGCUGCAUCACUAUAGUAUGCUGAUUUUAAGUCCUUUGGGUAUAAACCUAUUAGUGGAAUGACUGGAUCAAAUGGUGGUUCCAUUCCAAGUUUUAUGAGAAACCCCCAUAUUGCUUUUCAUAGUGGUUGCACCAAUUUGUAGUCCCACCAGCAAUAUAUGAGUGUGCCUUUUCCCCCACUUCCUUGCUUAAAUUUUUGAUGGUUGCCAUUCUGACUGGAGUGAGAUGAAAUCUCAGUGUAGUUUUGAUUUGCAUUUGUUUAAUUGCUAGAGAUGUUGAACAUUCUUCUCAUAUUUUUUUUAUCAAUUGUAUUUCUUCUGUGAAGUAUCUUUUAACAACUUUUUCUGGGGAGGGAGAGAAAGAGAAAUGUUAGCUUUCCAUUUUGUAAUAGUAGGAGGUUCAACACAAUGUUCAUCUGUUUCCUAAGAAUGAUUGGUUUUGGUGAGCCAUUGUGUUGGAAAUCACCAGUGAAUUACAUAUCCUUUGGUGAACUGCAUUAAAUACAGAUACCAGGUAAAUGACCUUUUAAAAUGUAGAUAAUUCUUAGGAUGGGAAAUAAGUUAAUUUUUAGAAAUCAUUACUCUGCAUUUUAAAGUCGGAUUCAUAUGUAAUCAUUUGGUCCAAUGUAGAAUCAUAAUGCAGUGGAAUUUUGGACAGAUAUAUAUAUUAGAGAUGAUUAGAAGUCUCAUGAAAUAUUCCAGAACCUAGAACUUGUGCUUCACCAGUGUUGACAACAAUGUUCUGAAAUUUUAUGGUGGGAUAGGGUGGGAAGGACCAGAAAACUUGUGCUGAAAUAACUGAAGAAAAAUUCUCUUCUCACUUUACAUGAUUUCAUUGGAAAAUACUGUUUGCCUAUGUCAUUGAUUAUCCUCCAUGUUGAUAACUUCCAGAUCUGUAAUUUUUUACUCUUUUCUUAGCUUGGGUUCAAAUGUACAACUACUAGUAGGUAUUUCCAUAUGCUUAUUACAAAGCUCCUCAUAUUGAACAGGUCUAAAAAAGAUCAUUGUACCUCCCAAACCUAUCUUUUCCUCCCACUUUCUUCAUCUGUAGGAAUGGCACCAUCAUCCAAUUGGGACACUUGAGAAAUAUAGUCUCCUUCUUCUCGCCAAAUUCCUCAGACCAAUCAGAUUUCAGUUCUUGUCCUAUCUACCUCUUCAAAAACUCUCAAUUUCUCCCACUGACAGUGUCCUUGCACUAGUUUAGACUUUUUGUUUUCUGCCAUAACUAGUAAAUUUGUCUUAGAUCUAAAACAUUCUCUACCCUGCUAUUUGAGAUGUGUUGAACACGCAAUAUCUCUCCAGUCUCAAAUUCUUAAGUUUAUUAUUCUGGAUGGCAAAUACAACAUUUUACUAUGUAGCACUACCUUAUUUGUUGGGUAGGUCUCCUGCCAUUACUUAAUGGCUUUACAUUUAACUAUAUGGAAAUACAUAUAGUUCUCCAAAUAUGCUAAAAUGCACAUUCUGAUUCAGAUGAUGUCUAAGAGUCUGUAUUUCUAAUAUGAUCCCUGUUGAUGCUUCUGGUUCACAGAUCAUACUUUAGUAAAAGGGUCAUAGGCUUUAUUUUUGCCCUCUCUUAGUUUCCAGAGGAGUCACAGUUUUAUCCUCACUUUGCUAUAUGUUGUUUUAACUACUUUGUGGCUUCUACCAUUUUAUUUCACAUAUCAGUCAGAUUUUUUCCCCCAGAUUUGAUCAAGUAAGUACUUGACCAAAUCCUACUCCCCCCACCAAAUUUCAGCUCAAAUACUGAAACCCCCAGGAAGGCUUGGUUACCUUUUUUCCUAUGCACCCUGCAUUUCUCACAUGUUUCUAGCAGUAGCACAUUGUAUUGUGAAUUCUAGAUUGUCCAUUUCCCAUUUUGUGUUCCCAAUAUUAUUCACUGUGCCAGGAAUGUGGGAGAAAUACAGAAAGUAUUUGUUGAAAAAUAGGUAAGUGAGUUCUCUCUUGAUGACUUUUAUAAUUGUUCUUUGAUAUCCCUGUGGUAUUCCUAGUACUGUAUGGGGUGGUGAGUAAGUAUUUCUAAAGAGUACUAAAAGUUUUACAAACCAUAGACUUUGGAGAUUAAUUGUAAUCUAAUAAUAAUUUAAUAAUUUAAUAAUAAUAAAUAUGGUCACCAUAGGAGAAAGACCCAGGACUAUCUCUGGACAAGUUCACAGAGUAGCUAUCUGGGCCAUGAUUAAUUUAUCAUGGUCUAUUUAUAACCCCCAGGCUCGUUUACCCAAGAACUUGAUUUGUCAACAUCUUUUCUCAGGUGUACACUCACAUUAGCCCAGAUUUUAAGGUUGAUGUGUAUGUAAUUUAGAAAGUUAACUCAUUCAUUCAUGGUAAGAAAUUAAAGCAUUAAGCACCAAAAUACUAGAACCUGCAUGAUUAGCCCUUUACUUGCUGUCAUAAAGUUUUACAGAAAGUGAAAUCAUAAUUCAUCUUUUUUUUUUUUGUAGAGUAGAAUCUAAAAAGCAGUAUUUAGAUGAACUGAAUGUAUCAUGGCUUCAGGUUAAGUUGGCUCAAAACAUCCAAAUCAUAAUAAGAAUGAUCUUGCCAAUAAAGUCUGUGGCCACAUGUUCUGCCUCCACUAGAAGAAUGAAUCUUUAAUGGAACUGGAAAUGCUGAAUCUCAAAGUGUCGUGGUGGAGAGGGCCUUCCCCAGAGUGCUUGGAUGGGCCCUGACACGUUUGCUUCUGAGAUUCUUCCCUUAUUCUUCUUCCAUGGCAAUGAACCCCUUUCAAGUUGACUUAUUCUUCCAUAGUGAAUUAUCUCUCUAUUAAGGCCAAUUUGCAUAAUUUCCCCCUGAUUCUUCACUUGUUGUUUUCUAUUAUUUCCAACUCCUAGGAGACCCUUUACCAUAAAUCCGUAUAUGAUGCCAAAAUUAAACCCUCCACCACUGCAGUUAGGGCAAGACUGUCCUUAUAAAGAAGAUCCCCGUCUACUCUGUCUUUCAGCGUAACUUCCUAACAUAAAAAAGAAGAAAUGAAUUUUCAUCUCCUUUCACAAAUACUAUAGGUCUAGUAAUUUCUUUGAGGUGAGUGAAAGUGUCUCUGGAGUGGGUAACACUAGUGUCACCUUUUUCCUUCUCUGUAAGUUGGCUUCACUGCGAGUGGUGGAGGAUGAAGCACACAACACAUGUGUAGUAUCUGAGUGGGUAGAGGGUAUCAAGGCCCUAGGUCUUUGUUCCAAAGCCUACCAUUUGACUGUAGUUCUCUUCCUUUGCUGGGAAGUUGAGAGAAAGAGAAUCAGUGGGUAGAGUAAUGGCGUCCUAGUAAAUCACGGGAGGGAUGAUGAGUGAAGGGUGAGGAGGAUGCAAAGUGGAUCUUGCAAUUCUGCAUUUCUGAGAGGAUCCCAGCUGAUGCUAUGAGCCCAUGGAUUGCAUGGUGAGUAUCAAGGACUAUAAGAUUCCUUGAGGUUUAUCCCUCUCAAUUACCAGCCAAGUCAAAAAUUCUUCCUUUUCUUGGCCGUUCACUCUGUUGUACCUGCUUUCUAUCUAAAGGCAUUUGUAGAAUCAACCAUGUCACAUGUAGAAAGCUGUCUUGUACAUGUGGAUUUGCAUGGUCUUGGAAACAUUGAGUAAUUGUGAAGUGUUAAACAACAAGGAAAAAUGAAUGGAGAGAGAGGGUGCUGUGUGGGUGGAGGAGAGAGUGUGGUGUGUGCACGUGUGUGUGGCGAGGGUGGGGUAGGGAGCAAAAGGAUAUAAUAGGUCUCUUUGGAAUGUGGAAAUGUGUGUAUGUAACAGACCUGUUAACUCAUGUCUAAAAUAGCAUAACUCCCCAGCAUGGUUGGGCAAGUACAGUAGCAAAAUGAAAAAAAAAAUUAAAAACCCUAGGGAAUGUCAAAGAAUAUUUUUGGAACAAUUUAACAUCCCACAUCAUGGUUUCUUUUCUCUUCUGUGCUAUUAUUGGUUAGAUGUAAUUCUCUGCUGUUGAGAGUUUGUUCUGGUCCCUAUCUUGCUUUGCAGUGAUGAGGUGUAAAGCAUUCCAAGAGAGAAAUAUCUACUGUUUGUGGCCAAACAAUAUUCAGGAUGUCAUUAUUUCAAUUUCACCUAAGUCUUUUUUUCCAAAGUAUUGUUAUAUAAUUUCUCUGCAGAAAUCCUAUGUAACACAUUGACCUUCCUGACUUGAUCUUUUCUUCUUUUUUAAACCUAGACUCUGUAUAGAUUACAGAUCAGUGGAGAAUUUUUUUACCAUCAAAAUUAAAACUGCCCCAAAUUUCAGGUUACUUUGCUCUUCAUUAGCCACAGCUUCCCAUUUCAAUUCUCUUCAGUCAGGAAGGCCAUAUGUAUUUUACACUGAUAUUGUUAGUUCCCUCUCAUUUGUUAAAUUGUCUGCUACAAUUAUGCAUCCUACUAUUAGGCCUUAGAAAAUAAAGACAUUUAAAAAUAUUGCAAAUAAUCACAGUCUCAACAGGGAUUGGAGAUGUAGCUCUGAGGUAGAGCACAUGCUUAGUAGGUACAGACUCUGGUUCAAUUCCCAGCACCAAAACAAAAACAAACAACAAACAACAAACAUAAACUUAUCAAAUGGCAAUAUAAACAGUUCAGUUUCCCUUGGCAAUUUUUUUUUGGUAUGAUAAUUGAAUCUUUCUUCUGAAAACUCAGCAAGUGUUUGGUAGGCCUAUCUUUAAAAUAACUUUUUUGUGAUUUUUUUUCUUCUAAUGGUGGCAAGUAAAAAAGAUGAGGAGUGUUAGGUAUUGUGUUUGUGAUGAAACUCCAGUUUUCAAAUAUAGGUUUAAUUCCAUUUCUCUUUCUCUGUGUCCACACUUCAUGUCUGCCUGUAUAGUGGUGUAGGUUUGGCAUUUCUGUGGAAAGUUUGUACUUGUUCAGAAUUUCAUGGAGAUGUCACUGGGAAAUGUUACUUUUUAUUGCUUGGACUACUCAGGAUUUUAUGUGUAAUGUGCCAUACAAUCCCGUCAGUGGUUAAUCCUCAUAAAUAAUUUCAUGACUUGGUUUAUUAUUGCAAUAUCCAUUUUAUAGAUGGUAAUACAGAGGAAUGGAUUACCAGGAAGUUGAAAUUAUAACCUACAAUCAUGAAAAUGUCCCAGACCAUUGUUUAGUUUAAGCUGCAGACUGCAAAUUUGUCUCUAUGUGCCAAAAAUCAGAUAAAAAUGAAAUAUCUGGGGACUUAACUCUGAAGCUGUGUCUGGGUUUGCAAAGGAAAAAUGAGAGGAUGUGAAUCAAGUACUUAAUAUUAUGGAGAGAAAAUUCCCUUGUAAUGAGGAAACCGUGGGUCCCACUGGCUCAGUGCUCUUCCCUGGCAGGAAGAAAUCCACUGGAUCAUUGCUCAACUCAGGUUUUUAUUCAUAAACAUUCCUCUCCUGGCUGUACAGGGCCAGGAAAAUCUGCCUUCCCCUUUCUUCUUGUAAGCUCAAUUCCAGUCCUGAAAAUGUGUCCAUCAGAUUCUCAGUGGUCAUCUCAAGAUGAUACAUACUGCUGUGACCUUCAGAAAAGGACGUUUGGAAAAUAAGAGUCUAUCUGUAGGAAGUAUCCAACCUACAGAGUGGAGGUAUCUUGACAAUCCUGUCCCAUUUGCCUGUGGUCACUAGUAUUAGCUUUAGAAAACUUAUUCUGAAGUGAAGGAGCUGUGAGGUCCACAUGUAUUCAGGUACAGUGGUUGGGGGAGGCAUUUUUCAUGGUCCUCCAUCCCAUGGUGCAGAAACUGAGGUUCCCAUUGUGGAUCUGUCUCUAACUCCAAUAAGGAAAUAAGCAGCAUAGGAAGGGGAUAGAUAGAGGACUAAGGAAGGGGACAUCCACAGUGCUCUGUCCCUUAACAAGAUGAAGAACUCCAACUCUUACUCCCUGUUGGGGGAUAAGCGGCCUUGUCCACACCUUGAUUCUGGCCCCAAAAGGCCCAUUUUGGACUGCUGACUAUCAUAAAUACAUGAUAUCGAAGUCACCAACUUUGUGGUAACUUGUUACAGCAGCAAUAGGAAACUAAUGCAGGAAAUUUUGCCCUCAUGGGCUCUUUCUUCUAUUAAAAAGCAGUAAAAAUUAUAUUUUUAGAAUUGUGUUAAAUAAAGAUGAAUAUAUUAAUAUUAUAUCUAAAAUAGUUUCUUUGAUCAAAAGCUUUUCUUUUUCUGAUUUUAAAAGACAUUAAAAUAUUUUCAUGGGCACUUAAAGGUAUCAUGGGCUCUGCACGUGAUGCUAGGUGUGCCUGAGGGGUAUGGUGGCUCUGCUUAUGGCUAUUUCUUUUUUUUUUAACCUUUAUUUUAUUUAUUUUUAUGUGGUGCUGAGGAUCAAACCCAGGGCCUCACACGCACUAGAAAUACGCUGUGCUGUUGAGCCACAAACUCAGCCCCUGCUUAUGGCUAUUUCUAUCCAUAUCUUCCCUGUCAUUCAGCACUUUGGAUUCAGUAUAGCCAAAUGUUUGCCAACUGAGGGCCAGCAGUGACAUUGGCUUCUUGUUUGGUUGUCCGAUUUCUUGGUGUUUGAAUGGGGGUAUUUUUUAAUUAAUUAAUUAAUUUUUUAAAUUGAUUUUAUUUUUUAAAUACAUGACAACAGAAUGUAUUACAAUUCUUACUACACAUAUAGAGCACAAUUUUUAAUAUCUUUGUAUAAAGUAUGUUCAUGCCAAUUCAUGUCUUUAUGUACGUACUUGUUUUUUUUUUUUGCAUUACAAUUCUUAUUACACGUACAUACCACAAUUUUUCAUGUCUCUGUUGUAUACAAAUUAGGUUGACACCCAAUUUCUGUCUUCAUUCAUGUACUUUGGAUAAUGAUGUUCGUCACAUUCCACCAUCCUUGCUAAUCCCCUGCCUCCUCCCUUUCUCUCCCUCCCCUCUUCCCUAUCUAGAAUUCAUCUAUUCAUCCCAUAUUCCCCUUCCUACCCCAUUAUAAGACAGCCUCCUUAUAUCAGAGAAAACAUUUGGCAUUUGUUUUUUGGGGAUUGGCUAACUUCACUUAGCAUUAUCUUCUCCAGCACCAUCCAUUAACCUGCAAAAUGCCAUGAUUUUAUGGAAAUACAUAUUUUGAGCAGGAAGAAGUUAUUCUAUUCUAAGUCACAUGGCACCAGAGAACCCCCUCACUCUGCACACAUAGUAAACACACGAGAAAUUCUGGUCCAGUGAAGACUUGUGAUCAAACUCUUGUCUUCUAGUUUUUGUUCUUGGAAGAUUCCGCAUACGAAGCCUUUCUUCAUACAUACCUUUCUUUGCUAAGUUGCAGAUGAAAGAUAGAAUGGAUUGCUGGUUAAAAUUUGAAGAUGGAUAUACUGAUAAUGUAAAUAUUUAUAUUUAAGUAGCAACCACAAUUUGUAAAAACACUUUUAUCCACUUACUCUCUUGAUAAGCUAUAAAGUCAUUUAAGACCUUAAGAGGAAAAAUAUUUUAUAAUUUAUUUAUAUAAAGGUAGUAUAGUAACAGUGGCUUUAAUUUUAGGUAGAUUGAAAUUUAUAAUUUUGUUAAGAAAAAUACCGGGAAAAAUAAGCUCUAUAUUUUUUUGUCGCUUUAUAACUUGGCCUAUGCUCCAAUAGGUAGGCAAAAAAUAGAAAAUAAAAUUUGUACUCCUUAGUCAUAUAUAUUACUUUCCACGCUCUGCCCUAAUGAAAAAUGAUACAUUUCAAGCUUAUGAGUACAAGCGUUAAUGCUGUGAGUUGGAAAUUACAGCAUACUUCAUUGCAUACCUCAUUAACUGUUUCCACUUUUCCCACAAUUAAAAGCCAAAAAGGCAUCAUUUCUAGCUAAAAAGCAAAGUUAGGUUGAAGGAAGUUCAGAGAUGUGAUGAAGGAACCUGAGACCAGAGCGCUUUGCUUCUUAUGAAGACCCCAAGGGUAAAAAUGACAGCUUUCCUGAAUUAUGAUCCUAAUUCAGGAUUUGCAGUGGACUCUGAUUUGAUGCUGUUCUGGAAAACGCUAUGUUGAAGAGGCUUUGUUUCUAGAGAGUCUCAGGAAAGUAGCCAAUUCAAACUCCUCAACCCUGUGAGCUCAUUCCUGGCUGGUAAGGAGUCCUUUCUGUCAUCUUUCUGAGGGUGAAGACUCUCCACACACCUACUUCUUCUGAGCUCAUCUGUGUGCUUCAUGUGUGCCGAUAUUCACGAGAACACACGGACCCAGCUCUUUCUACCUGGCUUUCACAAAUCCUCUGAUCUUAUUCACUAGGCUUCAGUUGAAAAACCAGCCGCUACCUCAGAGCAAAGCCUGUCCAAGGAAGGAACAUCACCUUUGUCCUUGGAAAAACCCACAGAGCACUCCUAGGCACAUUCCCACCCUGCUAAGUUGUUUAUCUACAAAUAACAGGAGAGAUCUGCUGCGCCAGGUGUCCCUGACUGAGUUGGUUGGUGGCUAGUAACCCCCUAGCAGCCACCAAUCAGCAUGAGACAGGGAAAUUCCUGGGAUGCCAGAUGACCCUCCCAGUAGUUUAUGGUGUUGGGAAACCAUGGAGUUCAGCAGGAACACCCCUCUUGGCUUAAACCAAUCAGUUCAAAUGAAUACCCCUUUUGUACCGACCAAUCACCCCUACCCAACUUGUUCCCGCCAGUGAAUGUGCUAAUCAUGUUUUAGAGUUGUUAUUUGAUUUUCCCGCGGUGUGUGAUGAUUUGCUAAGAGAUGCUAUGAUGUAUGUGGGGGUCCCUGCCUUCUCCAAAGACUGUAUAAAACUGCUGCAAACCCUGGGCUCGGGGCCUCUCAGCGUCACCAGUUGCUGUGUGUGCACGCGGAGGACCGAGCUAGCUCGCAAUAAACACCUCUUUGCUGCUUACAUCGGAUCUUGGGUCUCUGGUGGUCUUUGGGGGUCCUGAAUUCGAGCAUAACACAGUGUCCCAGUCAGACCAGUCUGGUCCAGCUGUGAAGAGACAGACAAGACGGACUGAUAAAUCCCAUCAAUUAAUUCAUAAUUUCAUAAUUGAAGUUUGGACAGGACUUCUGGCCUCCAAACGCAAGAAGGUCUCUGUUCAAGGCCAAACACAGUUGCCCAUUCUAUCCUUUGAGAAAAAUGAGCAGCUUUUCAGAGACCCUCCCUGCUGCAGCCCUUCUCUCCAGAUCCCUGCCUUGCCUGCCUAUGAUUAGGUGCCUUUUAAAAAGUUGCUCUUCUUCAAGUUACACCCUGCCACACCUCCAGGCCCGAGGAUGCUUUCUGUUCCUGGCAGUCUUAAACCCUGGCCAAUAGCAAAGGAGGCAUCACGCUGAGCUCCAGAAGAGAAAACCCUUCAUUGUGCAACCGUGACCCAUUUGGCACCGGGGAGAGUAAUCCUGAUGGGCUUUAGGGAGUCCACAUCCACUUCCCCUGGGAUUGUCCUGUGGAGGGCCCUUGCAAACACAAUCACAGUGCCACAAUCGAGGGUCCUCAACGGAGACCCACAGAAACAGGGCCAUUCCCUGUGGUGCCCUGAUUCAGUCCUGUAGCAUGAUUUACCAGCUGCCUGAAAAAGAAAAUACUGCUAGGACCUGGACUGUGACCAUGAGGUGUGAAGGUGUCAAGUUGAAAAAACAAGGGUGGGUCUAAAAUCUGCACCUCCUUCCCCACCCCUCCCCCUACUGCCCUGAGAAAAUCAUUCCAGUGUAAACAUCUCUUUUUAAAUUUAGGAUAUCUUUGUGCAAGAAAAACUACUUUAUUACUCAACAUUAAUAACACUCACUUUGAACCUUAAUUCUGAAAACCACAGAAUUUAAAAAAUGCAGUAAAUAGCUGACAUGGGUGUUCUUCCCCUGCUUUCAAAGGAAUUGUUUUUGUAAUUACUGAGCAGGGUAAAGUUGAACUGUCCUCAGCAGUAAACAGGAUAGUGUGUAAUGAGAUAUCUCAACUAAAAACAUUAGUCAUAUACGGAUUAAUUAAUAAUGGAAAAGUUUCAGGGCAUUCCUAAUGCUUUUUAAAAAAUGUGUUCUUUUUUUAAGUUGUUAGGUCUCUAUUCUAGUUUUGAGUACAAAUAAAUGCCUGACAUAUGGUCUCAGCCAAAUUCCAAAAUGUAGCAAAAACAGGGCCUGCAUAUUUGGCAGGAAUUUAAACCAGUUCAGGCCAGUGUCUGUUUUCUGUCCAAAGAAGAGUUUGUGCUUUACACUGGGCUAGGAAAAUAACACAGGAAAACAUGGGAACAACAACUAAUAUUGUAAGCUCCAAUGCCAGGCUGGCUAAAGAACAACGUUUGGAGCAACUCAGGAAUUACCGCCCAAGCUGCAGUUUGGGUUCGCAAAAACGUUUGGAAUACAGUAAGCACAGAUUGCAUUGUUGUGAGGAAAUUGCCUUCUCCAGUCUUAGGCUCUCACCUUGCAAAUCACCCCCUCUUAGCAAAAGCACAUCUUACUUGUUAACUCUUCCCCUGCUCGCUAACCUUUUCAAUCAUCCCCUUCAUCGUUGCAGAAUGGCCUUCGGAACAAAGCAGCAUUUUAAAGGCUUUCCCACUAAAAGUUCGCCCCUCCCCCCCUUUUAAAGAGGCAGUGCGGGGGUAAUUUUCUUUCUUUUCUCUCUGUCUUUCCUCCUCCUCUUCUGCUUCUUUUUAAAAUUUGUUUUUCCUACAAUCCACUCUAGUGAAGCUGUCAUUGUUUGGGGGUUGAUGGAUAUUUCUUUAGAGAUACCAUCAUAUCGCUUGUUAUUGUAACACUUAUUGGUGAUAAAGUUCAGACUAAAAAUUAAGCAGCUGCAAUGUAGCAGCACAAAUUAGUUUAAUGUAAGCAGUCAGGAGCAGCUGGCUGCUCGGGACUGGAAUUUAGCUGUGGGGGGAAGGGUGCUGUGACGCUGACAGUGUUUUUUUCCUCUACAUAAACAUUUUUGGCUGCUACAGCUUUUGUGCUGAUCAUGUGACAGUGUCCCUAGGCAGAUAAUUUAUUUCUGUGGCUUUCAUGAGCAAUCAUUAACCUUCAGACACUGAGUUUGCUUUUUGCUUUGUGGCAUUUGUUAUUAUUAUUGUUAUUAUUAUUUUGUAUACUAACUAGUUUAAUUCAGAAACUGUCAGGAGAAAAUUACAACCAAUUUAUAAUAGACUGCAAUGCAUAACACUUAUGUUUCUAUUAAAGCAGACCUUGCUCAUAAGACCAUUCUCAUAGCUUUGCUGUGUUUGUGGAUCUGAAUAGUUAUUUUUAGUAUGGCUGUCUGUCAUUGGCAGGUUCCUUCCCUGUCCUCUUCGAUUGUGAGGCCUCUGUAAGCUGGUCUUACAAGAACUCAAUUUGGAGAUCAACCUUUGUCUUUAUUCUGUAGAAGGCUGGAACUCCAAAGAGGCUGGGGACUGGGCUUCUGGGGUUAGACAUUGCUUACAUCCCUUCUUCCUUCAACAACUACACAUCAGUAAACAGUAACAGUGUGGCCAUUUGUAGUAGGAGCCAGAAUAUAUUGGAACUGAAAAACAAAGGAAAUCGGAAACUGUGUCCUGCAUAAAACAGAAAGGAUAGAAAAGUAUCAUUUCUGACAUCUACUAAUGAUGCCGACCUCCUUUUCUGAAUUUAUCUGUUGCGUCCUUCUCGGAUCUGUUUGUGUUGUUCAGCCCUUUCUGCCAACCAGUAAUUCAGGAGUAAUAUGCACAGGGUCACUCUCUGGUGUCUAUCAUACAUGAUAUCUUCAGACACUUUCAGAAUGCCGAUUAUCUCGUGGGUAUUGUGUGGGCCCUGUUAGAUAUUCAUUUAUUCAUUCUCUCAUGGUGCAGGGUUGGUGGGGGAACAUUCAGGACUAGUUGCACAGAGGGAUUUGAUAAAGUGUAUUUAUAAACCCCAAGGAACUGUGUUUAGUGCAAAAUAAGAGGAAGAAAUAGCUCCUUUUCUAUUUUACUCAUUUAAAUAUUUCAGUGAUAGGAGCUGUUCUUCAUUGAUCUUAAUAUUUCAUAAGGAUAGAUGUAUGGGUUAUAGAACACAGCAUGAAAAUUCCAUUCUUUGAAAUUUAUGAUUCACGAGCUCAAAACAUAGAGGAAAUAGAUAUUGUCACUCUUUAAACAUUUUAAAGCACCAUCAAUGGAAUAGGCUCAUGGUGAGGAACAGCUUGACCAAAUGAUAGAAAUGUGAAUGCCAGAUUAUUUGGGUGAUCUUUGAUGUUGCAUAGAAAUGAGUGAGUGGGUCCCAAAGGCAUAAUUAAUGUAAAGGUGCAUAAAGUGCUUUAUGAGUUGCAUUGUUGCUGGGGUGGGAGUGGGGGAGUGGGCAGGGAAGGGGACUUCUUUGUCCUCACUUAUAAGAGAGAUUUCAGCUGGGUGCAGGAGUAUCCACUUGUAAUCCCAGCAAUUUGGGAUACUGAAGCUAGAGGAUCACAAGUUCAAGUUUAAGGCUGUCUUUAGCAACUUAAGGAGUCCCUGUCUCAAAAUAAAUAAUAUGAAGGGAUGGGGAUGUAGCUCAAUGAUAGAAUGACUCUGAGUUCAAUACCCAGUACAACAAAAAGAAGAAAAAGAAGAAGAGGAAGGAGGAGGAGGAGAAGGAGGAGGAGGGGGGAGGAGGAGGAGGAGGAGGAGGAAGAACAAGAGAGAUUUCUUUCCUAAACAUAUGGCCCUAGAGUUCUGAACAUUCUCUACUUCUUUCUAAGGUUUUUCUUUGCUCGUUGGAUUCCAGCUCACAUGAUUGGCAGGGUCAUGGUUACAUUUUAUAACCACGUUGGUAUAAAAUGAAUAUUAUUUCCUAAGUGACAUUUUUACAUAUUCAUAAUUAUGUCUUUUAUCCUUCUGAUUUUAAGUAAAUAUUGAAACAUUGUAAUGAAGCCCUGAAAGCUUUGCAAGCCCAGAAUGCUGGGCCACUGUGCCUAAUGAGGAAGUCAGUCCUAAGGAUGGGCACAAGCACACAGAUGACCUUUACACAAGGUGAAGAUCUAUGUGGAACAAACCAAGCAAGGUUGAGAAAGAUCAAACUUCGAGUCUUCUUUCCUCAGGCCAAAGCAUUCACAGUUCAUUCCAGAAUACCUUUGUCACAUGUUUCCCUACCAAGAUUAACUUUCCAUGCUGACUCUAUCUUGGGGAGCUCCUAACCUUCACCACUAAUUUGCAAUAAUGCUAAACUUCCUUCCAGCCUCUGACUCUAGCUCUCUGGGCCUUAUCUAAGCCAGUAGCCCCUUGGCUUCUGUUCUAGAAUAUAUCUACUUUUUUAUGUUGCUUGUUCCUUCUCCCAAACUUCAUGCACUCAGAAUCACUUUAUUCUAGAGGCCUCUCUCCAUGCACUUUUCCCUUGACCCGGUGUGAUCCAGCAGGGCUGCCUGAGAAUUUCCCUCUUGGUGUUUGCACUUAUUUGUUACUCUCAAGUUUCUUUUGUCAUUUUAGCACUUGAAAUCCAUUUAGAUUUUUCUGCUUCAACCUUACCUCUAAACCAUUGUAAUUCUCCAGCAUCAUUCAACCUUGAAUAUCUUUUCUGAAGAUAUUCAGAAAAAAAAUUGCAUCCAUAUUGAACACGUAUAGAUUUUUUUCUUGUCAUUAUUCCCUAAAUGGUACAGCAAAAGAACUAUUUACAUAGCAAUUAUAUUGUAGUAGAUGUUGUAAGUAAUCUAGAAGGUAAUUUGGGAUACUGUUUGCAAACAACAUCCCAUUUUAUACAAGACACCUGAAUAUCCAUGGAUUUUGGUAUCUACAGGGGUCCUGCAACCAACACCCCCACAGGACAACUAUAAUGGGCAUGCGGGGUGUACCAGGUGUUGUGGUAAGAAUUUGCUAAGUGAAUAAUAAGCUUUAUCUCUUUUAGUCAUGACGAAGACCUAUAAAGUAUGUACUAUCAUUGGUUCAUUUUAUAAAUGAGGAAGCCCAGGCACAAAUAGAUUCAAUAACGUAAAUUUUCCCAGAUAGAAAGUAACCAGAUCAGAAGUGCACCCCAGGUAUUUAAAUCCCAGAGAAUUAAUUCCCAUUCAUUAUGUUGUACUCCUCCUGUGCUACUCUCAUACUGACCUGGUUUUAACUAUAUGCUUUCAACAGUCAAAAUCUACUGGUAUAGUUUAGCCUAGAAACUUCUUCUCCCUUGUCUGAAUGUGUACUUAGCAAUUUAUGACUUUAAGUGGGUAGGAAUGUGGGACCAAAAGUGAGAUUCACUGAUGACAAGAUUAAGUCAGUGAAGUCCAUGGAGAUAGGAUCAUUUAUUCAUUCUCUCAUUCAUUUUUCAGCACUAUUUAUUGAAUAUUAAAUUUUGACCAGAAACUUAAAACUGAAUUUCUGUAGAAUUUUUCUUGUGAUAUCAAAAGACUGCCCUUGUUUUCUGGGAGUUCAGUCAGAUAGGGUAAAGGAAUAGGAAAAUAUAAAUACUAUUUAUGUAUAUCCCUAUAUCAAGGUAAUUAGAAAAUUAUAUUCCAGGAACAGAGAUAGUCUUAUGUAGAGAACUCCUGCCUCUACUUGUAUUUGAAUCUGGGAAACUUUAGUUUGGAGGAGCAAUGAGCUGUUUCAAAGGAAGAAUAGGAACUUGUCAACUUAAAAGGGUAAGAAAUGCAUCCCAGGCAAGGAGAUCAACAUAUGCAAAGGAGUGGAGGUGAGAAGUUUGACAAAUGCAGAGAACCUCAAUAGUUGUUCUGGGCUUUAAGAUCUCCCCUGUAGAGUUUGAGUUGAGGUGUAUAUUCAGGCCUUAUAAGAUCACAAAGGUAGAGUCACAAACAGUUCUCAAGGGCAGAGAAUGAGCUUUGAGGGGAAAGGAGCAAAGGAGGAAGAAAGGUUAGGAGCCCAUGGUAGUUGUUUUGAUGCUGGGUAAUGAGGACCUGAUUCAAGAUGGUGGGGAGGAAAAUGCAUUUAUUUGGGCUGAGGACAGAUUGGGUAUGGGUGGAGAGGGAGAAGACUAAGAUACCUUCCAGGUUUCUGGGACAUUACUUGAACUUGUGGAUUUAGGUGGGGAUUUCAGAUGGGAUAAACAAAUAAUCACAGUUGAUUCUUAUCAUUUACAGUAGUUAUUUCUAUAAAGUUGCCUCAAAUACUGAAUUAUAGACUGUUGAAGUAUUGCUCCUUGGGGAAAUACAGGGUUAGGUUCCUUUGAGUCUCUGGUCACAGCAUUUUCAUCAGUUGAUGGGUACAAAAAUUGUUUUAUGCAUGCUUUUGUUUGAAGACACCUUAUUGAUACACAUUGUUGAUCCAUUAAUUUUGAAGUCAUAGCCAGCAGCACCAUAGCUCAUGCCUGAACAAAACUUAACUAACUUGGGUAUUUUCUCUGUAAAUCACACCAUAGUUUUCAUGUGCUUGGGAAUGCGAGAUAACAUCUGGGCACUACACUGGGUGUGGCAUUUUAACAAGUGACCCCCUUCCUCCAGUGCACCAAAAUGUGAAAAAUGUGGCAAUAAGUAAACUGCAUAGAAGGUACUUUAUUGUAGGAGAACAGAAACAAGAAGGUAAAGUUUCACCUGUUCAACAUCAGCUAAAUGUGUGGGCUGAGCAGCACUCUUGAACAUUUUGCAGUCUUGCAUGUGUCCACAAAUGACUGCAAAAGCACUGGAAUGUUAAUUUUGGGGUUACAAAUAAAUUUUAUUGAGUAGGCAAAGUCACACAUACUACAAAUACACACAAACCGAUUGUGUCUCUUAAAGAGCAUUGCUUUAUUCUACUUCCUGUGCUAUUGAUUGUCAGCUCAAGUUUUUUACCUCUUUGCUCUUGUCUACCAAAGACUAGGAAACAUUAUGAGUUUUAAUUUUGGGGAUACAAACAAACUUUAUGGAAUUGGAAAACCUACAAAUACAGGAUCUACAAGUUAUAAGGAUCCAUUGUAUUCACUUGGGAAAUUUGGCUUUUGAUGUGCCUUUAACAGAUGCAGCUAGUUGGCAUGUUUUAGAAUGAAAGGAGAGACACUCAGCCAGAAAAUAGACAUUUGAGAUACAUUAGCAUUUUAAAGGCUGAAACACUGAAGGUGGAGGAGAUCAUUUCAGGGCCUAAGAAAUUAUUUACAGAGUACAUAUAUGGUAUAAGGAUGGAGAAGCAGGGAAGUAUUGGGAGAGCACAUGUGACUUUGGAGGCACUUGGGAUCUUCAUGAAGUAAGCUUCCACCCGCAUUGAGUCUCUUCAUGUCCUUCAGCAGAAUGUGGUGUAAGUUGGGCUCUGGGUUACGGCCCUGAGAGGGGGCAGGAAGUUGGUACAAGAGGCUUUUAGAAUUAAUGCUUCAAGGAGAACAGGCUCUCCUGGCAGGAGGGCAUGGAUCAGAAUGUGGAAGUUUCUGUGUCUGAUGCUCUAGGCUGCUGUCAUGGGAGGCAAGAGGAAUGUACCAGCAGCACUGUUCCGGAUCCCUGUAUCUCUAUCACACACUCAUACCAACCACCUUGACACAUGGGUCUUCAGAGGGUCACACUUUGGGCCUAGACAUUUUGCCUUGAUGCUUAUUUCUUCAGUUGUAAGUUUCUGACCAACCUCCUACUUUCUCUGCAAACCCCAUAACAUACUCUCCUUGUGCUCACUGGCUUUUUUCUCUUUUUUUUUUUCUUCACCAUAAUCCUACUCCCAGAUAUAGAGGCAAAAAUACUUAGGACAAAAACUGAGUUAGAUUCAGGAUUCAACUGUUAAAUAUUUCUCUCUGUGCUAUGUGUUAGACACUGUGCUUAGAAGCUGGAUAUGAAGUGACAAAUGAACGAGGCAUGGUCCCUGCAGUCCUGCAUCUUACAGUAUAGGACAUAUAAGAGAGGCAGAGGCAAGUUGGAGCCAGGACGUCAGGGGUCCAGUCCUGGUUGUAUUGCUAUUUGUUGAGGUAACAUUGGACAAGCCACUUGUCUUAGAAUCUCUGCUCUCAUUUGCAAAACACCAAGUUUUGAUUUCUAGUUUCCUUUUUUGGCCUUUUGUAGGUGAUUCUAUUAAGCCAGACUCUCUCAUGUUGUUUUACAGGAUGGUGGCAAAUGUUAUUAUCAAGUUGGAUUGUUGUAGGGAAGCAAGUCUUAGUGGAAAUUGCCUAAAUUGCAGAAAACUUUGACCCUCUAGAACUUUGCGUGAGCACAUCCCCUGCAGAAAGUAUUGGAUGAUUGUCAGUCCUUACCAUGCAACUGUUGGACCCUGAAGUAUUUGGAUUCUGUAGAAGGAUUUACUGAACAGAAGAUGCCAGCUUUGGGAAAAGGAUUUGAUAAUACCUUGCACGAUUUACCACCAGCUGGAAAGUGGAUCAACCACUUCUCAUUGUUAUGCUCGGAUUUCACUGAAUGACUCCAUUUGAAAGCCACUGCUGUGCUGUUGUGAACAGUAGCAGGAGCUCAUAUAUUGUUCAGGGUCCCCAAGAACAUCUUAGAGAGGCUAGGAGACCACAUCCAAAAUACAAAAGUUGAGUGGUUUUACCAGAGGCAAAUGCAGCACUAAGUAACUGCAGUAAUUUCUGUAUCAUGACUCUCUCCCCUCUCAGGUACAGAUCUCCUGAAAGCAUGAAAUGAAGCAUGAAUCCAAAUAAAAGUAGUUUUGUAAAUAAAUAUUAGAUAAUCCCCUCAGAGGAGGCUGAUGGUUCCUCCACAGUACAAUGCACAAGUGUGGUUCAGGGUCUCAUUGUCAGCAGAAGGAAGCUUAGAGAGAUGUUACAAACCAAAGUACAUAACACAUGCGAUUAAUGGCUCUGAAAGGAAGAGACAGGAUUUUACAACAUUCUUUUAUGUUUAGUAUAAACAUAUUCCUUCUUAAGAGGGUGUGUUUUUAAGGAAAAAAAAUAUUCCCACCACCAAAGAACCCUUGUUUUGUUUGUUUUAUGGCUAAAGGAUGACUUUGUUUAAAUUAGUAAUCCAUUCUGAUACAUUGAGGGUGGCAGGUGGAAUCCACAGGGUGGGGCAUGGCAUUUGGGCUUGGCAUUGCCCUUGAUUGACUGUGUAAAUGUAGGCAUUAGAAUAAUUUUUUUCUGGCACUUUCCAUGAAUGCAAAGUGCAGACCAAAGUAAUUUUUAUCCCUUUCUCUUUAUCUUAUGUAUUGAUUAAGCAGUUCGAAGAUGGAGAGUUCAAGGGAAAACUCCUUUCUUUUAGUGCAAGCUCACUGGGCAAUUUUUGUGGAGUAUGCCAGUAUAUUUGGAACUGUGACCAUAACUGAACUGAGUUACUAAAAAAUGCUAGGCAUUUAAACUCCUGGGAAUAUUUGAUCAUUAUAAAAUGUGGCCAAAAUUAUAAUGAAAUAACUGCUAAGACUUUUUUGAUUUUAGAAACUCUGGUAACCUACUUGAAAAAGACUGCUCGCUGUCCUAAACUGUUCCAACUUUUGUUCUUUCCUGACCUCUUGCUUCCUCCCUCUGGUUCUCUGCUUGUCUUCUUGCUCUUCUUUACAUACUUACUAAUGUGAAGGAAUCACAAUUUAACUCAAACACUUAGGACCCAAGGAGGCUGUGGGAGUCAGGUGACAAUCUUUUGUUGGAACCUGCAGAAGGAUCAUGUGGCAAUGUUCUCAUCCCCAAGGAAAAGAGGCUUUUGCCAUUCAACAGUUUAACUAAUUAAGAAAGAGCCAGGCACUGAGGGGCAUGUCUAAAGAGAUAGCAAACAAAACCCCCAAAGAAUGUGUUCUCCUAGGAGGCCUGAGAUCUUGAAAAGAGCCUCCUAUCAAAGCUGACACUCAGGAAAUGCUGAGAUGGUGUGGCUUCCAUUAUUAGUGUCAGUUUUAUUUUAAAAAACGUAUGGGGUGUCCAUGAUAAGGUCCAUAUGCAAAACUAGCCCUCUCAUGGCUAGGCAGAUGAGAUCUAAAUUUAAGAAGUUUGAUUGAAAUGGAAACCUCCAUAAAUUGAAAUCGAGUAAUAUAUCUUUCUCAAUUUACUUCACCAAGCUGAGAAAAAUAGAGAGUUGUAAAAUAUUAAAUGAAAGAAUACUCACUCACUUGAAUUUGCUUUUAUUUAUUUAUUUUUCUCUUUCCAUAUUUUUUAGUUGUACAUUAUAGUUAAACAUAAUGGUGGGAUUUGUUGCUACAUAUUCAUAAAUGCACACAACACAGCAAUAUAUUUUGGCCUGUACCGUUGGAUUUGCUUUUCAAGUAGUGGGGAAUUGUUUUUUGAUGUAUUAAUUUAACUUUAAAUAAAAUUUAGUCCCCCUCCCACUUCUUUUCUAAGAAACACACUAAGGUUUAAAUGAUUACCUGUUUUAUGUCCCCUUCACAUAUCUUUCUCAAGCUCUGAUCUUCUUCAGGGCCCCUCUUUUGAGGUAAGUCCUCUUUCCAGGCUCCCCAACAUUUGCAGGCUAAAUAAUCCUCUCUCAUCAGUAGUUCUGUAGCUUUUUGCUGGGCUGCUUUAAGAAUGGGACCCUGGAGCACAUCUCCAAUUAGAUGCUGCUUCCAGCAGGAGGCCUUCUUUGAAGUUAAUGGCCCCUUCUGGGUUUGUCUUAUCUCUUUUGUACUAGUCCUCUUCUCAACACUUGCCCUUCCUUCUUGUAAUUGUCUGCCAACCUCCCCUUUGGCCUGAACUAUAAGGUCCUGGAGGACUAACUCUGUCUUGCUCACUAGCAUUUUUGACCCCUACUAUGAUGGUUGAUUAGUAGGAUUUCACUGCUAAACCAAAAAAUGUGUUGUCUUCAUUGUUUUUGAAGUAAGCAACUUAAAAAAAAGAAAGAAAGAAAGAAAGAAAACCUUGCAUGUUAAGCAAGGUUUAAAUGGAAUUGAUCUCUGAAUUUCAUUCGUAUAAUUUGCAACUAGACCUAACCAUCUGCACAUGGUAACUCUAUUUGCAUUCACAAGAUAGACCCUCUGCCUGGGACUCUCCAACAAUCAGCCAUGGUGAACAGCAACUCAUCCUUUGGCCCUCAGCUUGAAUGAUGCUUACCUUCCUAGUGUUUCUCUCCUCCUGCUCACCCAGCCUAAAACAUCUUUCCCUGAAACAAGCACUUAGCAUGCCCUUUUUCUCCUUCAUCUCACUUAUCCAAAGUGUAGAUUUCUCUUUUAUGGGUUGUCUUUUUAAAAAAAAUAUUUAUUUAUUUUUUAAUUGUAGUCAUACAAUACCUGUAUUUAUAUGUGGUGCUGAGGAUUGAACCCAGGGCCUCGCACAUGCUAGGUGAGCAUUCUAUCACUGAGCCACAGACUAGCCCCUUAUAGGUUAUCUUUUCUACUAGAUUGUAAACUACAUGUGAGCUGAGAAUUUAUACGUUUGGUCCAGUAUGAUAUUUCCAGCACCUAGCACAGUAUCUGGCAUGAACCAAGUAUGCAAAACAUAUUUGGAAAAUUAUUAUAUUUCUUUGCUUUUUAUACUAUAUAAAAGAUACUCUAGGAAUACAUAGAAGAAUAAGACAUUUAUCUCUAACCUUAAAAGGAAGGUUGGCAUCUCUGAUACCUUAACAGAAAAAAGACGUUUAAUGUUAAGGAUGAGGGGGAAAGCAGAGAUCUAGAGGCUAAGUAUGAGAAUGCUCCCUUACUACAACAUAUAUAAUAUUUGUAUAUUUAUUAAACAUUGAUUAAGGAAAUUCAUGAAAGAAAACUAUAUAUUUAUUCACUAAUGCUAUUAAAUGUGUUUACACAUUGCUAAUCGCACUAUUACAUUAUUUUGAGGGAUAGUGGUGUUUACAGUGAGAGAUACAGACUAUUAAUUUUUUUCUAAUUUUAUUUUUAACUGACUAAAAAUUGUAUAUAUUUAUCACGUUCAACAUGUUUUGAAAUAUAUAUUCUUUGUGAAAUGGCUAAAUCAAGCUAACUGACUUUAUACAUUACUUCACAGGCUACAGUUAUCAUAGUCAUCUCUUGAAGUCACUCCUCCUAACUGAUAUUUUUCAGUUUUGGACCAACAGGAGCAUAAAUUGGGUAUCUGCAUACAUAAAUCAGAUCUCUUGCAAAAACAACCUCCAGGUUUUUUGUUGCUGUGUGCCUAGGACUCAGGAUGAAGAAGUCAGGGCUUUAAGAAUGUUGCCCAGAGGAUACAUGGAAAAAGGAUAUUCCAUUCAGAGAUUUGCCAAGUUCUAGUCCUGGUGGCAUUUAAGUAUGCCCCUAAGUUUGGUCUUGUUUUUACAAAUUUUAUUUUCCUCUUCAAGACUCUCUUGUAUUGAUUAUUCUUUUAAUCAUCAGCGGUCGCUCUGGCAUGUGCUCAGUGAUGGUCAUGUUUAAGUCAGGAAGACACUGUUCUCUUCUGUUUGCUUUAAGCGGUGAUAGGCUUAAAGCAAAAGGCAGUAUGGAAAUAAACACUUGAAAGUACAACAAGCCAAGGAAUUAUGUAAUAGGUAAAAAAGCAAACACACAAAUAAUCAAAUGAAUGCAUAAAUAUUCGCUGAGUUUAGCUGCACUGGACAGCAUUGAAAUAAAAAGAAAUACUGACACUCUUCAAAUUUUAACCAGGAAACCCUUAGGUAAAGAGACCUUCUAGGCAAUGAAACUGAUAUGAUGACUAACUUUUAUUUUGAGUUAAAAUAUGCCAGAUACAUCCUAGGUGAUUUAUUAGUAUUAAUUCAUUUUUUAGUCCUUAAACCAGCUGUAAUGGAUGCUGUCGUGUGUCAUACAGCUAUCUGCUUCCAGAACUGAGGUAUCUACACUCCUUCCUCUCCUGGAGAAUUGUCUGCUGACAGCUCAUAACUAAAUCCUUCCGGAGAAAUUGCCCUUGGCAGUAAGGAGCUCCCUCUCCAAGGCUACAUUCUUUCCAGAGACAGCCUUUAUCCAAUGGUGGGUCAAUAUCUCCAUGGGACUAUUCCAGCUUCAGAGUUUUGUGGAAUCAGCUGAAGCUCUGUUGCAAUUGCUUCAUGCUUCAACUUCUUUCUCUUCUCAAUCUCUCUUCUCUCAUUGCCUUCUGGGGAUUUUUCUGACAGCUCACCUGUCCUAAUUUCUAUCUCAGAAUCUGAUUCCUGGGGAAUCAUAUAAAUGACACCAACCUUCUUAUUAUUCCCAUUGUACAGGCAAGGAAACUAGAUAGGAAGGAAGCAUAAUCAGCUCAGUCACACAGGAUCCAGACUUAAGGAAUCUAGGUCCAGAGGCAUGUUCUCAGCCACUGUGCUCUGUCUCAAAUAGGGCAAGGGAAACAUAUGAGCUCUGUAUGUGCCUUCCUCUUGGGCUUAGUCUUCCUUUGUGUCUUUUCACCUUCUCCUAUUUCAGUCACACUGGCUUUCCUUCAGCUUCUUCUACUGGCCAUAAAUGAGUGAGUCAAUUGCUAGGGGUGCAGACAGUGGGGUGGUAUGUUAGGAUCUUGGCUGGAGAUGAUUAGAAUCUAGAAGAGGAAUUUGUUUAUAGCAAGGAGCAUAGGGAGUGAAAGGUUACUGACAUUAUAGUUAAUAAAUAAUAAUAUAUGAAAUGCAAAUCUGAGGGUCUCAGCUUGGGGGCAAAACGUUUUGUACUGAGUGCAGUAUUAAAUUCUUAUUGUGAGGCAUACGGGAAAUGAUGUCUGCAUCCUUUGGAAAUUUGUAAUAGUUUUGGAAAGAGAAAAACACUAUACGAGGAAAAGUGAAAGAAUAAAAAAGUAACAUAAUAUGUAACCCACAGCAAGAUAGUGUGGCAUAUUAUUAAUAUAUUUGUGAGAGUAUGAAAUUAUGGAAUUUACUAUAGAAAAUAUUGACUAUUAAAAGGUUUAUUUUGGUUUUGUGUUGCAUCUUCAUGAAUUGCAAAAAGAGGGAAAAAUAAUUAUUGACAGAAGAGACAGGUAGAAAUCAGUGAGAAGAGAGGCAUCGUCUCACAGCAUUUCUAGGAAAUAAGUACUGUUAUUAGGACUUAUGAGAACAUUGAGAUGCAGAGAGGUGAAGCUCUUACUGGGGCCCAUUCAGCUGGUAAGCCAUUGAGCUAGGAUCUGAACCCAGAGUGUGUGAUAUUAACCUCCAUCUUUUGGAGUACCAGGUUUAUGGUGAUGUGGGAGAUUAGGUGGGUGGGCCAAGGUGUUGACUCAUCUGGGAGAUUUCUGAUAGAUCUGUCGGGCAAUUGAGGGCCUUCAUAAUCGGGGAGAAGCAUGGGUUUGCAAGUCAAGCUAAUGAGAAGUCUAAUUUCAGUUCUAAUCAUUACUGGGAAAGUUGCCUAUUCAUCUUAAGGCUCUGUUUUAUCUAUUGUUAAGUGGGAAUAACCAAACUUAACUGUUAGGGUGCAGUGAAGAUUAUAUAUAACAUAUAAAAAGCACUUCAUAUAGUGCCUAUUGUGAUUUUAGUAGGUACUCCGCUGUUUGGUGUUAAUUGUUUAAGCUAGGAUGGAGAUGUCUGGAGAAGAUGGGAACAGAGAAAAUGGCAUUUCAGGAAGCUAGAGAUGGCUUCAUGGUAUAUGAUGGACUAAAAAAAGGAAGGGUAGAUGCAGAUAAAUACCAAUAAUUAGUAUUUCCUAGUCAUAAAAAGCAGUGUGGUAAAGAGCAUUUAAGUAGGAUAAUGGCUGUUGAGACAGAGGAAGAAGUAAACCUGAGUGACAUCACUAAGUAAGAAUUGACAGGAUUCUGUGAACAAGAGAAGAGACUGGGAAAAAGAGCUAGAUGGGCUGAUGACCAAAAGGCUGAGAAAGGUAGACUGUUGAGGCAAGAAGAUGGGAACCGAAGUAAAGUCCAGUCCUUGGGGGCAUGGCAAUAAAUUCUCAUGUUGAGGUGAAGGUGAAUAGACAUGAAAAAGAUGGGGGAGAGGGGCUGGGGAUGUGGCUCAAGUGGUAGCGCGCUCGCCUGGCGUGCGUGCGGCCCGGGUUCGAUCCUCAGCACCACAUACAAACAAAGAUGUUGUGUCCGCCUAAAACUAAAAUAAAUAAAUAAAUAAAUAUUUAAAAAAAAAGAAAAAAAAAAGAUGGGGGAGAAUUUGAGCAAUAGAAAAGGGAUAAAAGGAAGCCAUGGUUCUACUCAUUUUGAUCUUCAGAAAGUGGGAUUUCUGGCUGUGGGUUUUCCAGCUCAAACUCUGAGGGAAAGAGAUCCAAGAGAAGUGGUUGCCUAGAAUGACUGCCAGCUUUGCAGAAAAGGGAGCUGAAGUCACAGGAAUGGGUGAGGGCAUUGUGCUUAUAAUUCAAAGGACCUUGACAGAUUCAUGCAUGGAGGUCACAUGAUGGUGGAUUCUAUUUUCUUAAAAACCAAAUCCUUUCCUAUUGGGUUCAAUGGAACACUUCCUGUGAAAUCUACCAAUUCAACACUGAACCAGUGAUUUUUUAGCUUUUCACUUUUAGAGGUUGUUUUAGAAUAAAAUUUCCAUCCAUCGUCUCUCUUCUGUUCUUUUGCUUUCAGAGCAGCACAGUAGAAUGCCUUGCUAACACCAAGGGGUUCAAAAGAGCUAUUUCUGUUUUUAAAAAGGGCUUAAUAAGGAAGCAGCUUAUUCUCUCUGAGGAAAAUGAAUUUCAUAGAGGCCAAACGUAUUUCUGUAAAUGGUGAAGGACAAUACUAUUAUGCUCCAAUUAUGCUCUUCAUGAUCAUAGUGUAGAGGCCCACCUGACCUUAUACCAACAGGACAGUAGGAGAAGAAAGAUGCUGUUGCUGAAAGCUCUUAACUCAAUGACAAAUGUCACAAGUAAGCAGUUGCCAAAAAAAAAAAAAUGCUUUAGAAGGUAGGAGCACCAUUUAAGUUUUUUCAGACAUGAAUAGAUGAGUUUGUAAAUUAAGAAACUGUGGGGAGCUGGAAUCAGGGAAUUUGAAAGUAUCAGCCACACUUAGCCAAGUGGCCUUUCUCAGAGUCUAGAAUUUCGUAUGUUCCAAUAACAAAGCCCAAAUCCCUCAGGCAAAAAGUCCUUGGGAAAAAAAUUUAUUAUAGGCUCAUUAGAAGAAGUUAACUCUGAGCUUCUAAAAUGCAUUUCUUUUGCUGAGUAUUGGUGAUAUCUUGUAGAAGCUUUCCCUAGAAUUUACCUACCCUAAGAAUGGUCAAGCCCAAAUUUUAAUUAAGGUCGUCCUUUUCUUUUCUUGUAGACUAAGAAAGUAAUAUGAGGAAUAAAACCCCAGGAGAGCCUCUCCCUAGUCCAUCUGUGACUUGUAAUGUUGUCUAUUAAUGAGUUUUUAAAUAUACAGUGAAAAAAUUAUUUCUGUAUUCAGAAAAAUACAUUAGAGGUGGGAAGAAGGAAGAACUCACGACCAUCCUUAAAAUUCAAUUAGACUGGCUGCAGGCUGGGCAUAAGAUUAACUUGCAUAGUGCUUUUUUUCCUCUUAAAUGCUCCAAUUUUAUUCUCAGCCAUUAAUAUAAAUGUUCAUGCUGAAAGAUCAAUAAAUGCCCUGGAAGCUUUUUUUAAAAUGAAAAAUUUCCUUAUUUAAGGAAACAAAAAUGCAUCCAGGAAGAAAUAAAGUACAGUUUUGUGCUCAUUGAUCAGGCAUAUGCUCAUGCUACCUGUAGCUCUUUUGGAUGAACCUCCCAUAUGAAGAUUUCUAAUUUCUAUUCUCUAACACCUUAUUGCUAUGCUUGACUCUGAAGCAAAAAAUGUAGCUGUGUGGAUUUUUUUUCAUUGAUAAUUGCAAAGCAUGCUGGUCAAGUUUGUGUUGGUGUAAAACACUGAUCUGACAUCUUAAAGGGCCACAUUCCCAGGUAAUGCCAUUAUGCUUCAGUAGUUCCCCAUGAAACCACUGAGUCCUACCCAUCCACCUUCUCUUUGCCAGGGGAAAAGCUCCAAGAUGGCUCAUUUGAUUGUCUAGAUUUUCUUAUGCUUGGGUUAUGUUGGAGUCUAUCUGUCCAAAUGUUUUAUCCAUAGAAUCCCUUUUAAACAAGACAUUUUCUAGGGAGAACUAUGGACAAAGGAACUCAUGAGGGUGGUUGUGGUAUAAAGAGGUGGGGAGAACAGUGCGAAACUUCGCUGACCACAAGGCCAACUGGUGCUAUUCUGUACUACUGCUAUCUGGGAAAGAGGGAAAUGAUUACUUCAUGACUUUCUGUUCAUGAAACAAGAAUAAUGACUUUAACUCUGAAAACAGUCUUACUUCUCAUCCGCUAUUCUAGGAAUGAAUGCUAAAUCUUAUUCUUCCAUCUACCUGUGCAUGUCCCCAAGUCUCUUAUGCCUGAUUAAAUUAACUCAUCUUUACGAGUAACCUGCUCUUCCAAGCUAACAUGAACACCAUUUUCUUUCUUUCAAGGAAAACAAAACAAAACAACAACAACAACAAAACAAACCUGACACAUUUUCUAUUAAGGGGCCAUAUUUUGCAAAAGAUUGAAUAAUUGGAUGCUACUUUUAAAAAAUUCUAGUUCCUUAAAUGUAAGAUGCUUUAAAGUCAUACCCCCCCCCCCAAAUCCCUUUGUUCUGAGCCUAUUCCAUUUCGCCAUACAGAAAGCUGGGCAGUUUUGUUUGCUUCCAGCUUUUGUUUUUCUGAGUUGUUUCUUUUCACUCAUGCCAAACCUAAAGACUUUCCUCUUUUCUUACAAAUUUUUUCAUUUGCAUUGUUGCUGGCUUAGAGGCAACCUCCUAACUACAGAUACUUGCUGUUGAUCUAUGUACUUCAGCAAUUUGGUUAAGCAAUGUUAUUUUCACAAUACUGUUUUGUCCCUUCAAUCACUUAUUUGAUCUAUUUUGAUUUUAUUUCUUUACAGACCUGCAUGUUCUUGUUAAUGUUUCUUUUAAAAUGAAAACAUCCAGAGAUUAUAUGAUGUUUUUCCUAGGUCUUGCUUAAGUUUUUGUGUUUUUAUUUUCAAAAGGAGAAUUUAUAAUUUUAGUUUGUUAAAUACAUUGAUUUGGAAAAUAAGCAGAAUAGUAAUUACUUGUUGAAAAAUUUGUCAAAAACAGAAAAGCAUAAAAAAUUUGGUAUAUACAGUUCCAAAUACUUUUCAUUGUUUCUACAAAUUUAUAUAUCUGUGUCUAUAUCUCUGUCUCUAUCAAUUGCACAUAUAGUUUUAGCAAAUGUAGCACACUGUAUAUAGUUGGUUCUCAUUAUUCACUGGAGUUGUUUUAUAAAAUUUCCGUAAGUACUAAAUUAGUGAAUACUGAACCAGUGUUCCUAGGGGAAAGGCAGAGUGAGGUUCCUAUGAGCCACUAGUCACAACAUUUUCACCAACCAAUCAAUAUAUAACUUUGUACUAUGCAUAAUUCUGUUUAAAGACAACUUAUUCAAUAUAUAUGGGUAAUUCAUUAACAUUGAACUCAUAGCCAACAGCACUGUAACAGAACCCUAAAUAAAGCUUACCUAAUACAAGUAUUUUCUCUGCAAGGCACAUCAUGACUUGCAUUUAAAGACACUAGACAGCACUUCACUAUGAGGCCCCUGGAAAAAGCAAAAUUAAAUACAAAUACAUGGCACUAUGUAGACCAUAAAACAGACAAUAUGAGUGCUGAAACAAGAUGUCAGAGUGCCACCAUGUUCUUCAGUCUCAGAAGGAAUGUGCAUAUUCAUGAAUGACUGAGAAAAAGCAUCAUAAGUAUUGAUUUGAUGAGCAAGUAAAUUUACUUGUGAAAAAUGAGGAUCAACUACAUAUCUUUCUACAAUAUGUUUUUUUCCCUACUCAGCAAUAAUUUAUGGACAUCCUUCCGUAUCAUUGUAUAAGGACUUUAAUUUGUUCAUCCCAUAUUUGUGCUACUGGGCACUGUGUUUAGUGUUAGAAGAGUGGAUUGAACAAAACAAGACAGAAUAUAUGUUCAUAGACCUUAAGCAUAUUGUUAGAAUUUAAGAUGAUGCUAGAUAGUGGUAAGUGCUCUGAAGAAAAAGAAACAAUGUAAGGAGUAGAGAAUGAUCAAGAGAGCAAUUUUCCAUAGAGGUUAUGGAAGACCUUUCUGAUGAGUUGGCAUUUGGACAAGAUUUGAAUGACUUGAAAGAAGCAGUCAAUCAGAGUACAAUGCUAGAAUAGAUUAUGCUUCAAGAAUCCUUACCCUGUCCUGUAGCCAUGGGAGGGAUUCUUUGUAAAAUUGCAGAGUAAAAUAUUUUUACUGCAAUUGGUUAAGACUAUCACCUCUUUCCUUUUUAGUUUCCUCUCUGGCAGUACUUUCUCUUAUAUUGGGUGGUGUCAGCCAUGAGUAUUUUAGGAAAUUGGCCCAAGCAGCAGCAUGCUGGAAAUUGUUUAAAAACUCUAGUUUGUAUCACCUAUAAUUUUCUGUGAUGUAUAUACUCCUAACAUGACCAAUUUCAAAUUGCCAGCAUGAGGUCACAGAAAGUGAAGUUGGGAUAAGAUGUACAGUAGCCCCCCAUUAUGUAGUAUUUCCACCACAUUCAUCAUAUAUAACUUGACAUGUUCCUUUGAUCACUAAGUUUUCUAUCAAUUGAUGGCUAGAAUUAGAGACUUAACGAGACUAAGAUUCAACUUUUUUUUUUUAACCAGACUAUGUUUUAGAUAGUAUCACACACAUCAGGAGGUUUAUAGUAUAAUAGUCUUAAAUAAAUUUAAUUGUUUAUCAACAUGAAGUCAAAGGCCAGACAUAAAUGAUUUAUUGAAAAAUCCAUGUGGAACAAUGACUAUAAAAGCAGUUAAAUCUAGUUUGCAUUUGUGGAGAUGAACCUCAAAAAAUGUUUAUACUAUGACCCUAAUUUUUUCAAGAAAUAACAUUACCAACCACAGGAAUUAAACUCUGGAAUUUUGGCAGUACAAUUAAGUUAUAUGAUGUCAUUUCUAGUCAUUGGUGAAUUGGGGUCCUACUGGAAUAAUUGAGUCUUAUGAUUAAUAUGGGAGAUAAGAGAUUGAAGUUAUGUCUUAUAGAUGACUGAUUUUAUGGUAAAAGAAAGUACUACAUGUAUGACCGUGAUGCUAUAUCGUAAGAAAAACUGAUAAGGCUGCAAUGGAUGAAUUAGUGUCCAUGGGGCAUGUCUUUUCUGGCUUGUAGGGGAUUUCAAGAGUAUAAUUUUUGGACUCAAAAUUUUAGUUCCCAGAUUCUCCAUAUCCCCUUCAUCCUGCGCAAGCCUGAUGUGUUAUUGCCCAAUCCAUCUAUGAUUCUGUUCUCGUCAACAACUCUUAAUCAGACAGUCUUUUAUCCUUUGCCUUCCAGGAUGAGAACCACCACUCCCACUCACCACCCUUCAUCAAAUAUACACAAACCAGCACAUUCUCAUUCCUUUGCUAUCGCAGAUUCCACCAACUUCUGCUGGAAAAGACCAAAUGUCUAAUGUGAGGGACCUCUGAUUUAAUAUGAGAUAAUGGUGCUCAAAGGACAGUGUUCAGUUUCAAGGAAUGGAUGGAUCUGGAAGGAAUGGUGAGAGACCUGAGUGUCUGAGGAAGAGGUCUGGGAUCAUUGAGUGCCGAGGACUGAGACCAAAUAGUGAAUGGACGUCCAACAGAUAAAGGAAGAAGAAUGACUCUCUGCUUCUUUUCUUACUGACUGGAGUCAAGUUUAGAAAACUCUAUGCCAAUUCUGUUAAAAUGUUUAGGGUUCUAUAAACUUCUUAACAUUUCACUCAAGGGACAUAUUUCUCAACCCCAUUUGCUGGUUGGGAAUAUUGUAGAGAGGUGGAGAGAGCAGUGAUGCUGAAAGUCUUCCCACCUGGGCUCCCAGUGACUCUAAGGCUAGUGGAGCACUCUGCAUGACUACUCCCAGAAGCAGGCAUGGAUGAGAGCUUGCCCUUGCACUUGUUGGCUCAGUGUUACCCAUUGUAAAGCCACUUCUCACAGAGUCCCUAAGCAUAAUAGCAGCUUAGCUCUAUUAUAUUUAGAAGUUGAAAUUAAUUUGCAGUGUGUACACUGAUGAUUUGCAGCAUAUUCAUAAUGGCUGGGCCAAUUGGAAGCCCCUCAAAUUAUUCUUUACUGACAAUUAAGCACAGAAUCUGGAGUGCAGGUGUGAGGUGGAUAUGACUGGUCCUCAGCCCAAAGCUCUUCAGAACACUUUCAGCAGUUAUGUGCUUCUCAGCUGGCUUCUGUGUGCAUUACUCUGCUUUGGCAAGGCUGUGCACCAGAGACUAGUAUUCUGACGCCAGUUCUGAGACUAACUGAGCAAUUUUAUUCACAAGUAUAAAGAGCUAGAAAUGCUCUGGGAGCUUAGGUUUCUCAGGAGCAGUCUUGGGCAUUCAUUGCCAAUCAUAUGUAGAGCAGAAAAGGUGAGUUUUCUUUUGUCCUGUUGGGACAAAGACUCUGAGACAAGGUGUGCACUUCAGGAGUUCUAUGGAAUCCAGAUGAAGUUACCCUCUAGGGCUUUGCCAGAAAUCGCACCCUUAUUUGGCUCCUUUUUCUUCUUCCUUCUUCUCCUUCCUUUUUUUCUGUUCCUCUUUCCUUCAUUCCCUUUUUGGUUUCUCCUGAGAAAAGUUCUUAAUCAGUCUCCUGCAAGUGAAUUCUUGCCAGAGGUUCCAAACCUGGGAAACCAGUGUGAGAAAAGGGGCUAUAGUGAGCACUCAAAUAGCAGCUAUGGUACAGGACUGCAUGUCCCCAUCCUCCAGGGUCUCAGGGUCUAGGCAUCAGAACUGUGCUCUGACUUUGGUAAUGCUGUGGUCUACCUGCUGUUUUUUUUUUUGGCUGGGACCAUAGAUCUCUAAGAACUAGGACCCUGAUAGUAUGAUCUGGCCCCAAAAUUCUUUCUUACACUUACCAAUCCCUGUAACUUGGAUUAGAAUCUUCCCUUCCAUUCCCCAACUUCUUAGAAAAAUUUUGCCAUGGAUGGAAAGAGUUCCAGGAAAUACUACUGUUCCUUGACUUGUUCCAAUACAUUUGGCCAUUGCCUAGAGUCUUUGUGGCUGGGGCUACCUGUUGAUUUGGAACAGUGUUGGUGAUUUCCAGAAUCAGGUUUGAGUUGGUUAAAUUCUGGAUAUACUGCCUAGUUGUCAUUGCUGGAUAGAUUUCAGAGACUCAGAGGGUAGAUCUUCCUGUUUAGCCUCCAUCAGGUCAUCCUCGAUAUCCUCCCAGUCAGCUGUGGUAGAACUCCAAGCCUGGUCUCUGAUUAGUGAACACCAGUGGCAGGGACUACAUCUAUGUCAACUGUUAAAUCACCAGCAUCUAUUACAGAACAAAGUUUAGUAAAUAUGUACUGAAUUAAUACAUGGAUGAACACUUAAUUAAGUUAUUGUAUAAGCGUCUAUUAACACCCAAAUCUCUUUGUUGGCAUGUCCUAAACUUUGUUGCUUAUACUUAAGCAAAAUGUAGCAUGUGCCCAACAGGGUGGACAGAGAGUAUCAAGAAAGUGAUGCAUGUAUACAUACGUAUGUGCAUGAUCCUCAAGGCAAUAUAGGACAAGAUGAUGAGUUCUGGGUCAGGCAAACCUUAGAUCAUAUCCCAUUCCAACCACUUAUUCAUAACAAGCACUAAUAGUUACAUGGUGUCAUUACAUGCCAGAGGGUGUCCUGAACAAUUAACAUACUUUAUUGUUUAGCCCUCACUACAACCCUAUGAAGUAGAGAAUAUUAUUGUCAUCCUCAUUUUAGAGAUAAGGAAAUUGAGGUUAAUCUGCUCAACAGGCAAUGGCAGCAAUGGGAUCUGAACUUAGGAGUCUGACACAAGAGGAUGUUUCUUAGUCUCUGUUAUAUUCACUAUUUGAUGCUAGGACUUUGUGAGGGUUGAAUGGGAUAAACGGACAAAGGCUUUAGCAGGAGGUCCAUAGGGGCUCAAUAAAUGCAGGGGGGUGGUGGUGGCAUGCAGAGCACCUUCCUCCUUUUUUUCCUUCAAGGUCGACUUUAUUUUUUAAAUUAAUCUUUUAUUAAUUAUCCCCAGCACCACCAAUAAAAAUAAACAAACAGAAAAUCCCUACCCAAGCCAAUUAUGUCUAAAAAUGACUCACAAUGAUUCUUACCAUCAUCAAAUAUCCCAACCAUGUUUAUAUUUCCCAAUUGUUUUUUACACACUUUUUUCCCCCAAGUAUUUUUUGUGUGAAUUAGGACUAUAAAUGAGGCCCAAACAUUGCAAUACAUUGCUGUGUCUUUUAAGUUCUUUUUAAGCUAUCAGUCUCUUUCUCCACACUUUUCCUUCUAGUAAUUCAAUUGUGAAAGAAGAAGGACAUUUGUCCUGUAGUUCUCCCAGGAACUUCUUCCCCAUUGUGGAUGAUUACAUCCCCAGGGUAGUGUUUAACACAUUUCUGUGUUCCUCCCUGUCCUGCGUAUUGGUAGUUUUCUCUAGAAGCUUGGUUAUAUCAUUUUUGUCUUGGCAAGACUAAUUCAUAGGUCGUAUUGUCUUUUUCCAUCAGGAAGCACGUGUGUUCAGAUGCUUCUCUUUAUAGCAUGCUAUCAGUCAUUGAUGAUUAAGCCCAGAUCCAUUAAUCCAUUAGGGAUGAUAAGUGGUGCUACUCUGUUUAUUAUAUAGGAGAUUUCUACAUAGACAAACUUCCCUAUUCAAUUUUUUGGUUUCUCUGAAUUACAGGAAGACAACAAAUGCUCAAUUCUAUCCCUUUAUCAGUUUUAAGGUAGUGUGUUAUUUCCUAUCAACUCAUGCAUUCAAACUGCCCUCCACUUUUAUUUUAAAUGAGAUGCUCCAAAUCCAUAGAAAAGUUGACAGAAUAUUCCCUUAGCUGGAUGCAUUACUUGUUAAAAUUUUGCCACACCUUCUUUCUUUAAAAAAUAUAUAUAUAAUCACCUGAAAGUAAAUUGCAGAUCUCAUGGCAAUUUACUCCUUAAUACUUCAGCAUGCAUUUCCUAAGAGUAAGGAAAUUUCUACACUAUCACAAUACUAUGAUCACAAGAAAUAAUUUUAAUGUAUAAUAAUAAUCUAUAUUCAUAUUCUGAAAACUUUUUUUAAAAGUUCAUUGAAAGGUCAGGCAUAAUAUCUCAUCAUAUCUGUAUUUUACUUUUUUUGGUUAUUUCCUCUUGCUGGGAUCGGAACGGAGGUUGACCUGAGGCAGAGUUUAUAAUCUUCAGGAGUCUGCCUGGAGGAAAUUGUGUGUAUGUUACACAAGGGAGGCAGGUUACCUACCAUUGCAUCAUGUUGGUUUAUCCCAAUAUUGGUGAUGUAAAACUUGAUUCUUUGGUUAGGUUGAAGUCUGCCAAAUUUUGUAGUAACAAAGGAACGCUUCCCUUUGCUAAGUAAUAAUGUGUGGGAUAUAUUGAAAUCAUUUGAACUUUAUAGUUCUCAAAGGUAUUAAUAUCUAUUUCUGAUCUUUUUUAAAUCAAUUACUGCAUCAGUAACUGUAAAAUGGUGAUUUCCUGAUACUAUUUAUCUGUAGCUGAUAUUCUUCAGUGAAUAAGAGCUUUCCAUACUGCUCUAUGUUUGGAGUAACAAUACAGACUCAUGGAUUCUUUUUUUAAUUCAAUGUAUUGGAAUCCAUUAUCUUCAUUAUUCUUUAUGAUGUUCAUAUUAAUCCAAAUUUGGCCAAUGUGUGCUUCUUCAAGAUGAUUCCUAUAUUCUCUUAGGAUGCCCUCAUUGGUUUCUGAGUGCUUCCUUGCUUUCUGGCACAGCUAGAUAUUCUGCCUUACCUUGUCCCUUAGUUAUUGAAUCAGUAGCUUCCCAAGGAGACCUAGUUCCUUUUUGUAAGUAAAGAUAUUUGGAAACCAUGAUCUAGGGACUAAGUGUGCUUACUGAACUACUGAGAUGUUGUUACUAUAGGCCCUUCCAGUGGGAAAAGCUAAGAGAUAUUUUUUGUUCUUUUUUGUUAAAUCAUAUGUUCACACUCAGCAAUCAUGGGGGUCCUUGCCAUCUCUGAGUCUGUAUGUAUGUCUUCCUUUUCUCAUGGUUAGGAUCUUGGUGUACUCAACAAUGUUAAUAAAUUUGCUCAUACUCUUCCCCAUCAUAUAUACAAGAGUUUUUCAGAAUUAUUACAUCCAUAUCUUUUCAACAAAAAGAUCCAAACUUAGCUUAGCUUAGUGGUACACACCUGUAAUCACAGUGACUGGGGAGGCUGAGGCAGAAAGAUCACAAUUUCAAGGCAGCCUCAGCAAAUUAUUGAGGCCCUAAGCAACUCAAUGAGAUCCUGUCUCAAAAUAAAAAAUAAAGGGGUUGGACAUGCAGUUUAGUAGGUAAACACUGCUUGGGUUCAAUCCCCAGUCUAAAAUGUAAAAAAAUUGUAUUUUGUAUUUUGGUCUUUAGAUUAUCUCCCACAAAGAGAGGGUUUCUCAACCCUGUCUCUAUUGACUUAUAGUCUGGAUAAUUCCUUGUUGUGUGGGCCUGUCCUGUGCAUUAUAGAAUAUUUAACAACAUCCUGGCCUCUAGACACUACAUGCUAGUACCUCUUCCUCCAGUUGUGACAAUCAAAAUGUGUGAAAACAGUCAAAUAUGCCUUGGGCACUGGUGGGAGGUGGGAGCAAAAUCUCCCUCUGUUAAAAACCAUUAUACUAAGAGGGUACAGACAUCCUGACUCCUAUUUUCAAAAGCUACUUGAAUACAUUGAUUUUAGAGUCCUCUUAUAUCAUUGACUUGAUAUUUAGUUAGGUUCAUUUAUUUUAGUUUGUAUUCAGCUUAAGAAUUUGCCUUUUCUUUUAUCAUUUGUAAAAUAAAGUUUAUUUUCUAAAUAAAUGUAACAUCUUCAUAGUUCAAAACAAACAAACAAACAAACAAACAACUCCCCAACUUACUGUACUCAGUAAAGUCUCAUUUCCUUCCCUAUCUCUGCCAGUGGUUUUAAUCUACUAUCUACAAAUAACUAUUUUCAUGAAUUUCUAGCUUAUCUGGCUUACAUACAUCCUAGGACACUAUCGAUUCUCUUUGGAUCUUGAUUUCUCUAUUUAAAAAUAUAUCCUGGAAACCACUCAAAAACAAUUCAAAGAAAUUUUCCUGGCUUUAUUGCAAAUGCUUGGUACUCUUCUGUGUGACUGUUUCAUAGUUGAUUCCAUUAUCUUUGGAAUGGGCAUUUAAUUUAUUUCCUAUAUUUUGCUAACACUACAAAUAAUUCCAUAGUGUGUAACUUGGUCCAUAUGUUGUUUUGGAUUUGUGAGUGUGAUUUGUGGGGUCUUUGAGAUCAAUUCCUAGAAAUAAGAUUGUUAAAUCAAAGGGUAAAUGUGAAUGUAGUUUUGGUACCUCCAUGGGGUUUGCACCAUUCUCUGUUUCUACCAGCAAGACAUGACAGAAUGUGUUGUCAAACUAUGAAUUUGUGCCAAUCUGAUAAGAGAAAAGAAAAGUAUCUCAGUAUAGGGUUAGUGUAGUUUUGACUUGCAGUUUUCUAAUAAUGAAUGGAGUUAACAUCUUUACAUAUGUUUGUAUCCUUUUAUGGUGUGUGUGUGUGUGUGUGUGUGUGUGUGUGUAACAGAAAGAGAGAGAGAGAGAGAGAGAGAGAGAGAGAGAACUGUCUAUACUUGUCUUUUCUUAUUUUCCUUUAUAUUUUUGGUUACUUCUCUCCAGAAAUUUUUAGAGACAUAAUACAUUGAGUAGAUUAAGCUUUUAUCUGUGAUAAAGGAUUCAAAUGUUUUCUCUCAGAUUAUCAUUUCUUUUAAUUUUACACAUGACUUUUUUUUUUCUAUGCUGAGUGCAUUUUUAAAAAUCUAAAAAAUAUAGAUAUGCUUAUAAUUAUAUUUUUCCAUAUCUGGAUUUGAACCACAGUUAGAUUUUCCCCACACCAGGUUUUAAAUAUACCAAAUCAUGUUUUCUUCCACUUUUUAAAUGGUUUCACAUUUAAAUCUCUAAUGCAUUUGGAAUUUAUUCUGGUGUAUGGAUCUAACUUAAUCUUUCUUUAAGAUAGGGUUAUAUUUGCCUCAACACCAUUUAAUGAGUCUUUCCUCUCCCUGUGGAUUUAAGCAUUGCUCUCACCAUCUAUUUGACUCCCUGUUCUGUUCUAUUCUGUGGUCUAUCUGUUUGUAUGAGAACAUCAUGAUUUUUAAACACUGAGACUGUAUAGUGCAUUUUUGUAUUUGGUGAAGCUGGUUCUUUCAUCACUACUUUUUUUUUUUUUUUUAGGCUUUUGCUAGAUAUUCUUGCAUGUUUGGUUUUUAUGUGAAUUUUAGAAUCAACUUGACUGUUGCAGAGAUUUACUGGGCUUUUAUUGGGAUUGCAUUAAAUUUAUAUAUUUACUGGAGGAGAAGUGAUUGACAUCUUCAUAAUGUUGAAUCAUCCUGUCCAAGAGAAAGGGAAGUCUUUACCUUUGAUGAAGUCUACUUCAGUGUCUUCCAGGAGCAUUUCAGAGAUUUAUCAUCUUCCUCAUAUGAAUUUUAUAUUUUCUUCUUAAGUUUAUUCUUAACUAUUUUAUCAUUUUUGUGGCCUUUAUAAAUAAAUUAUGAGUUCUAAUUGAUUGUGGCCUAUAUAUUUGAAAGCUAUUGAUUUUUAUAUGUUGAGAUGCAUCCCAGUAUCUUUAUUAUUUGCUUUUUAUCACUGAAUGGCUAAGAUUUUCCCAGACAUUUCAACAUAUUACCUACAAAUAGCUUUAAUUCUUGUUUUUCAAUUUGUGUGUCUGUUGGAAUUCCCUCCUAACCUAUGCACUCUCCAAUGCUGCCCUGCUGUUAGUAUGAUUCUCAAGCUACCUUUGUAUUUUCCUUUUCCUUGUGAUAUCAGAAUGAAUUCAAGUCUGAUCUACCACAGAUUUGACAACACCCUAGGUGUGGUUUUGGUGGCAGCAUUACCUUAAAAAAAGGAAUGUACCAAUAUAUAUCCCAAUAGGAGUUGUCCUCCUCUUCCUAUGUUAGCUAUGUUCACAUAUGAAUACAUGACCAGUAAAACUCCAUAUCAUGUACACAACUGCAAAAAUUAGAUCCUAAUUAGAAUGUUAUUACUCAUGUAUGUAUAAUAUGUCAAAAUACAUUCUACUGUCAUGUAUAUCAUCUAAAAAGAACAACAAAAGCAAAAAAACUUGUCCUUUUAACCUCCAAACCAGGUCUUCCAUCUCAUUUCUAGGUCUUUCCUGGGUAUUCCUAAACCUUGAUUUUAGCUCUGACUUUUCUUUUUCCCUCCUGCCUUUUUGUCCUAUCAAUUGCUAAUUCAUACAGAUUUUACUUUCUUUUUCCCUUUUCCCUACGUCAUCUGAUUAGUCCACUUGAUAGGUACAAAGGUCCAGAUGCACUGCUUCAGUUGGAGACUUCUGAGGGUCAUACUAGUUUCAGAGUCACAUAUGGGGUGGCUCUGUCCUCUGCUGCAGUGGCAUUUCAACCGAACUUCCCUCCUUCCACCUGGUCCUAACUUCCUCACUGUCUGAAAGAGGUUUCUGAGAAUGUUCCUCAGCAAACUUCUUACACAGACAUCUGACUCUCAGAGGAUGUUUUCUCGAGAUCCCACCCAUGACAUCUCCUUUUCAAUGUUUAUUGGUAGUGUUAUUUCUUACCUAAAGUAUUGCAAAAUCUUUACUGCAAAAUCGGAUCUAUCUGCUCACUGACUCCCCUUCUAUAAUCAAAAUGUUGAAGAAAUAAUUUGUCCUACAAGAUAGCUCUAAUUAGGUUGUUUUCCCUCUAAAACCCUGUGCCGAUCCCCAGACUGUUUAAUUGGUUUCUUACUCCUUAUUGUGACCUUCAGGUUGUCCUAAUUUAGCUCUUACUCUUCCCAUUCGCAUCCUCUAUUUCAGUGGAAGUAUCCUAUACUCCUCUUAGACUUGACUACUAUACUGUAAAAGUUUUUAUACUAUACUGUAAAAUUCCUCCUUCCUAUAUUUGUCUCAAAAUUUCUGUCUUCUAUUCUCUCUCUUUUUAUUUUUAUUUGUAUUUUCUGUGGGCCUGGGGAUUGAACUAAGGGCCUGCUGCAUGCUACGCAGAUGCUUUGCCUCUGAGCUUUGUUCCUAGACUGAUUAGCUCUUCUUUAUAAAAUUCAUACCAUGUUUCAAAGUCCUCUUCAAAUAGCCAUUCUCCAUGAAGAUUUUCUUUAUACUUCAAUCUAAUGUCAUCUCUUCUUCAUUGGUCGUCCCAAUGUACUUUGUGCUUCUCUUUGGUAUCCACUUGAUUCUAUUUACUGUGUUCUUAUUUCUCCUUUUUUACUUCUCUUUCCCAUCCUGCUACCCAAACUGGUAGAGCAAAGUUUUACCUAAAUCCUCUUUGUAUCACUUGAAAUAAUAAGAGUCAUCCUUAAUAUUGUUCAAUAAAUUAUUAAUCAAUUCAAUUGAAUGUGAACUGCCAAUUUGACGUUUGCAUAAAUGCCUUUCAUCUUUCUAGCUUUUCAAGUUUGGAAAGGUGGGAGAGUUUGCCUAAGGUAGAAAAAUAUUUUAUGUUUUUGAUGAAAUCAUAUUUAUUAGCCAAUCUUUUUUUAGUACAGUUUUCAUUGGAAGAAGAUCCUUACGAUUCUUUUAGAAAGUUUCUAAAACUAGGGAUGGAAUGUGGCCCCAUAGGGUGAUGUCCAUGUCCUGUGAGACAUAAGCAGGAUGUCAGGAACUGUCAGGAAUUCCUGAGGGUGGAGAGAAGAACCAUAGGACCAGGUAAUCAGAUGAUGUGAAAUCAUAUCCAUGGUGCAACACGGAACACAGCUGUAGGGCAGGAAUCUGGAACCAACCAUAUGUUUCUUUAUCUCAUUUUUCCAUCUUACAAUGGAGGAGAUGUGAGUUUUAGCUUCCUUAUUCUGUACAAACAACUUUGCCCAUUAUCAAGAUAUAUCUUUCCUUUUUCUUUUUUUCCAUGUACUUUAGCCUCAUUUCAUUAAUUAAUAUCUUUUUCUGAUUGAAUAAGAAUAACAGUGUUUUCCAAAACACUCUUAAUUGAUCUUUGAUUUUACCCAUACCAUUCCAAUUAAAGACAUUGGAAAUAGGGCACUAAUUAAAAAUAAGCUUUAUAAAAUAAUAUUUAUGUAGGCAAUUUGUGGAUGAUGAAAUUGAAUGGGAUAUCAUAUACCUCAAGGUAUAUUUAAAAUUAUAUUUGCCUACUUAUGUCAUUCUAUAUCUCAGAGUAAACUGACUAUAAAUGAUAUAGUACUAGAAAUAUAACUUCUCAUUUUUGGGGUAUGAGGUGGUAUUCUCAAUAAGCAGAGUGUGGUUAUGGUUGGAUAGAACAGUAUAGGGCUGUGCUUUUGUAGAAUCUCUCAUUGAAAGAACUUUGAUUGCUUCAUACACAUUGCCUUGUGAAUCCUUCUAUGUUCUUAGGAGGUGGAUGGAGUUAUUGUCCCCAUUUAACUAAUGGAGGAAUUGGAAAAGAGAGGGCUUGAGCUUCAUAUCUACCAGUCAAUGAUCUAUGUGACCAUGCAAAUAGGACCUACUCAGCCUUCACACACACACACACACACACACACACACACACACACACACACACACACAUAUAUAUAUAUAUAUAUAAUAUUUAGUUGUAGAUAGACACACAAUAUCUUUAUUUAUUUGUAUGUGGUACUGAGUAUCAAACCCAGUGCCUCACACAUACAAGGCAAGUGCUUUACCACUGAGCUACAGCCCCAGCCCCUACCUAGAAUUUUGAUUCUUGAUGCUGUAGCUAUACUUGCAUAAAUGACAUAUCCCUAGUAUGAUAUUAUGCCCUUGUCAUUUUUUUCCUAAUGACUGUGAGUUAUCACAUGGAAACUUUCACAACAAACAUUCCAUAUUAUAAGAUAUUCAUAAUAUUCUGGAUCACUCUAUAAACUUCCACCAAGCCUCUAUUUUUGUAGUAAUCCUACAGGGAUGUGUUUUACCCUAUAGAUUUUAGUCAUCUAACCUACCAGGACUACAGUCACAAUCCUGAUUUGAACCAAUACUAGCCCUGGGCUUGUAUGUCACAAAACCUAUGAACCUUGCUUUGUCGAGUACAGCACUAAUUCAAUCAACAAGCACCGUGUGUGGAGUAAAGCAAGUCAUAACAGGACAGCACUGACAUCAGUAAGAAAUGGCAAUUGACCAAGGAGGGAGGCUUCUAAAAUGCAAUCUGUUAUGGGCAUUAAGAUUUUAUGAAGGAUUUUGAAUAUUCUCAGGGAAAAAAGGCCAUUUAGAUAAUAAAAGAGUAGUUAUUAAAUCCUAUUUCUAAUUCUCUGUCACAGUAGUCUGUGAGAUCGUCUUUCCCUUGCACAGGUCUGAGAGAAGGAACCAAAUAGUAGUGGUAAAUUCAUAAGGUUAAUUUGAUGUGCUGACAAUUCUUAUGGUGAUUCAAUUAAAAUUAAGCUAUGCUUUGUAUAUUUAUAUGGAUAAUACUUUUGUAAUCCUAUUUUAAGGACUAACAGAAGUGGUUAAAGAAAAGAAGUCCCUGAGCAACAUAGCUCAGAAAAUAAAGAGCUCCUCAUUCCCUCUAAAAGGGAAUAAAUAUCUUUUAUAUAUGUAUGGAGUCUUAGCCAAUCAAUGAGUGAGAUAUAUGCAGGCUCUGUGACAAUCAUUAGAAGGUUUGACAUUGCUGCUAAGGAUCUUUUGACAGGAACAACUGAUGAUAAUAAUAGAGGUGAGCCCCACUAGAGAAGGAGGCAUAAAGGCCUCACGGAGGGCAGGACCAGCCCAGAACAGAAGAAAGGGUGCCAACCAGAGCUCCAUUAAUUAUCUCUUAGAAAGUUUUAGGAUCUACAUUUAAAAAAAAUCUAUUUGGUAUGAAGUAAAGAUGAAAAAGUUUUCAGUUUGAUAAUCUCCUUUAUGUCCACAUAUAAACAUUUUCCAAGGAAAAAACUUGAUCACACCCUGUCUGCAAUCCUGUACUUGAGCCUUUAAGAGAACAGAAUAUUUUGGACCUGGCAUUCAUUGGAUCAUUUGUCAUUGUGCCAAAUAAGUUUGGCUUUCAUAGCACUUGAAAAACAUGUUUUGGAGAGUCUGUGUAACAUUCUGGGUGGGGUGGUUUCUAAAAGGCUCAGUCUUAAACACAAAGCAGAGCUGUAAGACCAGUGAUUAGUAUUGAUGCAACAACUUCACAGCUAUGCUGAACAUUCAGAGUGCUAGGAAUUCUCUAAGCCCAUGCUGGGUUGACACAUCUUUCACCAUGUGUUGACAGAACAGAGCUAAACAGUGUGCAUUACACUAUCAAGUCAUGUACAUUUUUAUUCUUAAUCCAAAUAAACUCAGUUUCUGUAAAAAUUAUGUGAUGAUAGAAUUGACGUAUAUUUAUUCAUUAGCUUUUCUCAAAUUAUGAAUACUUAUACAAAUAAAAUAAUAAAUAUAAAGCAAGCAUAAAUAACAAUAAAAUGCAUACCUGUUUUCCAGCUUAAGGUAGAUGAAAGAAAGAAAACUUUUAAAAUUCCUUUGACUCUUGCUAUGAAUUAUUUCUCACUCUCCCUCACUUUAGAAGUAACCUCUAUCUUGACUGUGUUUAUCAUUCUCAUCCUUUUCUUUACUUUUUAUAAACACACACAUAUGUGCAUGCAUGCACACUCCAUAUAUAUAUAUAUAAAACACACACACACAAAGUAGUGUUAGUUUUUACAAGUUUUUCAAAGUUAUAAAUAAAAGUAUAUGUUUUAUACCUUCUUCUGUGAGUUGCUUACUUGUUCAGAAUUUUAUUUUGAGAUUCAUUCACAUUCAUGCAACAUUUCUCUGCUGUACAGAGAAAAGUACUUUUGUCCCUUAGUAUCUCUAGGAGGUUGGUUCUAGGACCCCUGCAGGUGCCAAAAUCUGUGAAUUGUCAGGUCCCUUGUAUAAAUGGUGUAGUAUUUGCAUAUAACCUAUAUAUAUUUCCUGGGUAUACUUUAAAUCAUUUCUAGAUUAGUUAUGUGCUUAAUACAAUGUAAAUGCUAUUUACAUAGUUGUUGUACUGUAUUGCUUAGGGAAUAAUAACAGGAAAAAGUCUGUACGUGAUCAGACACAAUUGUUUUUCCUAAUACUUUCUAUCCACAAUUGGUUGAAUCCACAGGUGUGGAACCCACAGAUAUGUUGAGCCAACUGUCUUCAGUUGUCUAAAUACACCACAAGUUAUCUAUUUAGUCAUCUUUUGACUGACAGCCAGGUUGUUUCUAGGCCAUCAGGGACAUUCUUGAAUAAAUCUCUUUGUUGUUCACACACAAAACUUUCUUUUGGAUGAAGAAAAUGGAGUUACUUGUUGGAGUAAUGUACACAUCUGCAACUGUACUAGAUUAUGUAGAAGUGUUUUCCAAAAUCAGUAAACCAGUUCACACUCCCACUAACUGUAGGUCAAUAUUCCCAUUAUUCUACGAUUCUCCAAACUUCGGGAUAGUUAGACUUUCCAAUUAUUGCUAAUUCAGUGUACAUGAAAUGGUGUCUUGUUGAUUUAGUAUGAUUUUCCCUACUUGCUAAAAAGGUAAGCUUCUGAUUAUGUGUUUAUUGGUCAUUCAUGUUUCUCUUUUGGUUAAAUAUCUGUUUUAUCUGCAUAUUUUAUUAGUAGUUUUUGAUUUUUUUCUUGUCUGUUUUUGGAAGCUUGUUAUAUAUUCUGGAUACAAUUUUUUUUUGGUUAUGUAGUUUUCAAACAUCUCUCCAAUAAUAUUAUCUUUUCAGUUUCUUUUGCAUAGCCUGCUAUUGCUUUAAAAUUUCAACUCAGGUAAAUAAAUCUUCUCAUCUUAGUAUUUAAAGAAAUAAAACUGUAUUAUUUAUGGUAUUCAGAAUUUUUAUUCAAACAUAAGAAUCAGAAAAGGAUAUUUGUGUUAUUUUAAAAGGCAAAUUGGCAAAGAUAUAUUUCCUGCCAGAUUCACAAUCUGGUGAGAUAAUGAGAUCUAGUCUAAAACAAAUGGAAUCCUUUAUUUAUUUAACUGAAUCCUAUUAUCCUUUCAGACAGAUACCUCCCUCCACCCCAAAGUUUGUAAAACAUCCAAAUAGAUCUCUUUCCUUCCAGCAUCUAAUUUCUGGAAAAAAUAGCAUAUACUUGACUCCCCUUUCUUAAGUUACAUAUUCUUUUUCUGAUGAUCUGGCUUCCCCUGCUAUUCACUUAGAAACUUUCAAAGGUCACAGUGACCUUGUAAUUUCCAAAUUGAAUGACCUCUUAUAUAGAAUUGCCAGAUUUAGCAAAUAAAAACAGAAUUUUUAACUAAAUUUAAAUUUCAGAUAAAUGAAGAAUAACUUCUAAGUAUAAAUAUGUCCCCAAUACAUAUCUCAAACAUCUGCCCUUCAACCCUCUCUAAACACAUUCAGUUGAGCACAUAGUGCUAUCAAUGACUCAGUUAUUUACAUGGAUAAUUCCCUUAGUACAUUUGGAAUGCUGGAAUGAAAAAAAGAUAGGGGAAAUUUGGUAUUAUUUUGUGUGAUACCUUGGUGGAACAGUGAGCUAUGAUUACAUUUCUUUCUAAUCAAAUGCUUUUCCACCAGUUUCCAGGCCUGAGAUUUCUCCUCCUUCUGCUAGAUUCUUCCUAGGUAGUACCACUGGGGGAGAAGUUGCCAGUUGACAUUAAUUAUCUUAGUGGGAAGAGUUAGAGUUCCAAAGAAUGGCUCUAACCAAAAGAAUCUGACUCUGGGGGAAAAGAAGAGAAAAAGCUUAGAAGUGGGCCCAUGGGUUCAUCUUCCUCUGUGUCAUGGUCUCAUGUUUCUUCUCUCUCCUCCCCCACACCCAUGAUAUACUUUGGCCCCUCCCCAACUUCUCCUGUCCUUGGGAAGAAAAUGCAAGAGACUCAUAAAUAUAACAGUCAUUCAUUUUGCUCAGCUUGGAAAGUAUGGUUCAUGUGGAAUAUUAAGUUAUAUAUGCAAUAGUAAGACAAUUCUGUCUUCACAAAUAUAUCUUGAUAAUCUAUAUUCAAGUAUGUAUACAUCCACGUUUUGGAAAGUACUUAAGCAUUUCAAGAGGCAGUAAUCUAUUUGAGCAAUAAAGAUAUAUUUAAAAAGUAAGGGUCUAAAAAUGCUUCACUGAACAAAGGAAGGUCAUUUUAAAUGAUGGGUCUUUCUCUUGUCUGACAAGUUGGAAGACUGGUCCCUGUGAAGACAGAGUUUGAGAAAUAAGGAAUGUGGCCUUUCCUCCAAAGACCUCAGAUCUAUAUUAUUAUGGAUCCCAAUUUAUAUAUGUGGAAACUGACAACGUUAAGCAAUUUGCCUAAAGGGACUCAUUGACAAGGGCUGGGAAAAAAAUCUCUGGCUUGUGCUGUAACUAGACUGUGUUGACAGAAGUCAGGCUCAGCAGACUGUUUUGUGAGUGUAAUGUUAGCAUAAUGUUAGCAAACAAUAAAGCAACAUCUGCUACAGACACUCCAGGAAAUCAGGUUUUUAAAAGCACAAAAUGACCUGGGAGAGAGAAGGUAAAUCUGAGAAAGACGAGCCCUAUGGCUGCUAACAUUUUUAUUAGGAACUUGAAGAAACAAAAUGUCCACUCUUCUGAGAGUUACUCAGGGAACAUCCGAGCCACAACAAUUAUUCUGGCACAAAAUAUCUCUAUUCCUUUACUCUCAAUACUCUAGUUUUCUUGUUGUCUGACAGGGACAUAGCUUUACUGAAAUGAGGGGAGGAGAGGGAAGAGUUGUACUCACUUGGAGGGGAUGUCUGUGGAAACAGACUCUGAAAUAAAGAAUAAGCAUGGCCUCAAGGGAGUGGCUUGGAGCAGGUCCCCCUUGAUGUUUCUAUGAAAAAACAAAAGCAGGUCGUUUAGAUCAUUGCUGGACUAUUGAAUUGCUAUCAUUGAAUUUUCACAGUUUGGAUAAAAUACAUAACCAGAUCCUAACACUCGUUGUGAAAACACAUAUGGAAAAUCCUUUUUCAUUUAGAGCAUACGAAUGACCCAGAAGCACUGUUUUGGCCACAAGAAUGUGUCCCUCUGAACAUGACACCAGAGCACCAGAGUGUGGUGUAGCUUCCAUGUAUCACACACAAGGGCUGGGAUUUUUAUUUUGCUUCUCAUUCUUCACAAGGCUCUAUUUUGAAGCACUUAGGAGAGAGGUGAUAUGGGGACAGUAUUGUAUUCAUAAAGAUUUCGAAGAUGUGGAGGUUCCCACGGUUUGACCUAUUUUGCUACUCAUGCAUUAUAUAAUGCAGAAUGUCUCAUGCAUACAGCAGGCUCAUUAACAUUUAAUAUGUUCUUAUGCAUGUGCAUUUACAUGUGUGUAUGUAUACACCCAUCGAUGUUUUGAGGGCAAAGACAUAUUUUUUUUUCCUAGAGGACAAGAUAAAUAAUUUGAAUUUCAUCAAAUAUUGAUGCAUUUUGUUAUAAAAUAAGAUUAUGGUCAGAUAAGUUUAAGAAACUACUUUUCAAAUUGAGAGUUCUUUAGGGAAAGAACAUUAGGCUUUAAAUCCUAGACGAAAACAGGAGUUAUCUGUAUAAAACACAAUGUGCUAAAUUCUAUUAUCAGCAACUUGCUAGUUAUAGGAAAGCUACCCUGGAAGCUUUGUCAGUUCUUCCAGGCCACUAAUACAUUAGUGUACUAAUAGCCUACGAACCGAUACAGCUAUUUAAAGUGCCUAAUUUAUAACUCAGAGUAGGUUAUGUAGCAGUUGAACCUAAUGCAAUAUAGUGCCUUCUCUUGAAUCUAAAAAGCCCUGGACUCGUGUUUCCCUGAGGAAUUAACGGCAUCAAUAGGGGAAUGAGCUUCACCUACUCAUUUCUCAGGCAUUUGUUGAUUCUUUUAUUUGACACAUUUAAAUUAAAUGCCUAUUCUGAGCUAGGCACUGGUUUAUGUGCUGUUAUGGAAUAUUGUAUUAGACAUGCCCUUCUUUUAGGGGCCUAUGUUUUAAUGAGGGAGACAGAAGAAUAAACCAUUACAUAGGCAAACCAAAGAUGAUGUCUUUCAAGACGUUAAAGGAAAGACAAUGGGGCAACUCUAUGUCUGGGGUGUGCUGAGUUCAGGGUGCAAGGGAGCCCUCUGAGGAAACAAUGGAGGAGCAUUGGCAAAUGAAUGGCAAAAAUGAAGAGCUUGGGGAAGGACUACAGAGCCAGGAGUAUUCUGGGCACUUUGAUGGGAGAGGCCUCCUGGAAACACAGUUGGGCCUAAGGAGUGGGUAGGCACCUGGUAGGGGUUGAAGGCAGUGUCCUCCCCAUCUGGUUUUAUGAGGACACUGGACUUUUGAGGAGAAGCCACUGUAUGGCUUGAAGUAGGCCACUGGCCUGAACUAUGUUUUGAAACAUCACUCUGAUUAUUAUCCGGACAAAGCAUUGUCAAGGGGCAGAACCAGAUACAAGGAUUCUAGAGAGAGCUCAGGUGUGCACUAGUGUGAUGGCAAGGGACAUGGAGAGAAAAAACAAACUUUCAAGCACUUGUCUGUGCAGGUACCAUUUGCUGACGUGAAAGGCUGUAGGAGGGGUGCGUCAGCUUCAAGAAGCCUGAGUUCUUUGGGUUAAGUUACAUUUGAGAUGUUGGUGAAACCCUCAGGUUGAGCUCAGUGCUGUGGGGGAGACUAGAGGGCUGUUUAUUGAUCAGUUGGUUUAUUGAUUGGUUGAUCAAUAAACAGUGUGCUGGGGAAAAGUGAGAAUGUCCUUAGCAAAAAUUUGAAAGCCUGAGUCUGGAUUCCUAAAUCAACUUUGUCCUCUCCCUUCUCUUUAAAAUCUUCUCUGAUUUGUCCCUUCUCCCUCCAAAGAGGAGUGCCUGAGGUCAAAGAAUUAGGGUCAAUCUGGACAUGCUUGUAGGCUCUAGUGUAAAAAUACGAUUUCAGCACAACAUCCCCACCCACCCCUUCCAGGGCACCUCUCUGCCAGUCUGGUUUUCUUGAAUCCAUUUUGAAAUACAUUCCAGAGCCAGCUGUCCAAGGAGAGUCCUGGUUGUACUUGUAUUGCUCAUUCCACUCAUCCUUCCAGGAGAACAGGCUAUGUGUUUAUAACAAACCAGUAGAACUUUGGGUGGGAAAUGUUUUUUUUCCCUGUUAUCAGAAUGUAGCCAGACUUAAAGAAGACUGGUUAUCUAUUAGUCAUUUGGUAUUCUAAGCAUGCGGGUGUGCACUCCCCACCUGCCUCUGGCUUGCCUGAAUUGUGAACAAGUUUGUCCCCAGUAGAUUGCCUAAAUGCCAGAGACUUUAUGUUUUUUUGGCAGUUCAACCAGAAAUCCAGUUCUUAGGGCAGAAUAUUAAUAACGUUGAAGAUUCAUAAGGCAUAGAACUGACAUCUUCUAAGAACAUAAUAAUGAAAUAAAGUGAGUGCUUUAAAAAUGAAUAUUACAAAACAAACUCAGAAAGGAAGUUGAUUCUUUAAAGAGUCUUUUAGGGAAAUAAAGCAAAUCCAAAGUGUUUUUAACUCCUUUAAAACAUAUUUCAGGAAUAGUUUUGGUUGAACAUGCUAAAAUUCUUUUUAAAAUUAUAUUUCUCAUUUUCCUUCAAAAUCAAUUUAUUUUAGUGGGAGGGAAAAAAAAAACGAAAAAAACUCAAUGUUUAGAGAGUCACAGAUCUGGGUCAACUCCAGCCUCUGCUACAUUCUAGGUUUAUGACCUUGGAAAGUACUUUGAGUUUUCAUUUCUUCAUCUAAAAAAAAUGGGAAAAUUGUAAUAGCCUCCAGAAAUAUGCAUGUCCUGGACCCAUCAAUUCUACUUCUAGGAAAUCAUCUCAAGGAAAUGAUCAUAGACGUUCACCAAGACCUAUCAAUGAAGAAUGUGCCCUCAUAGCAUUAAAAUAUUGGCAUUGUUUGAGUACAUUGUGCUAAAUCUAUAUAAGGGAAUACCAAGUGGUGAGAAAAUAUUUUUGUAGAAGAAAGUUAAUAAUAUUAAAAUGGUUCAGAAUAUGAUACAAAGUGAAAAUUUAGAAAGUUAUGAAGACUGUGAUUAAUUUGGGUGGAAAACUACUGUUUAUAAACUUACAGAAGAAAGACUGGACAGAUAAACAGAAACAGUGACUAGAUCUAGGUGGUGAGAACUCAAGGAGGUUUAGCCUCUACUCUUUUACGUUUUCCUAAACAUCUUUCAAUGGUAUGUACUAGCUUUAUAUUAUUAGGAAAAUAUUAAAUAGGGGACAUUUGUAAUGACCUUAUGGAUUUGAGUUGAUAAUUAGAUGAUUUAUAAAAAAUAGUUGGCAUUUAAUUGGUAUUUUCAAUUAUGUUUACCCAAUUUAAUAUCUUAUCAUAGGCCUAGCCCUAAAUGAUUUUUUACUUAAAAAAAUAUUGCCCUUUAAUGGAAGAUUUGUCACCAUUAAGGAUAUUCAAAAGAACACACUGCCAGCUGUGAAGGAGAUUUCAAAGGAGUUGUACCUUUGAGCACUGGAAGGGACACUGAAAUAGCAUUUAAACUUAAGAUGACUACUUUAGAGCAUUUAUUUGGACAUAUACAUUUUAGUUUAUUUGUUUAAAAACCUGUCAUUACCAUAUAGCUGCAUUGGGUACAUAGAUAGAUGGAAUAAUAUCUUACUCAAAGCAAGCAAUUAGUCCAUCAUGAUAAAUGCCCCCUGUUCUUCAGGAGGAUAAAAAAGUUGUCUUGUCAGAGCCUCUUGUGUCAUCCCCAAAACACCAUGCACAAGCACUGUGCCUUUCUCCCUCCACCCAAGACACACACACACAGGGGUGGACACACACACACACACACACAGAGGCAUGGCCACCUAUUCAUACACACACAGACAUAUGCACAAAGAUACAUGCAGAGAUGUACCUACCCCCACACACCUAUACACAGGCACACAGAAACACACACACACACAGAGGCAUGGCCACCUAUUCAUACAUAGACAGACAUAUGCACAAAGACACACACAGAGAUGUACCUACCCCCACACACCUAUACACAGGCACACAGAAACACACACACACACACACAGACGCAUGGCCACCUAUUCAUACAUACACAGACACAUGCACAAAGACACACACAGAGAUGUACCUAACCCCCACACCUAUACACAGGCACACAGAAACACACACACACACACAGAAGCAUGGCCACCUAUUCAUACAUACACAGACACAUGCACAAAGACACACACAGAGAUGUACCUACCCCCCACACACCUAUACACAGGCACACAGACACACACACACACACACACACUUCUCCCACUGCUCAUUAUCCUCUCCUUUCUCCCUUCCCUCAGUUGAAUGAGGAGCCCCUCUUUUUCUCUGUAAUCUCUCUUCUAGCAUCUCCCAUGGACUCAGGCAAACAUUGGUUUCCUUAUCUCAUCCUUGCACUGUAGUUCCCUAAGAGAGACUCCACAUUUAGGAGCCUCUCAGAUAUCUGGUUUCUCUAUCUUAACGUUUUCACUGGCCAAUGGGAACAUAAUGCCUCUUUCAGAACUUUGUUGUGGACAUUCCAUUGUGUAAUGGAAGUCGAGUUCCUGGCACAUGCUAGGCACCCAAUAAUUGAAGCUAUUAUUAUGAUUAAUUAUAUUAUUUAUUCACUUUUGUAUCCUCAGGGCCUGGCUCAGUGCCUGAUGAAUGAUGAGUACAAAAUAAAUUUCUGAUGAAUUAAUGAAUUAAUUUGCAAGCUUACAGAAUAAGGCUCUGAAGUGAAAGAAGAAUGUUAUUCUGUAGUGUUUGGGCAACAAACCCACGCACUUCCUCUUCUCAGUACUUUCUCCAAACAACCUGUCUAGUGCCCAUCCUAGGGCACUAUCCUUCCUUGGAAAAAGGAACUGUGAAUAUAUAGAGAGUCUACUGACUGUCAAGUCCAUGUAGAAUGUGGCUUAAUAGGAAUAAGAGGAAAUUUCUGCCUUGACCAUCACCUCACUAGACUACCUGGUUUAUUGCCCUCACACCAGCCUUCCUUAGCCUUGUUAACCUCUUCACUCUCUGUAAAUCCAACAAACAAGCCACAGUCCAGAUGAAAUCAAUCUCAAUGUUAAUUCUGGACUCCAGUAGAUCUGUUAGUUCCAAUGUCUUCACCUCUUUUUGUGUUCACAAAACCUGUUACUGAUUUGCAUUCCACCUCCUAUCUUUCCCUGUACUUCCUUUUAGGAAGAUGUUUGUGAAUUAUUUUAAGCCAGUUGAAUCACACUGAGUUAAGUGCUAUUUUUAAGCUUUUGAGGAACAGUUGAGAAGGAAUGGUUUAGGGAUGUGCAGCAUUUCACAAUAAUAUCCCACAGAAACUUCAACUUACCAAGUUUGCGGUAAAUUUCAGCAUUUUAAGACAAUAGCGGUAUAUGGGUUACUGUUUUCAGAUACCAAAUUCUAAGCCACUCAGCAGCAUGAUGCCAUAUGAAAGCAAGUUGUGUGGUGCAGAAGAAGCUCAAAAGAAGGCCAUCUGCUGCCAGAGAGAGUGCCUUCCUUUCCAAUAUCUUCAGAAUGCACUGUUUCUCUUGCUGUCUCUGCCUGGACACAGAACUUUUCAUUCUUUCCUUUUUUCUGUUUCUUUUUUUGUUCUAAUUUGUUAUACAUGACAGUAGAGUGCAUUUUGACACAUCAUACAUAAUUGGAGUAUAAACUCUUGUUCUUCUAGUUAUACAUGAUGUAUAGUUACACUGGUCAGAUAAUCAUAUAUGCACAUAGGGUAAUAAUGUCUGAUUCAUUCUACUAUUCUGCCUUUUAUCAGAGCCGCUCUUUGUGUCCUGUUAGACUUCCUGUCUUCUAUAAGCAUCCUGUAUUUCAGAGAUUAUGUGGCAUAUCUAGUGUCCUAGGUAGAUCCAGCAGACCUUCCUGAGUAGAGUGCGAGGUGAGAGCUCCCCUGUUGAUCAUUGCACUUUUUCUUAUGGGCCUUUUUUGAACUCCCAGCCCAACCAACACACAUUUCCUCACAAAAGUCCCCACCAGUUCCAAAGUCUUUCCAGACUGGUAAGAACACAUACGUUUGAUCUUAUCUCAACUUUUCUAAACUUUUAUGGUAAUUGUUCUCCUCUCAGUUCUGCUUCCGUUGCUGCCCUGCUCCCUCCUUAUUGCUCACCUUUAUAUGGAAAUCCAUGCCUUCUGGAUCAACCCUACUGUUUUCUUUUGCUAUCUGCCUGUCUUUAUCACACUGGUUCAGAAAAUCAUGCUCAGUAGUGGACAGUACUCAGAGUGCAAACAGCAUGUUUGUUGUUGAUGAUGAAAUAUUCUUUCAUAGCCACAGACUGUGUCUUGCAGUAAUCCAGGUUCUAUAGGUCUUGGGAAAACAAUAGUGGGAUGCUAAAGUUGGUGAAAUCUUAGGUGAUGUCUUUGUUACUAACAAACUGAAAGCUUCGAUAUGGUGUUUAAGCAAUUUCUUCAUUGACAUUUAACCAACUACCUGCCAUGGGUUAGAAGUGAAAAUAAGCCCACAAUAUUCAUCAUGGAUUAUGGAGUUUGGAUAAAUAUAAAGAAUUUUCCAAAAUUCCAAGUUUACUCCAAACUUCAGGGAAAUCACCCCUUCAUGCAUAAGGUAAUAUACAUUGAUAUUUUUAGAGUAAGGGUAUGACAUCUCUCUCUCUCUCUCUCUCUCUCUCUCUCUGUGUGUGUAUGUAUGUUAUGAUGGAAAUACAUAUAUAAUGGGAAUUUGUAAAUAAUGGCAAAAUAUAUUUAUAUAUAAUGAAAAUUAUACUGAUAUAUAAUGGACAUAUAUAUAUAUAUAUAUUCUUCAGACACAUGGAGUAUUGGGAAAUCUAAAACUAAAUUUAAGAGAUGUUGCCAUAAUUACUAAUUCCACAGGGAAGAAGGAUUAUUGCAGUAGUAUUUUUGUCACUUUGUUGCAGUCAUUUCUGCUAAUGAUUCAUAGCAUACCAAUUUAGUGGUUUAUAUUUUAUUCAGACUUAUUCAUAUGGGUAUGUAGAGAGCUAGAAGGAACUGAGAUUUCUUUUUUAAAAUAAGGAACAGUAAGUCACCUUAACUUGUUUUAGGUUAGAUGGCUGAGGUAUUGCAAUCCCAGGUCAUUGGUGUUCCAGGCUUUAGCUCUUUCUAGUGAACUGUGCUGUCUGUAUGAGUUCUUAGCCUUGGAAAUAAUGCAGAGCUGCUAUGCAUCUAGGAAUCACUCUCAGGUUUUGCUUAUCUGAAUAGACAUUGUCACAGGCUUGGUUGAUACCUUCAUAUUUAUGGACGUGUUCUUGUAGGCAGAAUCAACAUGUGCUUGUGUAUAUGGAACACAGUGUAAAGCAGCAAAAUAUGAAAACUUCUGUUCUGCAUAGUUCUNCUUCACCUCUUUUUGUGUUCACAAAACCUGUUACUGAUUUGCAUUCCACCUCCUAUCUUUCCCUGUACUUCCUUUUAGGAAGAUGUUUGUGAAUUAUUUUAAGCCAGUUGAAUCACACUGAGUUAAGUGCUAUUUUUAAGCUUUUGGGGAACUGUUGUGCAGGGAUGGUUUAGGGAUGUGCAGCAUUUCACAAUAAUAUCCCACAGAACCUUUGUUUUCCUGAGUUUGUGGUAGAUUUUAGCAUUUUGAUUCCAUAGCGGUAUAUGGGUUCCUGUUUUCAGAUACCAAAUUCUAAGCCAUUCAGCUGCGUGAUGGGAUAUGGGAGCGGGUUGUGUGGUGUGGGAGAAGUUUGUGUGAAGGCCAUCUGCUGCCAGAGAGAGUGCCUUCCUUUCCAAUAUCUUCAGAAUGCACUGUUUGUGUUUGUGUGUGUGCCUGUGUAUAGGUGUUUUGGUUGUUUGUUUUUUUCUGUUUGUUUUUUUGUUCUUGUUUGUGUGUAUGUAUGACAGUAGAGUGCAUUUUGACACAUCAUACAUAAUUGGAGUAUAGGUUGUUGUUCUUCUGUUUGUGUGUGUGUGUUUCUGUGUGCCUGUGUAUAGUUGUGGUGGUUAGGUACUUCUCUGUGUGUGUAGGGUAAUAAUGUCUGAUUCAUUCUACUAUUCUGCCUUUUAUCAGAGCCGCUCUUUGUGUCCUGUUAGACUUCCUGUCUUCUAUAAGCAUCCUGUAUUUCAGAGAUUAUGUGGCAUAUCUAGUGUCCUAGGUAGAUCCAGCAUGUGUUUGUGUGUGUAUUGCUAGGUGGGCGUUCGUCUGUUUGUGUUUGUGUUUUUUUUUGUGUGCCUUUUUUGAACUCCCAGCCCAACCAACACACAUUUCCUCACAAAAGUCCCCACCAGUUCCAAAGUCUUUCCAGACUGGUAAGAACACAUACGUUUGAUCUUAUCUCAACUUUUCUAAACUUUUAUGGUAAUUGUUCUCCUCUCAGUUCUGCUUCCGUUGCUGCCCUGCUCCCUCCUUAUUGCUCACCUUUGUGUGUAGGUGUGUGGGUUUUGGUUCAUCUCUGUUUUUUUCUUUUUGUAUCUGUCUGUCUUUGUCUGACUGGUUCAGAAAAUCAUGCUCAGUAGUGGCCAUUCCUCUGUGUGUGUGCAGCAUGUUUGUUGUUGAUGAUGAAAUAUUCUUUCAUAGCCACAGACUGUGUCUUUCUGUGUUCCUGUUUCUAUGUGUGUUGGGGUAGGUAUAGUGGGAUGCUAAAGUUGGUGAAAUCUUAGGUGAUGUCUUUGUUACUAACAAACUGAAAGCUUCGAUAUGGUGUUUAAGCAAUUUCUUCAUUGACAUUUAACCAACUACCUGCCAUGGGUUAGAAGUGAAAAUAAGCCCACAAUAUUCAUCAUGGAUUAUGGAGUUUGGAUAAAUAUAAAGAAUUUUCCAAAAUUCCAAGUUUACUCCAAACUUCAGGGAAAUCAUCUCUUCAUGUAUCUUUUUGUAUAUGUUUGUGUUUUUAUGGUUAGGUUGUGAUGUCUCUGUGUGUGUGUGUGUGUGUGUCUCUCUCUGUGUGUGUGUGUCUUUUGUGGUGGGAGUACAUAUAUAAUGGGAAUUUGUAAAUAAUGGCACAGUGUUUUUAUAUAUAAUGAAAAUUAUACUGAUAUAUAAUGGACAUAUAUAUAUAUAUAUAUUCUUCAGGUGCAUGGUGUUUUGGGGAUUCUACAAGUGGCUUUGAGAGAUGUUGCCAUCUUUUUUAUUUUCCUGGGGAAGAGGGGUUAUUUCAGUAGUAUUUUUGUCACUUUGUUGCAGUCAUUUCUGCUAAUGAUUCAUGGUGUACUAAUUUCUUGGUUUGUGUUUUAUUUUGUUUUAUUUAUCUGUGUAUGUAGUGCAGCUAUAUGGUACUGAGAUUUUUUUUUUCAAAUAAGGAACAGUAAGUCACCUUAACUUGUUUUUGUUUAGAUGGCUGCUGUAUUGUAGUCCCAGGUCAUUGGUGUUUUAGGUUUUAGUUCUAUUUUAGUGUCCUUUGCUGUGUUUAUGGGUUCUUCUCCUUUGAAAUAAUGCAGAGCUGCUAUGCAUCUAGGAAUCACUCUCAGGUUUUGCUUAUCUGAAUAGACAUUGUCACAGGCUUGGUUGAUUCCUUCAUAUUUGUGGGUGUGUUCUUUUGGGUAUCCUUAAUGUGUGCUUGUGUAUAUGGAACACAGUGUAAAGCAGCAAAGUGUGAAAUCUUCUGUUCUGCAUAGUUCUAACGCAUCACUAACCUGGCCCCUAGGCUGCAGAGAGUAAGGGCAAUUUUUUUUUAAGUCAACAGUUAUUUGGUGUUAGGCCUAUGAUAAGGUUUUAAGUUGGGUAAACAUGUUUGGGCAUGCCAGUUGUUUGUGAGCUCUGGGAUUCUGGCAGCUGUGCUCUGAGCUUAUAGUCAGAGACAGGUUGCUCACUGUUUUUUUUCAUCUUCUUGUUCUCAUUUGCACUCAUCCUAAGGUCGUUCCAGAUGUUCCUGUCUCUAGUUCAGAUAAUACCUUUCUUCCUGACAGGGAGAAAAAAAAAUUGUGAAGAAUCCUUUCUUGAAUCUUGUAUGUUAUUUACUAUUUUCCUUGUAGUAUCCAGGUAGUGGAUGCCGUUGACCGGUGUUUUGGUUAACGUCAAUGAGUAGAGGGUGAACCUCCUUGAGUUUUUGUUACCUCUGUUUAGUCACUGUUUUUGUUUGAGUAAAUUUGUUUAGUCUUUGUUCUUGUUCCUCAGGCACACUGUGGUUCAUGGACUCCUCUUUUGAACCACCCCGUAAUUUUAUGGAGGGUAGUUUUGCCCCCCUAUUCAUCACAGUUUUCAUAAGAUUUUUUCCUUUUUAUUUUUUCAUUUUUUAGGGCAGUUCAUUACUCUGAAGCACAGGUCUUCCUUUUCUGAUCGAUUUUAAUGUUUUUGUCUUUCUUUUACAAUUAUGAGAAUCUUAAUUUGUAAUAAAAUCACAUGAAUGAGUUGUGGUAAGUUUUUGUCAGGAUUUUGUAUUUCCUUGUUUCGUUUUAGCAUGAUUUACUCAAACUUUGCUUAUUUUUUACUGUUAUGUGGGGGCAUUCUUUAUUGUUAGGUUUUGGUGAUUUCCUUCCCAAAGCUCUCUGCCUUCCGUAGGCUUCGGCUUGGAGGCCUAGGCACCCUGAGCACAGCAAAUUGCAUUAAUAAAUCAUCUUUUUUUCCUAAAACAUAAAAAAGAGGUGUUUCUUCUCAUUUUCUUGCGAUGAUUUUCUUAGGUUUCUAGAGUAUUAAUAUACUGAUUAAGACACGCAGAAGUAGAUUUGGAAAAGAGAAAACAAGGAAGGGUUGAGGAAUGUCAUUUCCCCUGAGGGAAAUGUUUCAAGAACCAGGUGAGGGUUGAGAACUGCUGUUGUUCAGUGAGGAGGGCACUGUGGUUGGGAGCAUUGCUAGGACAGGUGCUCAUCAUAUGCACUAAGAUCACCCAGUAGUAAGCAGGACUGCCCCAGGGUGACACUCUGUAUUGUGGCGGUGGCCAGCCCAGGGAUGAAUUGACAGUGUAAGUUCCAUGAAUGUGGGCGAGAGAUUUGCUUUGCUGUGAGAUUAGUGGUUGCAUAAUAUUGGUUCUGGGUCAUGUAUAUUUCUGGAGGCUGUUAUUAUUUUCCCAUUUUUUUUAUUUUUAAGCAUAGGUGGAAUUGAUAAUAUUCAAGAGCUGAAGAAAUUUAAACUGAUUUUCCUUUCGAAGGUCUUGAAUCUAGAAUGUAUCAGUGGUUGGUUUUGCUUUUCUAAGCAAAGGAAAUUAAAAGUUGAUCUUUUUCUCUUUUAACAUUGAUUUUUUUUUUCUUGUUGCAAAUUAGUGUUUGGUAAUGGGAAAGGAGGUGUAUGGCUGUACUUUUGUUGAGGAAAAAAACUGUACUGCUGAUUAGAGAAAACAAAGCUGAUUGGGAAAGGGGGGUGGGAAAGUUUACAUUAAAUAUGUUUUUUUUUUCUUUUCGGGUGCGAUGGAUUGGUUUUGAAGUACAGUAGUCCCCUUUAUCCAUGGUUUCAUAUUCUGCAGUUUCAAUUACUUGCAGUUGACUGCCAUCUGAGAACAUUAGAUGUAUAGUUUUAGAAAUAAUUUUUGUUUUAAAUUUCGGUUGUUCUGAGUAAUACUGUGAAAUCUUGCAUCAUCUUCUUCUGUCAAGUCAAGGAUGUGGAUUAUUCUUACAUCAGGUGUACCCAGGCUGUAUAUACCUCCUGCCCAUGGGUCAUUUAGUGGCCAUCUCAGGUGUCAAAUGGACAGUUGAGGUGUUUCAGUGUUUGUCUGCAAGUAUUCCUUAGAUAUGACCACAAUGCCUGUCAUCUGCCUCCUUCAUCUCCUCACACAGGUGAUGUCCUCUCUCACAGCAUGUCAAGAAGGGUGAAUGCAGCCAAAUAUGAUAUUUUGAGGAAAAGAGAUCACAUUCACAAAACUUUUAUUAUGGUAUAUUAUUGUAAUUGUUUGAUUUUAUUAUUACUCUUUCCUAUGCUUGAUUUAUAAAUUAUAAAUUAAAUCUAAUCUAAGGCAUGUAUGUAUGGGGAAAACAUUUAUAGUGUUUGGUGCUAUUUUUUGGUUUCAGACAUCCAUUGUGGGUUAUUCUUCCAGAUAUUUGUAUCUAAAAGAAUUUCACAUAUUAAUAUAUUUCAUUUUUUUUCUAUUUAGAAACAGUGUAAUAUUUGUUGAAUCUGAUUCCUCCUUUCAAGUAGGAAUCUGGGUCUCCUAAUGUUCAUAUGGAUUGUCUUUUACAUUGAAUAAUGACCAAGGAAUAGAGUAAAGUUCUAAGUUACUAUUACCCCAGUGACAAAGAUAAAUAUACAAAGUGGGAUGGGUUUUGAAUAUUAUUUUUAAAAAUUAUGUUUUACUUUUAUUAACUAGGUAAACAUACAAAUGGUACACUAUUAAAAAAAAAAUACCCAUGAGAAUUUGAUUUUAUUUCAAUCCCCUUUCUACAACCAUCUAGCUUUUCUCCUCAAAGAAAUCAUCCUUAUAAUGUUAUUUUAUUGUUCCAGUGAUAGUAUUCCAGAAACUUCUUUUAAAAAUAAUCUCUUAAUCUUUCAGUAAUAUUAGGCCAUGAAGCUCAAAAUUUCCUGCCAAGGAAAGCUAUUUGGCCUCUUUUGAGCAAGAAGAAAGAGGAUAACCUCAGAUUUUCUUUAGAACAACCCCCAAAAGCAGGUAGAACCAACUCCCGGUGGGGAAAAUUACAAUUCCAGAUGACUGUGUGAUUUGCCUGCUCAGACAGGUAGUUCCUGGUGGAGCCAGGGUUCCCCACAGCCCCUGGAGCCAGAUUCCUUGCUCCACUCUGCCUACCAUGAGGAGGUGCAACCAUAGGGAUUCUCUGGCACUAGCUAGAAGGUUCCAGAGUGGGUGCAAACUGAUUUUCUUUUUUUGAAAUCAUGCUUCCAAAUAGCUUAUAAAGAGCCCCAAUCCUUGAGUUCCAACAAAAUUUUUGGUGUUUCAAUACAGAAACACACAGGCCCAUAACCCUUUGUGACUUUCCUCAUGUCUUCCUGCCCAGCUCUGAUGGCAGAUUUAAUGGUUGCCACAAUUUCAUAAAUAUAGACUUUUAAGAAGAAGGUUGGGACUUGUUUCUUCUACUCAGCCACAGUGGUAAAAUGUCUUAAGAAAGGAAAGGAUUCAAGGUAGACUUGCUGAAAGAGUUUGAAAAUUGUUCAACAUCAUUAGUGGCUUAGAUCUGCAAAAAUUUUCUUUUUGUCAUCUUUGUCCUCUAUCCCCAGAUGCAUCCCAUGUGGAUGGAUAAUUGCUCUAGUGGCUACAAGCAUGAGGCAUCAGAAGUUGUCACAUGAUCUGUCAAUUACCAGCUACAUUUUUACUUGUUCAAGUUUUCUUUUUUGUACACAUCUUGAUUUGGUUAUAUAUAGUCCAGUUCUUUUAGUUUGACCUUAAUUCGACUUAUAGCAUCUAUUUUAUUUUAUUUCAUUUUAUUUGGUCUCAGGCAUUGAACUAAGGGGCACUUAACCACUGAGCUACAUUCUCAGCCCUCUUUUGUAUUUCAUUCAGAGACAGUAUCCCACCAAGCUGCUUAGUGCCUUGCUAAGUUGCUGAGACUGGUUUGAACUCAUGAUCCUCCUGUCUUAGCCUCCCAAGCCACUGGGAUUAAAGGUGACACCACCGAAUUCAGCUACAGCACCUAUUUUAGAAUCCCUUUUUGGAUGGGGAUGGUCCAAAUUUUCUGAGGUUUUAGAUAGGAGGGCGUAUAAUUUUCCAUUUGUAACACCCUGUCAUAUUGGGUUGUCAUUAAUAACUGGUCUAUAUCAUCCAUAUGCUACUACCUGUCCACUCUCCAAGGGUAAAGUUUUUUUAUUAUUUUUGGUUCAUGUUUUUAGUUUUGAAAAUUGCUGAGGAGAGAAAAAAUAUAUUUUUCUUUCUUUUUUUUUGCGGGGUGUUUAUUGAUUAUUGAAUCCAUAAGUGGUCUGCUCUUUAGCUAGCUCUCUAGUCUUUUUCAUUUUUAUUUUGGGUCAUAGUCUUGUUAAGUUGCUGAGUUUGGCCUGGGGCUUGCAAUCCCUUUUGUUUCACCAAGCAUGUGACACUAUGUCUAGUUAUAAGUAUUCUUUUAAAGGACAUUCUUUUUGAAUGUGGGUUUAUCCAUCAGAGUUCAGGCUUCUUGAAGCUGAUCUGUAGCACUAAACAUUCCUCGCACCUCUGUAGGCACCUACAAAUCAAAGCCUAUAGCUUUUCACGUCUGUAGGUUUUACUUUUUUCCCUUAUUAUAUUUAAAGCGCAGCCAUGUGUUUGACCCAGGUUUGUUUUUUUUAGGAUUAGCAUGAAUAGGCUUUUGAUUUGCUUUGCCAUUGUAUUAGUGUUCAUUUGAGCUCUCUCUUGAAUCUUUGUAUCUGUUUUUGUCCUUUGAUGAUUCUUUUUGCGGGUAAUGCUCCUCAUUGCAAUAUUAAAAGAGAAACUAUGUGUAGCAACUAAUAUGGCUGGAUGUGAUAAAGAAUUUUUCACAGAAAAUUGGGACAGUAGUACAUGGGUAGUCAAGGCUGGGCAACACUGGAGAUACAUCUGUGUGCUUCCAUUGAGGAGUCCUGGGGGAGAGGCAGAGUGUUGUUUCACCACUUGGUUCAGGCCAGUGGCUGUAAUGUGAAAUCUUUGACCUCCACAAAGCAUUAUUUAGAGACAGGACAAAGUAUUUCUAGGCAUGUAGUGGCAGGAGGUUCACAUCUGCUGUUGUGGACUGAAUGUUUGUCCCUCCCCUCCCCCAAUUCACAAGUGUCAAUUCUAACUUGCAAUGUGAUGGUAUUUGCAAGUGGGCCUUUGGGAGAUAAUUAGACCUAGAUUUAGUCACAAGAGUGGGCUUUUCCUGAUGAGUUUAGUGUUCUUAUGAGACGGGAUGGGGAGGCCAGUGCUUUCAUUCUCUCUUUUACAGGAGGGCACAGCAAGAAGACAGCCAUUCACAAGCCAGGAAAGGACCCUGCUAGGCAACUGAAUUGGCAGGCAUCUUGAUCUUGGGCUUUCUAACCUCCAGAACUGUGAGAAAUAGAUUCCUGAUUUUUAAGACACUGGGAUAAUGGUAUUUUGUUAUGGCGCCCAGGUGCUUGCCUACUCUAAUGCCGCUCAGCCACAGAGAUUUUAACGUACCAUUUAAGUCUUUUGCUCAAUUUUGUUGUUCCUUGUCUUAUGAUCUAGGGGGCCUCUCCGGUCAAAGUUCCUUUGGUGAUCAGUGGAGACAACAUUUCCAAGUUCAAGACUUAUGGUAGACUUCCCUAACCAGGAAUAUUUGUUUUCUAUAUUAUUUUCCCUGAUAAUUAUUCAUAGCAAUUAAUCACCAACACUCUCAAAAUUAUUUGAUUUCUUCUUUCUUGUCUGUGCUUCUCUACUGGAAUUUGAGCUCUGUGAAGGUUGGUGUUUAUUUUUCUUUCCUGUGUGAAUCUUCAGCUCCUGGCUCUGUAUUCCUUCCCCAUGAGUGCUAAGUGGAUGAUUAAGUAAGCAACAUUUGUGGGGUGUGAUAAAGGUUAGCAGGUAAGAAGACCUCAAAUUCAUUACUAGCUUGGUCCCUGAAAAGAUCCAAGGAAAGCUCACAUAGGAAUCUGCAAGCAGAUGUUCACAUAGCAGCUUUAUAACCGCCCAACUUGGAAGCAGCCAAGAUGUCCUUCAGUAGAUGAAUGGAGGCACUGUGGCAUAUCCAGACAACAGAAUAUCAUUCAGUGCUAAUAAGAAAUGAACCAUCCAGCCAUGAAAGGAUAUGAAGGACCUGAAUGCAAACUACUGUGUGAAAGAAAGGACUCUAAAAGGUGACAUACUAUAUUUUUCUCACUAUAGAACAUUCUGGAAAAAGUAAACUAUGGAGACUAAAAAAGAUGAAUGGUUCUCAAGGCUUAGAGGAAAGUGAGGAAUGAACAGGUAGAGCACAGAGGAUUUUUAAAGCAGUGAAAAUACUCUGUAUGAUACUAUAAUGGUGGAGGCAGGCUAUUAUUCAAUGUCUAAGACUACAGAAUAUAUACCACCCAGUGAACCCUAAUGUGAACUAUGGACUCUGGGCCAUAAUGAGGCACAAGGUAGUUUCCUCAGUUGUAAAACAUGUACUAGUCUGACAGAGGAUGUUGAUAAUAGAGGGGGUGCUUUGCAUGUGUGAUGGCAGGGGAUAUAAGGAAAAUCUCUGUAUUUUCCUCUCAAUUUUGCUAUCAACUUAUGGCUGCUCUAUCUAAAACCGUGUCUUUUUUUAAAAAGUUAAGGAAUUCUUUGGAUGAUGUUUUUCUUAGGGUGUCUUUUCCAUCCCUCUAUUCUUUGCCUAGAUGAAAUCAAACUACUUUACUUGUUCUGCCUUAAACUGAGCUGUAUAAACUGAUCAUUGAUGAGAAGACUGAGUUAGCAAAAGGGACUCUAGAGAUUUGAAGGACCUUAUUGAAGGAAUUGGGGAACUGCUUAGCCAGAUCAAAUAAAUUAUAAUUUAUACCAAUAAUUCAGAAUCAGAACCCAGAAGAAAUCUAUCACAGACUCAAGAGAUGAUAAUCUCAGGCUUUCCCCUGUUUAGGCAGACUAUAAAAACUAGAAUCAUCAAAAGCUUAUAUGUAGAAAAGAUUUCUUUAAUAGGCAAUUAUGACCUCUAAAUAAUUACUUUGCCUUCUGAUACAAAUUUGCAAGCCAAUAUAAAGAAAACUGGGUACAGUAUAUGUAGAUUUGCAUAAUGUAUUUGAUAAUUUAAUUUUCCGUGGAACAUCCUAGUAAUUUUCUCACUAGGAAAGGAGAAUGAUUAGUCAAAAUUGGGGAACCCAACUUAAAAACAGGAAAUGAAGGGAAUGGUAAAUAGACAAUUUCACUAUGGAGAAAUAAAAAGUUAAUAGUGUUCAAGUUCUUGUUUUAACCAGGUUCUUUAUAAGUGACUUUUGUUCUAGGAUAAAAUAUAGAGCAAACUCUUAAAUUUGUGAGUGACAAAAAUUUUUUUCCGGGGGAGUGGGGAGUGGGGAGUGGGCAGUUUGGAAAGCAAGCUAAAAUGAUAAAUGCAGGAAAUUAACAAAUCUGUAUAAAUGGGAAUAAAAAUAGCAACUAGAACAUUUGAGAGGUUUCUGGUAGCAGCAAAAACUAAUGUUUAUUAAGAGCUUACUUUGUAUCAGCUGCCAUUCUAAGCACUUGGCAACCAUUAUUUUACUUAGCCUUAUAAGCACUGUAUGAAAUCGCUGCAUUAUUAUUUUCAUUUCAUUAAUGAUGGUGAGAGGUUAACUUGCCCAAAUAGUAAAUGGUGGAGCUGAUUUCCCUAGGGAGUCUGACUCAGAACUUAUGUGCCUUACUACUCCCUAUGGGGCCUCAUCAAAUCCAUGGAGGAUGAAAGGAAUAGAAAUCAAGAAAGAAAGAAACUUAAAGAUCUAGAACAUUGCUCAGUGAGGGAACAUGGCUCAAUGAGGGAACUCUUUCAGGAGAAAAGAAACCAAACAAAAACAGAGCACUAGGAAGGGUAUAGAAAAGCCCAAACCAGCACUGUCCUAUUGGCUUAUAAUUAGAACACAUUUGCACCAGCAUUAUGAUUCAUGAAAUAAUCUAACAAAGGAAAUUUAGGAUACAAAAAGGAGUUAGAGCUGAACUCAUUUAGUAACAAAUUGAUGGCCUUAGUUCCUCAGGAGUAAAAGUGGCAGGAUAUAUAAUACCUUUCCCAGUGUGUAACAAAUUAUUAAGAAUGAUUAUUAACAACUCCUAAAGAGAGAAGUGGAUCCAACCCACAAGAGGGAUGUUAGCCAGGGAGGGUAGUCAUGAGCCUCACCCAGCCAAGUUUUUUUUUUUUUUUAAAGGGAGAGCAUACUGAAGUAGUCCAAGGUGUCUUUGAAGUCAGACUCAGGUUCAAAUUCCAGCUGCACAGUUCACUGAAUAGUUACUUAAUCCCCCUGAGCUGUAGUUUUGUCACCUGCCAACUUCACAUAAUACUUCACUGGGCAAAUUGGGUCUGGCACAUAAUUGGUACUCCAAAUAUGUUGGCUGCUAUUAUAAUUAAGAUGACCCCACAUAUGUCUGCUAGAUGUGCUCAAAAGAGCACCUCCCUUCCUCUAGGUUGAAGGAUGUCAGUGUUUCAAUUUUAUCUUACCCUGAACUGCAAUUUUCCAGCUCAACUCUGAACUUGUGUUUAAAUCUCUAUAUACAGAAAAGAAAGUUCUGCACCCUCCCUUGAUAUUCAGAAAACACACAUUUUUGCAGUAGUUUACAUCUUAUUUCUUGAUAACCUUUUCUUCAUAUCUUACAAUUAUAUAGUGAUCUCCAGUAUAUCUCUUCUGAUUUUUUUUUUUUUUUGGUGGCUUGGUUUGUUUCUAAUGAUCCUUUUGUGCCUGUGAUGGGAAGGGAGAUGGACAUCUUGUGUUUCUGAGAGUGAGUUUCUUUGGGACCUUUCUUAUCUCUGGGAUGAAGAACUUCUGGAGACUCCUUUGUACUAUCAGCAUUGACAACUCCACAACGACAAGUCUCAAACCUUUUGCAAUGGAAAUGAGGAGCUGAAUAAAAAGACACACCUGAAUGCAUUUGCUUUGAGUCACAUGUUGCCUAGAACUUCAGAGUUUCUGCCCAUCUUGUUUAAAUCCAACUUGUCAGGUGGUCUGGCCACAAGGAUGAGUGUAACAUGGAGGAACAUUUUGCAUACCUUGUGGUCAGCAGUCCUAGCUGGAGAGUUGCAGCCUGGUGAAUUCAGCUGUAACAGGGCCCAGAAAACUACAACUUAAGAAACAAUUUCCUAAAUUUUAACUUUUUUUUUUUUAUUUUUGAGCAAUGACAGUUGUAUUUAUUUAUUUUUUUAAUUGGCCUUUUAAAAUUGGUGACAGUUUUUUAGAGACCACAGUGAAAAAAGGUGGAAGAUAGAUCUAAGGGAGAAACAGGAAGAAAAAAAUUGCCCAGAACUUUGAAAUUUACAUAUUUCCAUUUCCAUUACAUUUAUAUAGUUUCAAAGAAAUAAAUAGAGCAAUAAUUUUUAAAAAAGGAAGUACUAGCCAAAAAAAAAUUUACAACGGAAAGCAAAGAGUUGAUUAAAAUCUGAGAUUAUGAGAAUCCCUUGGUUAUGUUUGUAAACUGAAGUCCACCUUAAAGACAUAUGUUUUGCUCGAAUUCGGGACCCCCAAAAGACCACCAGAGACCAAGAUCGAUGUAAACAGCAAAGAGGUGUUUAUUGCGAGCUAGCUCGGUCCUCCGCGCGCACACACAGCAACUGGUGACGCUGAGAGGCCCCGAGCCCAGGGUUUGCAGCAGUUUUAUACAUUCUUUGGAGAAGGCAGGGACUUCACAUACAUCAUAGCAUCUCUUAGCAAAUCAUCACACACCGCGGGAAAAUCAAAUAACAACUCUAAAACAUGAUUAGCACAUUCACUGGCAGGAACAAGUUGGGUAGGGGUGAUUGGUUACUACAAGAGGGGUAUUCAUUUGAACUGAUUGGUUUAAGCCAAGAGGGGUGUUUGUGCUGAACUAUGUGGUUUCCCAACACCAUAAACUACUGGGAGGGUCAUCUGGCAUCCCAGGUAUUUCCCUGGCUAAUGCUGAUUGGUGGCUGCUAGGGGGCUGCUAUGGAUCCCCACCUAGCCUGACUGAGUCAGGGACACCUGGUGCAGCAGAUCUCUCCUGUUAUUUGUAGAUAAACAACUUAGCAGGGUGGGAAUGUGCCUAGGAGUGCUCUGUGGGUUUUUCUAAGGACAAAGGUGAUGUCCCUUCCUUGGACAGGCUUUGCUCUGAGGUAGAGGCUGGUUUUUCACAAAGCCUUGAAGAAAUGUAUAAAAUUGAAAACACAUUUACAAUGGGCUCACCCCAUCCUCUUUUCUUUUUGACAUCAGCUUCACAUUUUUUGGCUACAGUCAAAGAAAGGAAUGAAAAGGUCAACGAAGAACAACAUGGUCUCAUUUAAUCUGUAAAACUUGGUGAGGUACAUGGGAUAGCACUGAAGGGAGCCUGGGCCUCCAGGAUGGAGACUCCUUUGAACUGUUGCUCCGGCCUGCCUCAGCAAUGGUUGCCAAGAUGGAUUCUCCUCAGAGAGGCAGUCAACAUCCAUGUUUGCUUUAAAUUAAAAAAGAAAACAAUUGUUUUAAUCAACCAGGUAAAUAAGUCAGAGUUUUAGCAGCAGAUGAAAAUGUGUUUCUUGCAGAGAGAGGCAUGACAGAGGCUGAGAUGUUUGUAUUCAAGUCUUGAGCCUUCAGAGGGUUGCCUUACAUGCUGUCCGCUCUGCAUUAUAUAGUACUGCAUAUGUUUAAUUUUUCCUUAUUCUUCACAAUUAUCAAAGAAAUUGCCAAGCUGGCCCCUGGUGUUGUUUUCCUUGCAUCUAUUUUGCAUUGUUUUUUUUUUUUUUUGAUACUGGAAAUUGAACCCAGGAGUGCUUAACCACUGAGCCACAUCCCCAGACCUUUUUAUUUUUUAUUUUGAGACAGGCUUUCACUAAGUUGUUUAGGGCCUCACUGAGUUGCUGAGGCUCGUUUGAACUUUUUAUCCUCCUGCCUCAGCCUCCAGAGCCAUUGGAAUUACAGGUGUGUGCCACCAUGCCUGCCUAUCUUUGUCAUUUUAAAGUUGGUUUGGAAGCAUAUUAGACAGAAGAAAGAGGUAAAACCAAUAAGAAGGAAGAGGUGUGAAUCUAGACUUUUGUAAAUAACGUAGGUCCUACAUUAUGGGCAAAAACCUUUAUAAAUUGAGGUAAACUUGCCUGAGCAUUUGCAUUAAAACUUUUACAUUCAUUAAAAAAUUAACCUUGCUUUUGGAGAAGAUAAUAUUGCUAAUGUGUAUAGUGAAAGAAGGCUCCAGAAUGACCCCUGGCUGCUACCAUUAGAGUACACCAAGUUUGGGAUGGCAUGCUGGCCCCUGCAACUUAAAUUCAAAUUCCGGUUUCCUUGCUCAACUUGAACAACACACAAAAAUAGCCUUAANGGAAAGAAAGAAGUGUGGGAGAAAGGAAGAGGGUAGAAGGAAAACAACUCUUUCUGAGCAAAAAAUUCAGUCUUUCUUCCAGGUGGAGCUUAAAAGUGUGGACUCUUUGAAAUGAAUUUAGGUUAGGUUAUGAUUAGCUUAUAGCAGAUUUUGUGAUUAUAUUCAUUGAAGAACUCCUUUUAAACCUAAGUGACAUGUACGUGGGGUUAAUGUCACGAGCAGCUUCUCAGCCUUGUCUGGUUACCAGGAGUUCCCUUCCGGAUAUCUGCACUGGACCCCGGACCGCGACGUACGCGAACACCAAGCACGAACUCGAUUGCCUUUUGAAAUGCUGGUUUAUUCGCACACCACACAAAGCAAUACACGAGGUGACUGGCUCACACUGCACGAUCUUACUCUCAGGCGAUGAGAGUUGAUUGUGAGCAAAUACAUGGAGUUUCCCUCGCGCUUAUAUACUCUAUAUGUUUACAACAAACUUGUUUAUGUCUAACUUAUCUAACAUAAGCACACUACCUAGUUACAUCAUCAACUUAUCUAACAUGGGCAUACUAUCUAGUCAUCCUAUAACCAAAACAUGUUUACAACUAAAAAGUCACUUAGUCACUGCAAAGUCCAAAACAAGUCCUUUUGCUGAUUCAUGUUGUUUAUUCAUCCUUGAUGUUUACUCCUGUCAGUUAAACAGGAUGGAAGUCUACAUUUUCAUGCCCCACUCCUUUAUAUCCCUCAAACCAUUGCCAUAUUAUUUAUUUCUCCUUUUGCAAAGGUCCUGGGAAACACAAUUGCCUUUAAGCUCCUGGGCAGCUGUGGGAGUGUGCAUUCCCUUGUCCUUAGGUGCACUGGGAUGGGCAGCUGGUGUGUCCAGGGAAAGCAGCAUUCCACUGAGUUAAGGUCCACACCCAGAACAUACCUUCAGAGUCACUUGAACUGGAGGGAGAAAGAGAUAAGGUAUACUGAAGGAAAAAGAGACCCCUCUGCUCUGCCCACAGGUGUCUCCUUAAUCAGGUAGAGAGUCCAAGGUCUCGCCAUUUUUUUCCCCCUUCUCAUGAAAGAAACACAAUACUUGACCUGCUCCUGUGUCCCUCAGGAUUCAGUGAAGGUUUGGGAGCCAUUUCUUUCUGCAGGGGUUCUUGGCACGCACUCCAAUCCAACUCUGAUUUCCUGACUUACCCCUAAGUGGACUGCUUUUUGCCUUCUUCUGCUGUAACACCAAAUGCUCAUUUUACCACUUUCUCAUCAGUAUCUCUUUAGAGUCUUCCUUGUAGACACUGGACUCCAGCAGUCUUGGAAUCUCUUUCUCUCAUCCUGUCUUGCACUUAGAGGCAAGAUUGUUAAUUGAAUGAGCAAAAACUGUGGGAACUCACAAAGCAUUCUGAAUUCCUGAUUGCCCUGGUAAGCUGCAUUUUGUUGCUCCAGAUAGGCCAAGCCUCACACUUCUUAAAAUAGGAGAACUUUGAAGGGCUUGGGGGUGGGAGUGGGGGAGGAAAACAGUGAUAGAAGUCCUCUUCUGACAAACAAAAUUAAGAGCCUGAAAGGAUCAACAAAUUAAAAUCAUGCUGGGACUCUCUGCUUUGUUGCAAAUUGGGUCUGGACUCAGAGCUGCCCGGGCCUCUAUCAGUAUUGGGAAAUCACAAAUCCAGUUCUGUCAGUUUCUUCAUGUAUUUUUUUUUCUUCAUGUUCUGUGAUAUGGUUGAAGUCACCAAAAUUCUAGUAUGUUCUAAUACUAGUCACUGUGAAAGUUAUUUUUUUUUUUGGUCUUGUUGUUAUUUUUAUUAUGUGCUGCUAGGGAUUGAAACCAGGGCCUUACUAUGCUUUGAAAACUAUUAACUGAGCCUCCUAUAAGAGGAAGAUUCAUCACCCUACAUCUUCUCUUUCUACAUAGCUGUCAAUUCUAUACAUGGACUACCCUACUAAUGUAUCUGUACAUUGUAAAAAAUACACAUAAAAUUAAAAGAGGAAGAUAUAAAAAUAUAAAUAGAAACUCUAAUAUUUUCUUCCCAAGCCAGACUCCAUAAUUGUCACACUUCAUAUGGAUGGUACACUCCAAUUUAGAGGCUGCUAUUACAGACACCAUUUCCUUCCCAUGACUUAAUGAUGUGGACAGAAUCAGAGUUGUCCUCCUUAAACUCUUGGAAUGGGUUUGGGGGAUGUACUGUGACUUUCUUGUUGACUUUUCCAUUAAGUGGGGGUAAUACUGUUAUCUUAGCAUCAUGGAAUUUUAGCUGGAGGAGGGAUCUUAGAGAGGACCUCUAGUCUAGUUCUUACCCAGUGAGGUGGGGAGGUGAGCUAUGAAAAAAACAAUAGAUUCCUUGAUGUGACAGAUAAUCCCUGUUGUUUGCAAAAUUGACCUUUCCCCUUUCCCUUUGAUUUGUUUACCCUCUUGUGAGUGCCCACAUGCUUGAGGGCAGGCUGGACCCCUUUUCAGCCCUAGGGAGUACAACCUGACUAGGUGAAUCAAUUAUGAAGAUUCCGUUCACCUACCUUGCUCAGUGAUUGGGUUCAUGUUUUGGCAUGUGACAUGGUCUGACCAACCUGUUUUGGAAAGUUUCUUUCUCUCUACAAAAAAACAUAACUGGUAAAUAUUCCCUUCCUAGCUCUGGACCUCAUCUUCUCCACAUGACAUGACACUUCAGUUGUGAUCCGAGGGCCAUGGAAGAAGGUUGUGCUCAAGGACAACCUGUCAAUGAGAUGUGGCAGAAUAGAAAGAUGGUUAUAAGUCAUGAAACUGCCAAUUUAAUCAUUCUGGACUUCCAAAACUCUGGGCUUCAUCCUAUGCAAAAUAGUAAAGGCUUUUAUUGUUUAAGCUGGUUGUAGUUGCAUUUUCUAUUAUUUUUACCUAAACUCAUCUUAACUAUACACUUAUCCAGAGAGAUUGAGGGUAGCAAAAAUGAAACAAGAAUCCAGAACUUUAAAAUAAUAGGUUACUGGUUCUUAUUCACAAAUAAUGACUUAAAAGAAUUUAUUCAUCUUGCUCAGUAAGGGCAGUUUCUUUCUUUUCCUUCUGGAGACUUAGCCCUUGCCCAGUUAGAAGGUUCUGAGAAAAUACUAUUAUUUGAUUUUAAGAAUGUUCUGCUUCCUCACUUCCACCGAGUGUUCAACUCUAGUGAUAUCUUGAUGGUUUUCUGGGAAUAUAUAUUUACUUUUUAAUAUUAAACCUCUCAUCCAGGGAUAUCUAGUUAUAAUAUAACUUUCAUCUAGUGGCAAAUAUAAUUUGCCUGUAGAGGCCUGGGCCAACAGUCUCUUGGUGAAUCAGUGGCAAAACACUGAGUGAGGAAUCAGCUUAGUUGUAUGUUCAAACCCAAGCUCCCUCCUCUGCCAGUCCAGGCUGCGUUUGCUGUUGAAGAUGAGCUGGGACACUCAGAAAUAACCCAGGAGUGUAUAAAGGUAAUAGUGGUUUCAAAUCACCCAUAGACACCCAUAGUAAAUGGAAAAGCUUUUGUCAACAUCUUUAAUGGUUUCAGUUGGUAAAUUAUUAACAGAAUAUAUGUGGAGUCCUCAGCAUUUCAAAUACAUUUACUUUCUGGAAGGAAACGUUGGAGAACAGUUUCUCCUGCCAACUCCCAAGCUGCAGGUGUCUCCUUCCUUGUCCCUCCUCCCUCUCUCCCCCAGAUAUGUUUGGAGCCUCCUUCCCUCAUGAAGAAGGCUUCUCCCCACACUGCUGAGGGCUCUUGGUGUAUUGAGCAUGCAUAUCCUUGUUCAGGAUAUCAAAUGAAUAAUUUCCUUUCAUUUGUUCCCUCUUCUCCCAGCAUGAGGGGGAGGAGAUCAUAAUUUGGAAACAAAACAAAAACAACAAACAAACAAACAACAACAACUGGAUUCUAGUACAAGCUCUAGAACUAGCUAACUUAUUACUUGGGUAAAUCAUUUAACUUCCCUUAGCCUGUCAAUCAGGAAUAGUCACACUAUUUAUAUGAUCUGCAUCUCAGAGAUGUCAGAAUCAAGUGACAUAAUCCUCAUGGAUGGGCUAUGAACCUUAUAGUUCUCACUAUUGGGAUUGUUUGUGUUGACAUUUUUCCUUCCCAGGAGGUUGACACACAACCACUCACAUGAUCCAGUUCUGACUGACUCAGGAGGCUGGAAGAACAAGUCCUCAAGUGAGUGGAAUGACCUGCAGGACACAUUUGCUGGAAAAUAGGGUGUGUUGUUGUGUUCACACUAGCAAGCACUGGAGACGUGGAUCCUGCUAUGAUAUUUCACAGCCACAUUUUCUGGGUGGCCUGGCAUCCAGAUAAUGUCUAUAUGUUGGGAAUAGGCAAUAUUCAAGGGAAGAGGGGAAAGGUUCAGAGAGCUAGAGGAAGAGUGGGUGGGAGAGACAGGUUACACUUUGGCAAGAUUUUAUAAAAGAUCAUCAACUAUUGCAUUGUUUUAAUGUAGGACGGGAGACACUCUCCUGAGUUAGAAUACAAUAAAAUAUAUGGGACAAUUUAUGUAUUUGCCCUAAAAUUUUCCUCAUCAGUUAAAUAGACUUGAGAGUUUCUGUGAGUUAUAUGAGAUAACUCAAAAUAACUAGCACAUGAUGAUAAUGUUAUAUGUUUGUACAAACAUGUGAGUGCAUGUGAGCAUGUGUGUGCUUUACCACACCCAAUUUCUGCUCUGUUCAGUGGCUAUGCUUUCCACUGAUCACCCACUGAUCACAUGAAAAGCACACCAUCCAUGCAAGGCAGUACACUGUCAAGGUGCUUAGAGUCCAGUCAAGAACCAGAAGACGAGGGUACUGAAGAUGGGAAGAAUGCAGAGACUCAAUCAAUAAAGAUGCCGGUAUAGAUCAUUAUUGACUUUGGAUGCUGAGAAAAGUAUGAAUUCCUUGAAACCUGAAAAAUUUACAAACGUUGUACUUCCUACGCAGUGUCAUGAAGAGUGACUUUAUUUUGAGUUGGGGAAGAAAUUCCAGGUGUAGGAGCCACAAGAGUAAAGGCAUGCUGAGGAAAGAGGAAAAAGCUGAUACUGGCUAGAAUGGCCGUCCAGGGAACAGGCUGGAUAGAAGGGUAGUGUCAAGCAUUCUUCUCAUGAGUGCUGCCAUCAGCUCCAACACUGAUAGGGGUUAUCAGUCCCUGCUGAGGAAUUCUUUCAAUGCCUGGGGACACUCCAUUAACUGCUGAUAAACAGCACAACUUGCUCUUUCUCUUUGUAAAGAAUUACCUGUUGAUUGACAUCUACUGGGAUGUUUUGUGUGCUAGGCAUCAAGGAAGAUUAUGAAGAAUGUAGAGCCUUUGCAAGAUAUGUGGCCAGGAAAAGAUCAUUCUAAUAACAAAGGAUAACAUGCCUAUGUAAAUAGAAGAAAUAUAGAAUAAAAGAGCAGCACACUUUAACGCAGAACAAAACCUAGCAUGAUACAAAUAGAAAAGUGUGACAUGCCCUUUAUUGAUGAAGAAGGGGUUGUUGUUAGGUUAGAGUGUGUGCAGAGCAAGGUUUGGAAAACCUGAAGUCAUGAUUUGACUGUGCUUCGCCUGAUGCACCAGAGGCCCUCUUAGUCCUGGGGAGCAGUCAGCACACCACAGUAUUUCCUGUUUGCCUAUUAGAUUGCCCAUCAAAGCAGUGAUGAUGUGUUCAGCAUGUUUUGCUUAAUCCUCUUCUUCAUAUUCUUUUUUUAUUCAUGGAUUAUGUGUCUACACUUAUUUCUCCACAAAUUGACCCUUAGUAUUAGUUGAACAAUCUUGAUAUAAUUGAAUAAUUUCUCCCUUAUUUGCUGACAAUUAUUUCUUGUUCAGCAAAACUUUUAGAAAGUUCUAGAACACAACCCCUGGGUGUUCCCUGCUUCUUGCUGAGUGUUGGGGUCAUCAAAACCUCAAGUUUAUUGCAGCUGCAAUUUAGUAUACAAUGGGGAAAUAUAAAUUUGGAUGCUAAAAAAGAUGGUGCUACUCUUGGAAAAUGGGUUUAAAUCAUAGCUAUCUGAGGUUUUUCUGUCUCAUAAACACAGCUGAUAGAACCAAAAGAAGCCAACUGCUUCUGGUUAGAUACCUGCCAAGUCUCUAGGAAGGUGAGGAGCCAAGGAUGAUGGGGGUGGCUAAGGUGAGAGCUCCUUUGGGGUCCUUGAGAGCAACAACUGUGUCCCUUAUUCUUCUGGCCUAGUACAGCGUUGAACACACUGUAAAUAUUCACCUGGAGCUUUGUGUGCAAAUAAUAAAUGAAUAAACUGUAAAAGAGUUUCAUGGAAAAGAAAUAGCUUCUAGCAGAACCAUAGUGUUCUGAGGCUUAGUUUCUAGGUUUAGUGGAACAUCAUUGUGGAACUGUAUUGUCCCUGAAUUGAUCAUAGGUUUUAGUAAUUUUAUGUUUUCUUUGGAAUAAAAACCACUAUUAGAAGCAUGAAAUCACUAAGUACCUGUGCAGGUUUCCUGAAGAAAUAUUAUUGGUGAUUGUAUUGAUGGUUUCUGUCCCUAGAAUUUUCUUUUCUUAGACCUCUUGUCACUAAUACUAUAGUUAAUUUUAAAAUACUUAAGAAUUUCAGUGUUUAAAUUUUACAUGUAAAUUAUAGCAUUUAACACUUAAGCAUUCAAAAUCCAUGCCUAUUCACUUUCUAAAUAAAAUACACAUAAUUUCUUACAGGGCUAAAUAGAAGAAAAUAUUACACAGAUGAAAAUCAACAUUGUAACUCUGUCAUAAUAAUAUCCUUGGUUCUAUCCUUAUUUUUAAGAAAAAGAAAAAAGAAAAGAAAGCUGUGUUUGUCUUAUAGUCUCAGUAAGAACGGGUUGUAGAUACAGAUGUCUUCUUGAUAACAGAGGGUUCAUACUUUAUGUCAUUCAACUGUUUUUUUCCUCUCUCUUUUCUAAUAACCAAAGUACAGAACAAAACAGAAGCCCCAAACAAAAAUGAACAGACACCAAAAUGGUGUUGCGCAUCUGUAAUCCCAGUGACUCAGGAGAACAAGACAGGAUGACCACAAGUUCAAGGAUCACCUAGCAACUUAGUGAGACCCUGCCUCAAAAUAAAAAGGACUGGGGAUGUAUCGCAAUGGUAGAGCAUCCUGGGUUCAAUCCUCUGCAUUGCAAAAACAAAUAAAUAACAAACAAACCAAAACAAGUACAACAAUAGCAUCAUCAAUAAACAAUGAACAAAAAAAUUUAGGUGGGAUGAUACAAAAAUUAGAUCAGCAAAUGAGAUUUUGGAACUCCAUAUGGAUUAUAUAAUUCUAGAAAAGAUGUUUUAUGUAUUGCUAUGAAAGGAAAGUGGGAGACAGAAGAAAAAAGAAGAGAGGAGGAAAAGUAAAAAGAAAGAAAAAACUCUGUGUCAUAACUAGUGUUUCCCAGCAGGGCACUGUUACCAUUUGGGAUAAGUGGUUAACCACAUUUUAUAAAUACAAUGAGGAAUUUUGAUAGGGACUUAAUUUGGGUUGAACCUUCCUUGAUUAAUUGUACAUUUUAUUUCUAUUUCCAAAAUUCCUAAUGUUUUAAACUUUUUAUUUUUUGAAAGAGGAUUUCUUCCUGUUACAGUUUAUAAAUGUCUCAAAGUGUGGGUGUAUAGCAAACCAUUCCAAAUUUACCCUCAAGGAAGCAUUCUUUACUUUUAGACUGUUCUGGUUCUCCAUUUGACUUUUGCAUAGGAAUCCUUAGCGCAUCUGCUCUUCUGCCUCUAAACUCACUCUCCUGGGUGAACUAAUUAAUUCUCAUGGCUUCAGUUGUUGUUGUUGACCUAGUUUUUAUACCCAUUGCUGACAUUUCAACUAUGCUCAGUCCAAUGUCUUAUGGAGUGAGAAAUCUGUUUUCCUUAUUUAAGAAAAAUGUGAUAAAAACUGAAUUCACCUAUAUCUCUUUUGCAACAUCAGUGAUGCUAUCAUUUGUUAAUUUCUUAAUUUCACAAAUAUUUGAUUGCCUAAUACAUACCUAUUAUGCUAAAUUUUAGUGAUACAAUGGAGACCAAACAGGCAAAGUCCUGGCUCUCAUAAUAUAAUAGUCUAAGAAUAGAUAGAGAUUAGAAAAAAUAAUCCCACAACUGUUUGAUGAUUAACAGAGAUAAUGGCCAUGGUCAAAACUGCAGGUUACACGAGUAUGUGAUAUAAAUUGUACUCACUUAUUCUGAUGGUCAAAAUUCAUUUUUUAAAGGUACGCUCUUACAUUGCUGGUGGGACCACAAAUUGGUGCAACCCCAGAGUGGUUGGAGUAUGGAGUAUGGAGAUUCCUCAGAAAACUUGGAAUUAAAUCACCAUUUGACUCAGUUAUCCCACUCCUCGGCAUAUACCCAAAGGACUUAAAAUCAGCAUACUACAGUGAUGUGGCCACGUCAGUGUUUAUAGCAGCUCAAUUCAUAAUACCUAAACUGUGAAAUCAAUCUAAGUUCCCUUCAACAGAUGAAUGGAUAAAGAAAAUGUGGUAUAUGUACACAGUGAAAUAUUCCUCAGCUCUAAAGAAUGAAAUAAUGAUAUUUGCUGGUAAAUGGAUGGAACUAGAGAUUAUCAUGUUAAGUGAAAUAAACCAAUCCCCCCAAAACAAAGGCUGCAUGUGGAGAUACUUAAUAAGGUAGGGUGGGGAGAGGGAAGAAUAGAAAUUCAUUGGAUUAGAUAAAGGGGAAUAAAGGGAAGGGAGAAGGGAUGGGAAUAGGAAAGACAGUAGAAUGAAUCAGACAUAACUUCCCUAUGUUCACAUAUGAAUACACAAUCAAUGUAACUGUACAUCAUGUACAACCACAAGAAUGGGGUAUUCUAAAUUAUACUGUACGUAUGUAUGUAUAAUGUCAAAAUAAAUUCUACUGUCAUCUGCAUCUAAAAAGAACAAAUAAAAAAUUCAUUGUCUGGACUGA